GGGAAUCCUAUGAUGCGCGCAAUGGUUAGAUUGAUGGAACAACAAAGUAAGUUGAUUCAAGAUAUGGCUAGAGGUAAAGUUGGGGCACAGGAGAAUGUGCCAGUUGAAAGACAAGGUGGUGGAAGAGAUCAGGGAGGUAUGAUGAGCUUAGAGCGGUUUAGGAAAUUGGGACCACCUACCUUUCAGGGGACUGCCGAUCCUAUGGUUGCAGAGGCAUGGUUAAGACAGAUGGAGAAAAUAUUUAUGGCUAUGGGUUGUAAUGAUGAUCAUAGGGUGAUAUUGGCCUCAUUCGUCCUUUAGGGCGAGGCAGACCACUGGUGGGAUGCCAAAUCCCGUCUUUUGAGGGCCGGGUUACAAGAUGCACCUAUUACUUGGGAGUUAUUUCUGGAGGCUUUUCAUGAAAAAUAUUUUCCUGAACGAGUUCGACAUCAGAUGGAGGUUGACUUCCUGAAAUUGACUCAAGGAACAAAGUUUGUUGCGGAGUAUGAGGAGCAAUUUACUGCUCUAUCUCAUUUUUCUCCUACCUUAGUUGCUAAUGAGGGUAGUAAGUGUAGGAAAUUCUUGGAAGGGUUACAUCCAAACAUCAAAAGACGGUUGACCAUCCUUAAGCUUAAUAAUUAUGCCGAUUUGGUGGAUCGUGCGAUUAUUGCAGAGAGGGAUAUAAUUCAAUCUCAAGUUGCACGAUCUAAUCGACAUAAUAACCAGCCAAUAAAACAUGAUAGUAAUGGUAGCGAAGGUGAACAUAAGGACUCUAAUGGUGGGUCUAUUCAAGAGAACAAACCAUUCUGUAAUCGUUGUGACAAGUACCAUAAUGGCACGUGCUAUUUAAAGAUAGAAGCUUGUUUUGGCUGUGGAAAGAUGGGGCAUAAGGUUAUAGAUUGCCCAAAAAAGCGCAGUGGUAACAUAGAUUCUGCCGAGAACCAAAGGAAAAAGCCAUGUGUCUUCGCCAUGGUGGAGCAAGAUAUUAAGAAACCGAAUAACGAAGCCUCAGGUGCAUUACCUAUUUUCCAUAGAAAGCCUUGAAUUUUUGAGUAAUUGGUAUUGUGCUUUUCCUCCAUCCUUUCUGAUUGGAUGCAUCGUAGCUAGAGUUUUUAGCCUAAUAAUUUCUUUUUUCAUCCAUUGAAUUUCUAUGGUACAUUAGUAGGAUAUGACGUGUGAUUUUAUAAGGCCAUUAGGAUUAACUUAUGGUUGGAUGGAGUAGGGACUAAUAUGAUAUUUAGUAGGAUAUGUGAUGAAGAUUGCAAUAAAAGUGUUUCACCAGCAAUGUGCGAGCGCAUUGAACAGUUUUGAAGUUGAAUGUGAAGUGAUAAAAAAUAUUCGCCAUCGAAACCUUAUCAAUGUUAUUGGCAGUUGUUCGAACGAUGACUUCAAAUCAUUAGUCCUAGAAUACAUGUCCAACGGGAGCUUGGAGGAUUGGCUGCAUUCUAGCAAUUAUGUGCUUAAUAUUUUUCGCAGGUUGAACAUAAUGAUUGACGUUGCAUCAGCUUUAAAAUAUCUCCACUUCGAUCAUUCAACUCGUAUCAUUCAUUGUGACUUAAAGCCUAAUAAUGUGUUGUUGGGUGAAAAUAUGGUUGCUCAUUUGAGUGAUUUUGGCAUAGCAAAGCUUUUAAGUGGAAGAUGAGUCUACGAUGCGAACAAAAACCCUUGCCACUAUAGGUUAUACGGCACCAGGUUUGCUUGAAACAACUUUUUUUUUUAGUUUAUUUUAAAAUUUCCAAAUUAUUGAUUUUUACGAUCCUCAUAUCAAAAUGUUAUUGAUUAUUUAUCUAAUUAUGAAAUAAUUUAAUUCAUAGAGUAUGGCAUAGAAGGAGAAAUAUCUGCAAAAAGUGAUGUUUACAGCUAUGGGAUUAUGUUGAUGGAAACUUUUACCAAGAAAAAACCCACAGAUGAGAUUUUUGUUGGAGAAUUGAGCUUAAAGCGUUGGGUUAAUGACUUGCUUCCUAAUUCAUUAGUGGAAGUUGUGGACAAAAUUCUGAUAAUUGGAGAGGAAAAACAUUUUGCCGCAAAGGAGCAAUGUCUGUUCUCUAUCUUUAUUUUGGCUCUGGAGUGUACAAUGGAAUCACCGGAAAAGAGGAUCAAUACAAAAGAUAUUGUUACCAGAUUACUCAAGAUAAGAGACACAUUGAGUAAAAGGAUAGGAAAUUUAAGUUAAUUUUGUUUGCUUUCAUUGAUAGUUACUUUGAAUUCAUGUAAUAAGUGUAAGAAUCGUUUAUCUUUUCUUUUGAUAUUUUUUUCUUGAGAAAACUGUUGUAGUCAUCUUUUUUCAAUGGGCAGAGUUGAUUUAGUUCUUCCAAGAAAUGCUAUUGUUGAUCUUUGUUAUAUACUUUUGUCUUUUUUUGCAUGCAUUUAGGUAGAAUAGUGGUCUAGCUGCAGGCUAACAAGUCAAGCUACGCUAAAAGGGUAUGAUUUAAUUUAUUAAACCUAACUUCAAGUUCAAGAAUUGUAUCUCAUUGCCACCAAUGCUUUAGACACCUAUUGGUAGGUUUGUGUCCUCAACUUUGUUUAGAGCAAAAGUUCCAGUCCCAUGGAGGCUCAAAUAUUCCUCUCCUACGUCCCGAACACACUAAAUUCAUCAGCCUCUUGAACCCUCUCCUGAGGGCGCCUUCUGUCCUCUGUUUUCUGUUUCCAUACACAAAUAGCAAAAAGAAUUCAGAAUGACAACUGGGACAUAUAUAAGAGUGAAAUAAUUAAAAAAAAUUAUGCUUUUUUGUUUGUCGUGUUAAAAUCGUAAGGUAUCUAAGUACUAUGAAAGAGAUUAGUUUACGAAAACUGAAGCCAAGGGUUCAUAAAAAAGUGCAAAGAGAAUAAAGGACAACGCUUAUGUAAAGCGACAUAAUUGUAUUGGUAGCACAAUGUCACGUUCAUACAGAGAUCAAGUACAUUAUUUACAGCUGGUAAGGGCUAAGAAUUGAUGUAGCUAGAAUACAAAUAUGAUAAGGUAUGUUGUGCACUAUUGUUUUAUUCUACAAUCAAUCUUGACCCUUGAUGCUUGGCUCUCAAUCUUGUCCAUUGAUCUUCUCUGAUCUCGAAAACUUCAAGACCUUUCAAUCUCAUGCCUUAUUAUUGGUAUGUUCUAUGCUGUUAAUUUCAAAUACUAGCUUUUCCGCCAACUUGCCAAUUAUUUGUUCAUUGGUGCGUUCUGUCAAACAGUGUGGAUACUUAUACCAAACGCUUUCUGUUUUAACUCCCCCUUUCAAGCUCAACUAUCUGGGAAGACACUAAUAAGCUUGUUUCUCAAGUAUAUGUAUCUGAAAAUUAAAUUUUCAAAAUUAUAUUCGGACUCUACAUUUUCUAAUGAACAUUGGUUUGGCUCAUAAGCUUAUUAUACUUGGGCUUGGUAGGAUUAUCGGUCGGUAGAUGAACAAGUGUUAGAGCUUUCGAAUUUAUGCCAAUUAAAAAAAAAUCUAUAUAAAUUUUCCACUAGGCUAUUACCACAAUAAACAUUUGGAUGAACUAUUAUUGAAACCUUAUUGAGAAGUAGGACAUGUCGCAUACCAAUGCACUGACAUAUCUUCAAAUAGUGGUAACUCCACACAACAUGGCACAAUAAAUUAGAGUUAUAUAGAUAAAAUCUUUCACUCUUUGGUAAUCAUCAAUGUCGGCAUGGCAAUGCGUCCGACAAAAUUCAUAAAUCAAAACAAAAAUAGAGAAUCAUAUUUGUUUCAGAUUGUAGUGAUGGUUGUUCAUAAUUCACAAUUUUAUUUAAUAUCUUCAAAUUCGCAUUUUAAAAUGCACAAAUGUUUGUGUAUACAUAAUUAGUAAUCGAUUCUCAAGCUUGGACAUUUAAAAGCACUGCUAAAAGACAAAAUUUUAAUUCACUAUUUUUUGUCUUUUAAUUUUCUUUAAGUUUUAAUGAUUCCGCAUUUUAAAAUCCUGUGGAACGUACAUGUAAAAUUCUUUUAUCUUUUAGAGGAAAAUGGGCAAGAGAAGAAGAUUUGGCAAAGGAAUUGCAACCGCAUUUGGAGCUAGUUUUAAUUUUGUCUUUUAAUUCUUUUACACUUGGCUUUUGUUAUUGAUGUCAACUUCGAUGUGUGUGCGUGUGCGACUGAAUUCAACUUACAUGCUAUUGAUGCAGCCACCAAAAAGGGGUGGUCCAUCAUCAAUCAACAAGGUUUAUUAUUAUUUCCAUAUUGAUUUUCUUAAUUAUAAAUAAUACUAAUGUUAUUUCAUAGUUAUAAAUAUAUUAGAAUUAAUCGAAAUCAUUUUUUAGUGUGGCAUGGCUAAAACUACCUUUUUUUUUUAUAAGUAAUUACUACUUUCACAUUAAGAAAAAUACUCCUAUUUUUAAGGAAAAGUCAAGUACCUGUAGUUGUGAAGACUCAAGCUCACUCCCUUAUGAUAAAUCUUCAUAUUAAUUACGUAAAUAUCCUCUAAAAUUUUAAAUUAGCUAUUCAAAAUUUGAUGUUAUACGGGUAUUUCAUUUAUUUGAGUAGGGGUUAGGGGUCAAUUGGAUACAAAUUCAAAAUUAUCCUUACUUGAGAAGGUGAUAAAAAUUGGGGAUUUAGUUUGGAUGUCAUUAGCUACAAAUAUUAAACUCAUACAUUUAAUUCAAAAUUAGAGGGCUGAUAUGUGCGCAUCAUCGUCCACGUUAUAGUGACACUGCGUCACCAUUCCACAACCUCUCCAAUGAAAAAUUGACAUGCUUCUUGUGCGCAUCUAAUCAGAAUCUUGAAAAUUAAUCACAAAAUUGUACUUUUAUUAUAAAAAGAAUAAAGAAACUCCAAGAAAAAAAAAAAGACUUACAUAAAUAGAUUGAAAAAUCUAGAUUUCAAGUUGUCUAUAUUAGCUUGAUAUUUUUAUUAAUAGUCAUCCUCCCAAAAAAAUUCCAUCAAAAUAUAUUUUAAUUUUAUGUUAAUUCAUAAACAUGAAAAAAUCAUUUUAGAAUUAAUUAAAACAUAAUUUAUUGUUGCUCAAAAAAGGUAGAACUUAGUUAUCAGAAAAAAGUGUCUAAAAUAUAUGUUAAAAAAAAAUCAUGGUUGGUUGGACUGAUUGAAUUUUUUUUUUCUUUUUUAAGAAUUAAGACAAUUGGAUGGAUUGAGUAAUAAUAAUACAUAUUUAUUUGGCAAAUGGCAGGGAGGCUUUCGUCUGAUGCAGAUUGAUUAGAGAGAAAAUAUAACAAUUUUAAGCUCGUCAGAUUCGAAGCUGCUUACCUGUCGUGUGGGGAUCACUUCCGUGUCUUAUUUUUCUAGAAAAAUCUGGACCAUUGGAUUUACCAUUAGUCAAUAGAGAAAUGUUGAUCUUGAUUCUUGAUCAAGAUCGAAGUUUGAUUCUAACUAACACGAUAUCAGAUUGCGAAGCAAGCAAAUUGAAAGUCACUUGUUCUAUGGAAGAAACACAAGUUCUAAUAAAACAUUCUCAUAGUAAAGUGAAUUACCAUCCAACGAUCCAACUCAUGUUUUCAAAUUGUAAAUUGCAAAUCGUGUGUUUGCUCCAUUACAGAGUUUCUUCAAUCUGAAAUAGCGAAUCAUUUGUGUUCUAGAUUAAUCGUGGGUCUAUAUCCAAAUCUAAAAAUUGACUAACUUGAUUUCUAUUAAAUUCUUAAUCCUAACAAGAAAAAUUGAAGAUUAAAAACGACUAAUUUGGUACCAUACCACUAUUGUAACAUAGGUAGAUCCUCUAUUAAUUGGAGUAAAGAUUGAAUUAUCUCAUUUAUUAAGGUUUAUCAAAAUCUUGUGUCAAAAUCUAUUAAUGAUAUAGGUUCAAGGAUGAAAAAGUCACUGCAUUACUUUUGAGUUCCCAAAUAGAUGAAUGGAUGUUAUUUUUAGAUUCCGGAGAGUCGAAAAUAUUAAGAUAGGUGCUAAAUCGAAUUAAGUUGUAGAUACGAUAGAAAUGGAUUUGGAGAGAUUGGAAUCCUAGGUAAUCCGGUGCACGUUGUCGUGUUAAAUUCUCGUUGACUUCACGUUGACUGAAGCAUUAUUGGAAGAAACAAGUUUAUUGAUGUGAGGCCUUUGAGGUUGUAAGUGUUAAAUCUGAGAAGAAUACCCACACACCCAUUAUCCUAUUACUCUUAUAUCACAUGAAGAGAAUUCAACAUUUGAUUCACACGGAAAAAAUUUGUGAGGAAUGUGAGGGUUGAUGGAAUAUAAUUUAGAUACAAAGUGUUUACCAGUGCGAUGCUUCGCAAGUGUUCUUGAAUCAAUAUAAACUCACAUUAUUUUCAUAGUGAUUGUUUCAUCUGCACGUUAAUAUAAUCACAUGUCGAGAUUUUUUUCCUUAAAUUAUGGUCUUAUUUAGUAUUGAGGUGUUAUAUCUUUUAAGGUACAAUUAUUGUUGGAAAAAAGUUACAACUAUCAAAUAAAAUUAAUACUAUGUGCUAAAUAUAAUUGUUAAAUAAUAAUUUUGACAAAAUUAGUGAAGUUAUAUAGAUUUUUUUCAUCAUCCAAGUAUAAAAUCAAAUCAACUUAACUUCUAAGUUAUAUAUCGGCUACUGUUUAUCAUAUGUUUUAGUUUUGUAACUUUUAAAUUAUAGUUACCCAACCUCAAUUCUAAACAAGACCUAUAAAGAUCAAAGAUUUCCUCAUUAAAUUAUAUGUCUUGUGAUUGCUUAUUUAAUUUAUAUUUUUGUUAUUUAUCUUUAUUAAUUAUAAUCAUCUUUUUAUAAAUUAAAAUUGAAGGAAGUUGAUUGAUGUUGUUGACACACACACGCACGCGCACGCACACACUCACAAAGAUAUAUUGGAAGUGCUUACGUCGACUCGAAGUUGUUGGGAAUUAAUGCAUGUAUUGAUUUAUUGGGAGUGUUUAAAUGAUUUUGUGAUUUACUUGAUUUAUUGAUUGAAUAUUGUUUGAUUGCUUCAUAUCCAUUCUAGAAAGUUUAUUUCUUUGUGAAAGUUCAACGAAAUAUGUUUUUUUUUUUAAAUAAGGGUGUUCUAAAUAAUUUUAAAAAAUAUAUGCUUGUCUUCCCAAAAUAGCCUUUGAAUACACAAGUAAAUGUCUAGCCUUUGGUGAGGAUAGUUUGGUCAUUGCAUUUUACAAGUAAGAUGAGUGGUGGAGAAAAAUGAGGAGUGCACAUAACUCUUCAGCAAAUCCCACCAACAAUUCCAUUUUCUUAAUUAAUUAAUCUCCUUUUUUAUCCCCAAACAAAUCCUAAUGAUACUAUUAUCAGGUUUAAAACAGUACACAAAUAGUGAAAAGCUAACUAGUCUGUAGAGUAAUUUGCUAAUUGCUAUCUCCUCUCUAUGCUCGCUGAAUAAUUUGUUGCAUGCAAACUUUUUAUUUUAUGCAAAUCAUACGUACUGUAACAUUGGAAUUGAUGUAUAAGCAAAAAUACAAUAAUAUUUAUGUCAAUACAAAUAGUUUUUUUUCCCUUUUUAAAUAAACACAACGCGAUGUUGCUCUGCUCUACAUUUUUGCUAUCUCUUUAUUAUUAUUAUUUUUUUUUGGGCUUCUUAAAGCCUCAAACUUUGAUAACCAAAACUUCAUCGACCUAUGAAAAAAUCUGCAGAUUAGUUUUUAUUAUCGGAAUAAUUGUUUGAGAAUACUAAAACAAAAUAUAAAAUAAGAAAAUACGGGGUUAAAUUUGGGGAAAACAAAAAGGCAUGUUGGAUAGAUUACUAUAGUUUAAGGGGAAAAAAAAAUUCAAUUGGAAAUUUUUUUCUUUAAUUUUUGUUUUACUUGAUUGAGAUUUCUCCUUAGUCCUUACAGUUUUAAGUUUGGAUGCCGUAGGGUUAGUAAUUUAGUAUUUCCCUUGCAAGCUGAGCUUAAGGAUGAAAUUUCUUUUAAGAAAUUAAAAAAGAUUAAAAAAAGCAUACCAAUAGGUAAUUAUAAAUAACCAUAAAUAAACAUAAACAAAAUGUUUAUGAAGUAAAUUACACAUGCACAUAUUAUUUUUUUGUUAUAUUUCUUACUUGUCUAUUUUAUUUGCUGCUUGAUAACCCGUAAAUACUAAUCUAGUACUGCUAAUUUCAGACACAAAAUGUUUAACUCUAGGCUGCAGUUUUACUCAAAAUGAUGACCACUGGCUUCGCACCAUUUAACCGGCAUACAUUUCUACAAAUUGAACAAGGCUAUUGAUUUUCAUUAUUAUUUUUUAUUUAUUUAUAAAUUACUAUUUUAAUUUUCACUUUUUAUUGGGUUGUUUACAGAUUAGUGAAGUUGGUGGUCGUGAUGCACUCACAAGGUACAAUUUUAUUUUAUAAUUUCAAAUUUGUAUUUUAAAAUGCAGGUACAUUAUGUAUACAUAAUUAUUGAUUUUCAUAUGUGGGUGUUUUGAAAUAUUGCUAAAAGACCAAACUUUAAUAAACUAUUUUUUAUCUUUUUUUUUCCUAAAGUUUGAGUGAUAUCCGCAUUUUAAAUUCAUGUGGAACAAAAGCUAAUGUAUGCUCAAAAUUCUUUUAUUUUUUCCGAGAAGAAUGGGUAAGAGAAGAAGAUUUUUCUGUUGAAAAAGAAAAACUAAUACGAUGCAAGCAUAGGAAAGAGGUCAGUGUUUUGGAUUAGAAUUUAGUAUUGAGCUGAAUUUUAUACUAAACUCUUUUAUAGUACUGCGAUUAAUAAACUCAUGAUUUGCUUUUGCUUUUACUUCAAGUGAAAGAAAGAGGAAACCGUUUGAUUUUUGUUUGAUUCUUGACUAUAGAUGUUACCUAUAUAGAGAGUUGAGGUAGCUGCCUUAAGUGAUGGUUAUAAAAAGAUUAAGCAGCGCACACAAUCUUACUGUCGUCCAGACCAUCCAGCUAUGAUGACUCUAGUUUUUUGGUUACAUUAACUUUAGUGGAAAGGAGGGCCAAUUUAACAAAGACUAGAUUUGGUGGCUUACUAUAAUGCUUAUUCUCAGGGAAUCUAAUGUUAUAAGAUGAUUUAAUGAUCUUCUAUGAUUGUGAGUAGUAUAGUAUAAUUGAAAAGAGCUUGGGCUCCUAUGAUGAAUAUUUAAUAGUAACACAGUACUGUUAUUGAAAAAAACACAGUUACAAUAAACUCUUCAUUUAUUCAUUGUGGAGAUUGAAUGGCAAACAGAGAAUAAAAUGAAGCAGAGGAAUCUCAUUGCCAGUAAAAUUGACCCUCUUUAAUGUUAUAUGGCACAGGUGUGUGUACAGCAAGAUCAAGUUACUUGCAGUUUUUAUUGUAAAAUAUAUAGGUUAUGACCAUGAUCAUUGUAGUUAGGUUUUGAUGAUUUUAGAUGCUUUUUUUAUUUUUUUUAAAAUUGUGACACCUUUGAUUUAUGGUAGCUUUGCAGAAGAAAAAUAUAUAUAUAUAAAUUAGGAGGGAUGAGUUAACUAACGAUUGCAAUCAUUACAGUAAUGUUGAUGAGUGAUACAUCAUUUGAAAUUUACUUGUCAGUUACUGAAAUGAUGAAAAAAAACAAUAAACAAUAGCAGUAAUAUUUUUAUGGAAAAUCUUGGUUUUUAUGGAAAUACUCUUGCUGAAAUUCUAAUUUUGACUUUCAACUCUUGGUUUUUAUGGAAAGUAAAAUGACUUGUUUGUUAUAUUCAUACAAUCCACUCUACAUAAUGAUUUCAUUUUAAUAAAUGCUUGAUGAUCUCCACUGAAAAACUACUUCAAUUCUUUUGUUUUAUUUAACUUUUUGGUUGUUGAAAAUAGCCUUAAUUUUCAAAUAAUUGGAGAAAGAGUAAAGAACAUUUAACAAAUUUAUGUGCCAAAAAUAAAGGAGAAAUUGAAGAGAAAGGGUGCUUGCAGAAGUGGGUGCAAAGAUAAAUCAGUCCAUAAGAAUUAUUGUGGUUAUUAAGUUUUUGGCAAUAUAAAAAUUUUUCAGCAAAUAAAAAUUGAUUUUUUCCGAUUUACUAAAAAAUUAAUUAAAAACUUCGGUGAUAGCAUUUUUUAUGGGUGCAUGUACCCUCCCUUUAAAAAAAAUAUAAUAAUUAAUACUUAAUAUAGUAUUAAAUACGAAAAUAUCAAUAUUUGACUACACAAAUUUAUAUCAUUAGGUCCUUAAAAUUUAAAAUUGAAGACACAAAAUGAAAUAUAUAUAAAUUUCAUUCUCACAGGAAAGGAUCCUCUUAUAAUCUUAAAAUAUUUGAGCUUUGAAAGAUUUUUUAAAACAAAUGUACUUUUAUUUUUGUACAAUCAAUAUUUACUUAUUUAUUAUAUUUUUAUUCAUUAACUAUCAAUCAUGUGAGUAUAUUUACUCAGAAAUAUCAUAUCAAGGAAGAAUCUUGAUCCCACGCACACACAAAUAUGUUAAUUUCUAUACGCUUCACUUACCUGUAGAAUCAAUUAUCUAAAAUGCAAGUUUGUGGCCACAAAAAAAGCCAAAGAAAGAAGAUAAUAACAAUUGACUUGUAUAUUAUACUCAUACAAUCCACUCGACAUAAUGAUAUCAUUUUAAUAAGGCAAUGGCUGAUGAUCUCCAUUGAAAAACCAAUUCAAUUUUUUUGCUUCAUUUAACUUUUUGGUUGUUGAAAAUAACCUUAAUUAUCAAAUAAUUGGAGAAAGAGUAAAGAACAUUUAACAAAUUUAUGUGCAAAAAAAAAAAAAAAAAAAGGAGAAGUUGAAGGGAAAGGGUGCUUGCAGAAGUGGGUGUCAAAGAAAAAUCUGUCCAUAAGAAUUAUUGCGGUUAUUUUUUGGCAAUAUAAAAUUUUUAUAGCAAGUAAAAAUUAAUUUUUUCCAAUUUACUAAAAAAUUAACUAAAAACUUCUGCGACAACAUUUUUUAUGGGUGCAUAUACCCGCCCUUUAAAAAAAAAAAUAAUUAAUGCUUAAGUUAGUAUUAAAUACGAAAAUAUCAAUAUUUGACUACUCAAAUUUAUAUCAUUAGGUCCUUAAAAUUUAAAAUUGAAGAUACUAAAGGAAAUAUAUAUAAAUUUCAUUCUCAUGGAAAGGAUUCUCUUAUAAUCUUAUAAUAUUUGAGUUUUGAAAUUUUUUUGAAACAAAUGUAAUUUUAUUUGUGUACAAUCAAUAUUUACUUAUUUAUUAUAUUUUAAUUUAUUAACUAUCAAUCAUGUAAGUAUAUUUAGUCAGAAAAAUUAUAUCGAGAGAGAAUCCUAAUUUCACGCAAACACAAAUACAAGACAAAUAUGUUAAUUUCUAUACUAUUCACUUUCCUGUAGAAUCAAUUAUCUAAAAUGCAAGUUUGUGGCUAUAGAAAACUCGCCAAAGAAAGAAGAUAAUAACAAUUGAGCAUUGAUAGCAAAACUAAUGCAUCAUUUUCUUCUUGACUUGAUGAGAUGGUGCCAUUACAAAACAAUAAUUACCUUAAUUGACGGGCACUGAGUGAUGUGAAUACUACCAGCCAGUUCAUCUCUUCCAGUCUUGCUUAAUCACAAUCACAAACACCACGAGAUUGACAUUUGCAUUAUAUAUAUCUUCAGCAAUCGAAACACCUUGCAUUACCAAAUUAACCGGUAACAAACAAAGCAACCUUUCAUGGAGAGAAACUUUAGUCUCAGUAUGAUCACUGUGUCAUUAACCCACUUCCUGCUUCUUUGCUUGGUUGUUGCAGCAGCAGCAGCAGCAGCAAGCAACAAUAUUACCACAGACCAACAAGCUCUUCUUGCCCUGAAAGAUCAUAUAACUUAUGAUCCAACCAAACUUUUUGCCCAUAAUUGGACCUCGAAUACCUCUGUUUGCACCUGGAUUGGCCUCAGUUGUGAUGUCAAUAGCCAUAGAGUCACAGCCUUAGAUAUUUCUCAAUUCAAUAUACAAGGCACCAUCCCUCCUCAACUUGGAAACCUCUCUUCACUCACAACACUUAAUCUUAGUCGUAAUAAGCUUUCUGGAAGCAUUCCCCCCUCCAUCUACACCAUGCAUACGCUAAAAUUUCUAGACUUCACUGAUAACCUGCUCUCUGGUUCAGUGUCUUCCUCCGUCUUCAACAUGUCUUCAAUAUUAGACAUUCGUUUGACCAAUAACAGACUUUCUGGUGAGCUUCCGAAAAAUAUUUGCAACUAUCUUCCUUACUUGAAAGCCCUUUUUCUGGACAAAAACAAGUUGCAUGGCAAAAUUCCUUCAGCUUUAUCAAAUUGCAAACAACUGCAACAAUUGCAUUUGCAGUUCAAUAAUUUAUCCGGUGCAAUACCGAAAGAAAUCGGCAACUUGACUAUGCUCAAAUGGAUAGAUCUCGGCUACAACAAACUCCACGGUAUGUUUCAUAAUGCUAUCUAAAUAUUUUAAUUUAUCACUUGUUUAUUUUAAUUUCUCACUUGUUAUUUUUCUUGAAUACUUUAGAUAAGAUCUAGUAAGUGAGAUUUUUUGCAUCUAUGUUAAUUUACCAGGUGAGAUACCCCCCGAAAUCGCUAAUCUUCGAAAUCUAGAGGCUUUGGUGCUUGGAAUGAACAACCUAGUGGGUGUGUUACCAGCUACAAUCUUCAACAUGUCAACACUGAAGGUAGUUAUCCUCAUUAAUAACUCUCUCUUCGGAAGUCUCCCAUCAAGAAUAGACCUUUCACUUCCAACUAUUGAGCACCUUAACUUGGCACUUAAUAGAUUUUCUGGAACCAUUCCUAGUUCCAUCACCAAUGCUUCUAAGCUCACCUUUCUAGAGUUGGGAGGAAACACAUUUUCGGGCUUUAUUCCGAACACAAUUGGUAAUUUAAGAAACCUUGAGUGGCUCAGCUUGGGUAAUAACUACUUGACAUCUUCAACCUCAAAAUUGAGCUUUCUUUCCUCUUUGGCAAAUUGCAAGAAAUUAAGAGACAUAGGCUUAACAGGCAAUCCACUCGACGGUAUCCUUCCAAGUUCAAUAGGUAAUCUUUCCAUGUCUUUGAAAACACUUUACAUCGGCAAUUGCAGUAUUAGUGGCAACAUUCCUCAAUCAAUUGGCAAUUUAAGCAACUUAUUGGCCUUAGUAUUAGAAGGCAAUAAAUUGACCGGACCAAUCCCAACUACAUUCGGCCAACUGCAGAAACUCCAAGGCUUAUUUCUUACAUUCAAUAAGUUGGUAGGUUCAUUCCCAGAUGAGCUUUUCCAUCUAGCUAGGCUGGAUAAAUUGGUAUUAUUGGGAAAUAAGCUUUCAGGAUCUAUGCCUUCAUGCUUAAGUAACCUCACUUCUCUGAGAUCUCUCUACUUAGGGUCCAAUAGGUUUACUUCUGUUAUUCCCUCAACUUUCUGGAGCCUAAAAGACAUCUUGUUCUUUGACUUUUCAUCAAAUUUCUUGGUUGGUACUCUUUCUUUCGACAUAGGUAAUUUGAAGGUGCUUCUAGGAAUAAGUUUAUCAGAAAAUAACUUAUCGGGUGAUAUGCCAGCCACAAUUGGAGGGAUAAAAAAACCUUCAAAUUAUGGACCUAGCAUAUAAUAGAUUGGAAGGGCAAAUUCCUGAAUCAUUUGGUGACUUGACAAGUUUGGAGGUUUUGAAUUUGUCAAAUAAUAAAAUCUCUGGGUCUAUUCCAAAAUCCAUGGAGAAACUCUUUUACCUCCGAGAGUUAAAUCUCUCUUUCAAUGAACUAGAAGGUGAGAUUCCUAGUGGAGGAAUUUUUGCCAACUUCACAGCUGAGUCAUUUAUGGGAAAUGAGUUAUUGUGUGGUUUACCAAAUCUUCAAGUCCAACCAUGCAAAGUUAGCAAGCCGAGGACAGAACAUAAAUCAAGGAAAAAGAUACUUCUCAUUGUGAUUGUUUUGCCAUUGAGUAUUGCUCUAACAAUAGCAAUCACUCUACCUCUCAAAUCUAAGCUGAUCGAAUGUGGAAAAAGAAGCACAGUGUUGUCAAAUGAUAGUGUCUUGUCAUCACAAGCAACACUAAGAAGAUUUUCAUACUUAGAACUUUUACAAGCAACAGAUAAUUUUGCUGAAAACAACGUAAUUGGCAUAGGAGGUUUUGGUUCUGUUUACGGUGGAAGACUUGAAGAUGGGAUGAAGAUUGCAAUAAAAGUGUUUCACCAGCAAUGUGCAAGCGCAUUGAAGAGUUUUGAGGCUGAAUGUGAAGUGUUAAAAAAUAUUCGCCAUCGAAACCUUAUUAAAGUUAUCAGCAGUUAUUCAAACAAUGACUUCAAAGCAUUAGUUCUAGAAUACAUGUCCAACGGGAGCUUAGGGGACUGGCUGCAUUCUAGCAAUUAUGUGCUGAAUAUAUUUCAGAGGUUGAACAUAAUGAUUGAUGUUGCAUCAGCUUUAGAACAUCUCCACUUCGAUCAUUCGACUCCUAUUAUUCAUUGUGACUUAAAGCCUAGUAAUGUAUUGUUGGACGGAAAUAUGGUUGCUCAUUUGAGUGAUUUUGGCAUAGCAAAGCUUUUAAGUGGAGAGGAUGAGUCUAUGAUGCGAACAAAAACCCUUGCCACUAUAGGUUAUAUGGCACCAGGUUUGCUUCAAACAACUUUUUUUUUUUAGUUCAUUUUAAAUUUUGCAACUUAUUGAUUUUUACGAUCCUCACAUCAAAAUGUUAUUGAUUAUUUAUCUAAUUUUGAAAUUAAUUUGAUUCAUAGAGUACGGCAUAGAAGGAGAAGUAUCUACAAAAAGUGAUGUUUACAGCUAUGGGAUUAUGUUGAUGGAAACUUUUACCAAGAAAAAACCCACAGAUGAAAUUUUUGUUGGAGAAUUGAGCUUGAAGCGUUGGGUUAAUGACUUGCUUCCUACUUCAUUAGUGGAAGUUGUGGACAAAACUCUGCUAAGUGGAGAGGAAAAACAUUCUGCAGCAAAGGAGCAAUGUCUGUUGUCUAUCUUUAGUUUGGCUCUGGAGUGUACAAUGGAAUCACCGGAAAAGAGGAUUAAUGCAAAAGAUAUUGUUACAAGAUUACUCAAGAUAAGAGACACAUUGAGUAAAAGGAUAGGAAAUUUAAGUUAAUUUCGUUUGCUUUCAUUGAUAGUUAAUUCGAAUUCAUGUAAUAAGUCUAAGAAUCUUAUAUCUUCAAAUUCGCAUUUUAAAAUGCACAAAUGUUUGUGUAUACAUAAUUAGUAAUCGAUUCUCAAGCUUUGGACAUUUAAAAGCACUGCUAAAAGACAAAAUUUUAAUUCACUAUUUUUUUGUCUUUUAAUUUUCUUUAAGUUUUAAUGAUUCCGCAUUUUAAAAUCCUGUGGAACGUGCAUGUAAAAUUCUUUUAUCUUUUAGAGGAAAAUGGGCAAGAGAAGAAGAUUUGGCAAAGGAAUUGCAACCGCAUUUGGAGCUAGUUUUAAUUUUGUCUUUUAAUUCUUUUACACUUGGCUUUUGUUAUUGAUGUUAACUUCGAUGUGUGUGCGUGUGCGACUGAAUUCAACUUACAUGCUAUUGAUGCAGCCACCAAAAAGGGGUGGUCCAUCAUCAAUCAACAAGGUUUAUUAUUAUUAAUUUCCAUAUUGAUUUUCUUAAUUAUAAAUAAUACUAAUGCUAUUUCAUAGUUAUAAAUAUAUUAGAAUUAAUCGAAAUCAUUUUUUAGUGUGGCAUGGCUAAAACUACCUUUUUUUUAUUAUAAGUAAUUACUACUUUCACAUUAAGAAAAAUACUCCUAUUUUUAAGGAAAAGUCAAGUACCUGUAGUUGUGAAGACUCGAGCUCACUCCCUUAUGAUAAAUCUUCAUAUUAAUUACGUAAAUAUCCUCUAAAAUUUUAAAUUAGCUAUUCAAAAUUUGAUGUUAUACGGGUAUUUCAUUUAUUUGAGUAGGGGUUAGGGGUCAAUUGGAUACAAAUUCAAAAUUAUCCUUACUUGAGAAGGUGAUAAAAAUUGGGGAUUUAGUUUGGAUGUCAUUAGCUACAAAUAUUAAACUCAUACAUUUAAUUCAAAAUUAGAGGGCUGAUAUAUGCGCAUCAUCGUCCACGUUAUAGUGACACUGCGUCACCAUUCCACAACCUCUCCAAUGAAAAAUUGACAUGCUUCUUGUGCGCAUCUAAUCAGAAUCUUGAAAAUUAAUCACAAAAUUGUACUUUUAUUAUAAAAAGAAUAAAGAAACUCCAAGAAAAAAAAAAGACUUACAUAAAUAGAUUGAAAAAUCUAGAUUUCAAGUUGUCUAUAUUAGCUUGAUAUUUUUAUUAAUAGUCAUCCUCCCAAAAAAAUUCCAUCAAAAUAUAUUUUAAUUUUAUGUUAAUUCAUAAACUUGAAAAAAUCAUUUUAGAAUUAAUUAAAACAUAAUUUAUUGUUGCUCAAAAAAGGUAGAACUUAGUUAUCAGAAAAAAGUGUCUAAAAUAUAUGUUAAAAAAAAAUCAUGGUUGGUUGGACUGAUUGAAUUUUUUUUUCUUUUUUAAGAAUUAAGACAAUUGGAUGGAUUGAGUAAUAAUAAUACAUAUUUAUUUGGCAAAUGGCAGGGAGGCUUUCGUCUGAUGCAGAUUGAUUAGAGAGAAAAUAUAACAAUUUUAAGCUCGUCAGAUUCGAAGCUGCUUACCUGUCGUGUGGGGAUCACUUCCGUGUCUUAUUUUUCUAGAAAAAUCUGGACCAUUGGAUUUACCAUUAGUCAAUAGAGAAAUGUUGAUCUUGAUUCUUGAUCAAGAUCGAAGUUUGAUUCUAACUAACACGAUAUCAGAUUGCGAAGCAAGCAAAUUGAAAGUCACUUGUUCUAUGGAAGAAACACAAGUUCUAAUAAAACAUUCUCAUAGUAAAGUGAAUUACCAUCCAACGAUCCAACUCAUGUUUUCAAAUUGUAAAUUGCAAAUCGUGUGUUUGCUCCAUUACAGAGUUUCUUCAAUCUGAAAUAGCGAAUCAUUUGUGUUCUAGAUUAAUCGUGGGUCUAUAUCCAAAUCUAAAAAUUGACUAACUUGAUUUCUAUUAAAUUCUUAAUCCUAACAAGAAAAAUUGAAGAUUAAAAACGACUAAUUUGGUACCAUACCACUAUUGUAACAUAGGUAGAUCCUCUAUUAAUUGGAGUAAAGAUUGAAUUAUCUCAUUUAUUAAGGUUUAUCAAAAUCUUGUGUCAAAAUCUAUUAAUGAUAUAGGUUCAAGGAUGAAAAAGUCACUGCAUUACUUUUGAGUUCCCAAAUAGAUGAAUGGAUGUUAUUUUUAGAUUCCGGAGAGUCGAAAAUAUUAAGAUAGGUGCUAAAUCGAAUUAAGUUGUAGAUACGAUAGAAAUGGAUUUGGAGAGAUUGGAAUCCUAGGUAAUCCGGUGCACGUUGUCGUGUUAAAUUCUCGUUGACUUCACGUUGACUGAAGCAUUAUUGGAAGAAACAAGUUUAUUGAUGUGAGGCCUUUGAGGUUGUAAGUGUUAAAUAUGAGAAGAAUACCCACACACCCAUUAUCCUAUUACUCUUAUAUCACAUGAAGAGAAUUCAACAUUUGAUUCACACGGAAAAAAUUUGUGAGGAUUGUGAGGGUUGAUGGAAUAUAAUUUAGAUACAAAGUGUUUUACCAGUGCGAUGCUUCGCAAGUGUUCUUGAAUCAAUAUAAACUCACGUUAUUUUCAUAGUGAUUGUUUCAUGUGCACGUGGAUAUAAUCACAUGUCGAGAUUUUUUUCCUUAAAUUAUGGUCUUAUUUAGUAUUAAGGUGUUAUAUCUUUUAAGGUACAAUUAUUGUUGGAAAAAAGUUGCAUCUAUCAAAUAAAAUUAGUACUAUGUGCUAAAUAUAAUUGUUAAAUAAUAAUUUUGACAAAAUUAGUGAAGUUAUAUAGAUUUUUUUUCAUCAUACAAGCAUAAAAUCAAAUCAACUUAACUUCUAAGUUAUAUAUCGGCUACUUAGGGAUGGCAAUGGAUUGGAUCUGACCCAAGAUCCACGUGAUCCAAAUCUAAUCGGAUCGGAUUUGGGUCAGUUUAAAAUGAAUUUGGAUCGGAUUUGGAUAUUGAUGUGCGGAUCUAAGACGGAUCUGGAGCAGGUCUGGAUCUAUCUUAGUAUCUAAAUCCAUAUCCAUAUCCACCCAUCUUUUAAUUUAAUUUUAUUUUAAAAGUUUCUUAACAAUUGUGGAAUUAUAAUGAUAAUGAAUUUUAUUCAUAGCAUAUUAGUGGUAUUUACCAUGCAUUUAAACUCUUUAAAAUUAAAGGUUAGUUUUGUAAAUUUAAAGACUAGCCAGGCCCAAAGCAUGUACAUGCAAUAUUCAAAUUGCAAGCCAAGUAAUACAACCUGGCAAUUUAUUUUAUUAUAUUGGCCAAAUAAUUUUUAAGGAAUAUAGGUAUUCAUAUAUUUUGUCAAAUAUGGUCAUAAUAAAAAUAAUAAAGGACUGAAUAUAAAUCAUAUUUUAUUUAUAUGUCAUUAUCUAAUAUUAUAAGAAUGAGGGUGGGUGUGUUGUAGAUAUUAGAAUGAUGAAUGAGACAAUAGAAUAUUAGAUUGAUCUUACUCCUGCAAUUACUUUUAAAGGAUAUUUUAUUAUCUUAUUUGUUGUUUUGGUGUAAAAGUAUAAGUUACAAUAUUUAUUAUAUUUUUGAGAAAAAUUAUAUAAUUUAUUUGUUAUCAAUACAUUUUAACCUUCAAUUUUCAUUCUAAAAAAUUAUUACUUUUUAAUUGAUGAGUUUUAGAAUUCAUGACAGAUCUAGAGCAGAUUUGGAUUUUAAUUUUUUUUUUCAGAUUUGGAGCAGAUAUAAAUAUUUAUUUCUUUUAUGGAUAUGGAUAUGGAGCGAAAAAUAUAGAUUCAUGAUGGAUCUGGAGCAGAUACGGAUCUUGAUUUUUAUUAUGGAUUUGGAUCUGGAGCAGAGUAGAUCCAACCCAUAUCUGCCCCAUUGCCAUCCCUACGGCUACUGUUAAUCAUAUGUUUUAGUUCUGUAACUUUUAAGUUAUAGUUACCCAAUCUCAAUUCUAAACCAGACCUAUAAAGAUCAAAGAUUUCCUCAUUAAAUUAUAUGUCUUGUGAUUGCUUAUUUAAUUUAUAUUUUUUUUUAUUUAUCUUUAUUAAUUAUAAUCAUCUUUUUAUAAAUUAAAAUUGAAGGAAGUUGAUUGAUGUUGUUGACACACGCACACACGCACACACUCACAAAGAUAUAUUGGAAGUGCUUACGUCGACUCGAAGUUGUUGGGAAUUAAUGCAUGUAUUGAUUUAUUGGGAGUGUUUAAAUGAUUUUUUGAUUUACUUGAUUUAUUGAUUGAAUAUUGUUUGAUUGCUUCAUAUCCAUUCUAGAAAGUUUAUUUCUUUGUGAAAUUUCAACGAAAUAUGUUUUUUUUUUUAAAUAAGGGUGUUCUAAAUAAUUUAAAAAUAUAUAUGGACUAAUUAGAAUUAAUUAUUAGGUAAUUAACUCAAUCUGUAUAGGGUGAAACAACAUUUAUCCUAAUUAUAUCAUGAUAAAUACUUUUCCUAUUAGAAUUAGGAAAUCAUAGGUUUAUUGAAUUGUUUUUUUUUUUCCUUUGCGGAAACGGAUUAGAGAAUUAGAAAACAAUCAUGUUGAUGUCAAAAUCUGAUCUAGUCGGUUAGCGACUUAAUAUCAUAUUACUGCACCAACAUUAAAUUUAUUGGGUGGAGAAUCGACUGGUCAAUUGUCAAGAUGUCCUGCAAUCACUAGCGAUUAACCUACGAAUACCUAAAAUCACAGAAGACGGUAAGAGGCACCGGAAGUUUUUUCGGCGUGAACCUUCCGACGCUCAAGUCAGUUUAUAGGUUUACCAUAAUAAAAAUAAAUAAUUUCUAUUUAAAAAAAAAUAGAGUUCAAAAGCUCAAAAAUAAAACCCAAUCCCAAUAUGAAAAUGAAUUUUUUUUUUUUUUUUUCUAGCUUGGCCGAAUCCUUCUGCCUCCUAAAGAAACAUAACAGAGAAGCAGGUAGCCAUGUUCCCUAGGUAACGCCCCACUCCCCUCUUUUAUUCCUCCCCCUCUCUUCCGUUUCCUUCUUUUGCUCACUAUCCUUCAUAAUUUUUUAUGCUUGUCUUCCCAAAAUAGCCUUUUAAUACACAAGUAAAUGUCUAGGCUUUGGUGAGGAUAGUUUGGUCAUUGCAUUUUACAAGUAAGAUGAGUGGUGGAGAAAAAUGAGGAGUGCACAUAUAACGCUUCAGCAAAUCCCACCAGCAAUUCCAUUUUCUUAAUUAAUUAAUCUCUUCAGCAAAUCCCACCAACUCUUCAGCAAAUCCUAAUGAUAUUAUUAUCAGGUUUAAAACAGUACACAAAUAGUGAAAAGCUAACUAGUCUGUAGAGUAAUUUGCUAAUUGCUAUCUCCUCUCUCCGCGCGCUGAAUAAUUUGUUGCAUGCAAACUUUUUAUUUUAUGCAAAUCGUACGUACUGUAACAUUGGAAUUGAUGUAAAAGCAAAAAUACAAGAAUAUUUAUGUCAAUAAAAAUAGUUUUUUUGGCCUUUUUAAAUAAACACAACGCGAUAUUGCUCUGCUCUACAUUUUUGCUAUCUCUUUAUUCUUCUUUUUUUUUUUGGGCUUCUUAAAGCCUCAAACUUUGAUAACCAAAACUUCAUCGACCUAUGAAAAAAUCUGCAGAUUAGUUUUUAUUAUCGGAAUAAUCAUUUGAGAAUACUAAAACAAAAUAUAAAUAAGAAAAUAGGAGGUUAAAUUAGAGGGGGGAAAAAAGGUAUGUUGGAUAGAUUACUAUAGUUUAAGAAAAAAAAAUCCAAUUGGGAAUUUUUUUCUUUAAUUUUUGUUUUACUUGAUUGAGAUUUCUCCUUGGUCCUUACAGUUUUAAGUUUGGAUGCCGUAGGGUUAGUAAUUUAGUACUUCCUUUGCAAGCUGAGUGCAAGAAUGAAAAUCUUUAAAGAAAUAAAAAAAAAAAAAAAAAGCAUACCAAUAGGUAAUUAUAAAUAACCAUACAUAAACAUAAACAAAAUGAGGUAAUUAUUAAUAUUAUUUUUUGUUUUAUUUCUUACUUGUCUAUUUUAUUUGCUGCUUGAUAACCCGUAAAUACUAAUCUAGUACUGCUAAUUUCAGACACAAAAUUUUUAACUCUAGGCUGCAGUUUUACUCAAAAUGAUGACCACUGGCUUCGCACCAUUUAACCGGCAUACAUUUCUACAAAUUGAACAAGGCUAUUGAUUUUCAUUAUUAUUUUUUAUUUUUUUAUAAAUUACUAUUUUAAUUUUCACUUUUCAUUGGGUUGUUUAACGGAUUAGUGAAGUUGGUGGUCGUGAUGCACUCACAAGGUACAAUUUUAUUUUAUAAUUUCAAAUUUGUAUUUUAAAAUGCAGGUACAUUAUGUAUACAUAAUUAUUGAUUUUCGUAUGUGGGUGUUUUGAAAUAUUGCUAAAAGACCAAACUUUAAUAAACUAUUUUUCAUCUUUUUUUUUUCCUAAAGUUUAAGUGAUAUCCGCAUUUUAAAUUCAUGUGGAACAAAAGCUAAUGUAUGCACAAAAUCCUUUUAUUUUUUCCGAGAAAAAUGGUUAAGAGAAGAAGAUUUUUCUCUUGAAAAAGAAAAACUAAUACGAUGCAAGCAUAGGAAAGAGGUCAGUGUUUUGGAUUAGAAUUUAGUAUUGAGCUGAAUUUUAUACUAAACUCUUUUAUAGUACUGCGAUUAAUAAACUCAUGAUUUGCUUUUGCUUUUACCUCAAGUGAAAGAAAGAGGAAACCUUUUGUUUUUUGUUUGAUUCUUGACUAUAGGUGUUACCUAUAUAGAGAGUUGAGGUAGCUGCCUUAAGUGAUGGUGAUAAAAAGAUUAAGCAGCGCACACAAUCUUACUGUCGUCCAGACCAUCCAGCUGUGAUGACUCUUGUUUUUUGGUUACAUUAGCUUUAGUGGAACGGAGGGCCAAUUUAACAAAGACUAGAUUUGGUGGCUUACUAUAAUGCUUAUUCUCAGGGAAUCUAAUGUUAUAAGAUGAUUUAAUGAUCUUCUAUGAUUGUGAGUAGUAUAGUAUAAUUGAAAAGAGCUUGGGCUCCUAUGAUGAAUAUUUAAUAGUAACACAGUACUGUUAUUGAAAAAAACACAGUUACAAUAAACUCUUCAUUUAUUCAUUGUGGAGAUUGAAUGGCAAACAGAGAAUAAAAUGAAGCAGAGGAAUCUCAUUGCCAGUAAAAUUGACCCUCUUUAAUGUUAUAUGGCACAGGUGUGUGUACAGCAAGAUCAAGUUACUUGCAGUUUUUAUUGUAAAAUAUAUAGGUUAUGACCAUGAUCAUUGUAGUUAGGUUUUGAUGAUUUUAGAUGCUUUUUUUAUUUUUUUUAAAAUUGUGACACCUUUGAUUUAUGGUAGUUUUGCAGAAGAAAAAAAUAUAUAUAAAAAUUAGGAGGGAUGAGUUAACUAACGAUUGCAAUCAUUACAGUAAUGUUGAUGAGUGAUACAUCAUUUGAAAUUUACUUGUCAGUUGCUGAAAUGAUGAAAAAAAACAGUAAACAAUAGCAGUAAUAUUUUUUGGCAAUAUAAAAAAUUAUUGCGGUUAUUUUUUGGCAAUAUAAAAAAAUUUUAGCAAAUAAAAAUUAAUUUUUUUCCGAUUAACUAAAAAAUUAAUUAAAAACUUCUGCGAUGGCAUUUUUUAUGGGUGCAUAUACCCUCCCUUUAAAAGAAAAAAUAAUAAUUAAUACUUAAUAUAGUAUUAAAUACGAAAAUAUCAAUAUUUGACUACACAAAUUUAAUAGUCUUGUGUAAUUAGUGAGUGAGAGAUUGGGUGUAUUGGAGUUUUGGGUAGUGAGCCAAAAUAUUACAAUACUUGUAAUCUUUAUUUCACUAGUGAAAUAUUUUCCUUCUGUUUUUGCCCGUGGACGUAGGCUAAAAGCCGAACCACGUAAUUUCUGGUGUCCUCUAUUGUACUUGUUCUUUAUUUGCUUCCAAUUUUAUUUUAACUGCGCGUCUGCUUCACCCAUCAAUUUCCUAACAAAUCUUGAUCCCAUGCACACGCAAAUAUGUUAAUUUCUAUACGCUUCACUUACCUGUAGAAUCAAUUAUCUAAAAUGCAAGUUUGUGGCCACAAAAAAAGCCAAAGAAAGAAGAUAAUAACAAUUGACUUGUAUAUUAUACUCAUACAAUCCACUCGACAUAAUGAUAUCAUUUUAAUAAGGCAAUGGCUGAUGAUCUCCAUUGAAAAACUAAUUCAAUUUUUUUGCUUCAUUUAACUUUUUGGUUGUUGAAAAUAACCUUAAUUAUCAAAUAAUUGGAGAAAGAGUAAAGAACAUUUAACAAAUUUAUGUGCAAAAAAAAAAAAAAAGAAGUUGAAGAGAAAGGGUGCUUGCAGAAGUGGGUGUCAAAGAAACAUCGGUCCAUAAGAAUUAUUGCGGUUAUUUUUUGGCAAUAUAAAAUAUUUAUAGCAAGUAAAAAUUAAAUUUUUUCCGAUUUACUAAAAAAUUAACUAAAAACUUCUGCCACAACAUUUUUUAUGGGUACAUAUACCCUCCCUUUAAAAAAAAAAUAAUAAUUAAUGCUUAAUAUAGUAUUAAAUACCAAAAUAUCAAUAUUUGGCUACUCAAAUUUAUAUCAUUAGGUCCUUAAAAUUAAAAAUUGAUGAUACAAAAGGAAAUAUAUAUAAAUUUCAUUCUCAUGGAAAGGAUUCUCUUAUAAUCUUAUAAUAUUUGAGUUUUGAAAUUUUUUGAAGCAAAUGUAAUUUUAUUUGUGUACAAUCAAUAUUUACUUAUUUAUUAUAUUUUAAUUUGUUAACUAUCAAUCAUUUAAGUAUAUUUAGUCAGAAAAAUUAUAUCAAGAGAGAAUCCUAAUUUCACGCAAACACAAAUACAAGAUAAAUAUGUCAAUUUCUAUACUAUCCACUUUCCUGUAGAAUCAAUUAUCUAAAAUGCAAGUUUGUGGCUACCGAAAACUCGCCAAAGAAAGAAGAUAAUAACAAUUGAGCAUUGAUAGCAAAACUAAUGCAUCAUUUUCUUCUUGACUUGAUGAGAUGGUGCCAUUACAAAAAAAAAAGUACCUUAAUUGACGGGCACUGAGUGAUGUGAAUACUACCAGCCAGUUCAUCUCUUCCAGUCUUGCUUAAUCACAAUCACAAACACCACGAGAUUGACAUUUGCAUUAUAUAUAUCUUCAGCAAUCGAAACACCUUGCAUUACCAAAUUAACCGGUAACAAACAAAGCAAUCUUUCAUGGAGAGAAACUUUAGUCUCAGUAUGAUCACUUUGUCAUUAACCCACUACCUGCUUCUUUGCUUGGUUGUUGCAGCAGCAGCAGCCGCAAGCAACAAUAUUACCACAGACCAACAAGCUCUUCUUGCCCUGAAAGAUCAUAUAACUUAUGAUCCAACCAACCUUUUUGCCCAUAAUUGGACCUCGAAUACCUCUGUUUGUACCUGGAUUGGCAUCACUUGUGAUGUCAAUAGCCAUAGAGUCACAGCCUUAGAUAUUUCUCAAUUCAAUCUACAAGGCACCAUCCCUCCUCAACUUGGAAACCUUUCUUCACUUACAACGCUUAAUCUUAGUCAUAACAAGCUUUCUGGAGACGUUCCAUCCUCCAUCUACACCAUGCAUUCGCUAAAAUUUCUUGACUUCACUGAUAACCAGCUCUCUGGUUCAGUGUCUUCCUUCGUCUUCAACAUGUCUUCAAUAUUAGAAAUUCUUUUGACCAAUAACAGAUUUUCUGGUGAGCUUCCGAAAAAUAUUUGCAACUAUCUUCCUUAUUUGAAAGCCCUUUUCUUAAACAAAAACAUGUUUCAUGGCAAAAUUCCUUCUGCUUUAUCAAAGUGCAAACAACUGCAAAAAUUAAAUUUGCAGUUCAAUAAUUUAUCCGGUGCAAUACCGAAAGAAAUCGGCAACUUGACUAUGCUCAAAGGCAUAUAUCUCGAAUACAACAAACUCCACGGUAUGUUCAUAAUACUAUGUAAAUGUUUUAAUUUCUCAAUUGUUAUUUUCUUGAAUACUUUAGACAAGAUCUUGUAAGGGAGAUAUUUUUGGAUCUGUGUUAAUUUGCCAGGUGAGAUACCCCACGAAAUCGCUAAUCUUCGAAAUCUAGAGGAUUUAUUGCUUGGAAUGAACAACCUAGUUGGUGUGUUACCAGCUCCAAUCUUCAACAUGUCAACACUGAAAUUAUUUGACCUCAUAAAUAACUCUCUCUCCGGAAGUCUUCCAUCAAGAAUAGACCUUUCACUUCCAACUGUUGAGUUUUUUGGCUUGGCACUUAAUAGAUUUUCUGGAACCAUUCCUAGUUCCAUCACCAAUGCUUCUAAGCUCACCGUUCUAGCGUUGGGAGAGAACACAUUUUCGGGCUUCAUUCCAAACACAAUUGGUAAUUUAAGAAACCUUGAGUGGCUCAGCUUGGAGAAUAAUUACUUGAAAUCUUCAACCUCAAAAUUGAGCUUUCUUUCCUCUUUGGCAAAUUGCAAGAAAUUAAGAUUCUUAAACUUAGCAGGCAAUCCACUUGACGGCUUCCUUCCAAGUUCAAUAGGUAAUCUUUCUGUGUCUUUGGAAACACUUUUCAUCGGCAAUUGCAGUAUUAGUGGCAACAUUCCUCAAGCAAUUAGCAAUUUAAGCAACUUGUUGACCUUAGUAUUAGAAGGCAAUAAAUUGACUGGACCAAUUCCAAUUACAUUUGGCCGACUACAGAAACUCCAAGGCUUAGAUCUUGCAUUCAAUAAGUUGGUAGGUUCAUUCCCAGAUGAGCUUUGCCAUCUAGCAAGGCUGGAUCAAUUGGUCUUAUUUGGCAAUAAGCUUUCAGGAUCUAUACCUUCAUGCCUAAGUAAUCUCACUUCUCUAAGAUCUCUCUACUUAGGGUCCAAUAGGUUAACUUCUGUUAUUCCCUCAACUUUCUGGAGCCUAAAAUACAUCUUGUUCUUUGACUUUUCAUCAAAUUUCUUGGUUGGUACUCUUUCUUUCGACAUAGGUAAUUUGAAGGUGCUUCUAGGAAUAAAUUUAUCAGAAAAUAACUUAUCGGGUGAUAUGCCAGCCACAAUUGGAGGACUGAAAGAUCUUCAAUUUAUGGACCUAGCAUUUAAUAGAUUGGAAGGCCCAAUUCCUGAAUCAUUUGGUGACUUGACAAGUUUGGAGGUUUUGAAUUUGUCAAAAAAUAAAAUCUCUGGGUCUAUUCCAACAUCCAUGGAGAAACUCAUUUACCUUCGAGAGUUAAAUCUCUCUUUCAAUAAACUUGAAGGUGAGAUUCCUAGUGGAGGAAUUUUUACCAACUUCACAGCUGAGUCAUUUAUGGGAAAUGAGUUAUUGUGUGGUUUACCAAAUCUUCAAGUCCAACCAUGCAAACUUAGCAAGCCUAGGACAGAACAUAAAUCAAGGAAAAAGAUACUUCUCAUUGUGAUUGUUUUGCCAUUGAGUAUUGCUCUAACGAUAGCAAUCACUCUAGCUCUCAAAUCUAAGCUGAUCGAAUGUAGAAAAAGAGGCACAGAGUUAUCAAAUGAUAGUAUCUUGUCAUCAGAAGCAACACUAAGAAGAUUUUUAUACUUAGAACUUUUACAAGCAACAGAUAAUUUUGCUGAAAACAACAUAAUUGGCAGAGGAGGUUUUGGUUCCGUUUAUGGAGCAAGACUUGAAGAUGGGAUGAAGAUUGCAAUAAAAGUGUUUCACCAGCAAUGUGCAAGCGCAUUGAAGAGUUUUGAGGCUGAAUGUGAAGUGUUAAAAAAUAUUCACCAUCGAAACCUUAUCAAAGUUAUCAGCAGUUGCUCGAACGAUGACUUCAAAGCAUUAGUCCUAGAAUACAUGUCCAACGGGAGCUUGGAGGAUUGGCUGCAUUCUAGCAAUUAUGUGCUGAAUAUAUUUCAGAGGUUGAACAUAAUGAUUGACGUUGCAUCAGCUUUAGAAUAUCUCCACUUCGAUCAUUCAACUGCUAUUAUUCAUUGUGACUUAAAGCCUAGUAAUGUAUUGUUGGACGAAAAUAUGGUUGCUCAUUUGAGUGAUUUUGGCAUAGCAAAGCUUUUAAGUGGAGAGGAUGAGUCUACGAUACGAACAAAAACCCUUGCCACUCUAGGUUAUAUGGCACCAGGUUUGCUUCAAACAACUUUCGUUUUUAGUUCAUUUUAAAUUUUCCAACUUAUUGAUUUUUACAAUCCUCACAUCAAAAUGUUAUUGAUUAUUUAUCUAAUUGUGAAAUUAAUUUGAUUCAUAGAGUAUGGCAUAGGAGGAGAAGUAUCUACAAAAAGUGAUGUUUAUAGCUAUGGGAUUAUGUUGAUGGAAACUUUUACCAAGAAAAAACCCACAGAUGAAAUUUUUGUUGGAGAAUUGAGCUUAAAGCGUUGGGUUAAUGACUUGCUUCCUAAUUCAUUAGUGGAAGUUGUGGACAAAACUCUGCUAAGUGGAGAGGAAAAACAUUCUGCAGCAAAGGAGCAAUGUCUGUUGUCUAUCUUUAGUUUGGCUCUGGAGUGUACAAUGGAAUCACCGGAAAAGAGGAUUAAUGCAAAAGAUAUUGUUACCGGAUUACUCAAGAUAAGAGACACAUUGAGUAAAAGGAUAGGAAAUUUAAGUUAAUUUCGUUUGCUUUCAUUGAUAGUUAAUUCGAAUUCAUGUAAUAAGUGUAAGAACCUUAUAUCUUUUACUUUGAUUUUUUUUUUCUUGAGAAAACUGUUGUAGUCAUCUUGUUUCCAUGGGCGGAGUUGAUUUAGUUCUUCCAAGAAAUGCUACUGAUGACAUUUGUUUUAUACUUUCUCUUUUUUUUUGCAUGUGUUUAGGUAGAAUAGUGGUUUGGUUGCACUCUAAGAAGUCUAACUACACUAAAAGAAUAUGAUUUAAUUUAUUAAACAAAACUUCAAGUUCAAGAAAAGUAUCUCAUUGCCCCCAAUGCUUUGGACACCUAUUGGUAGGUUUGUACGUGUCCUCAACUUUUUUUUGGAGCACAAAAUUCGAGUCCCAUAAAGGCUCAAACAUUCCUUUCCUUCAUCCCGAGGGCGCCUUCUGUCCUCUGUUUUCUGUUUCCACACACAAAUAGCAAAAAGAAAUUAGAAUGACAACUGGGACAUAUAUAAGAGUGAAAUAAUUAAAAAAAUUAUGCUUUUUUGUCUGUCGUGUUAAAAUCGUAAGUACCGAAGUACUGUGAAAGAGAUUAAUUUACAGAAACUGAAGCCAAGGGUUCAAAAAAAACUAUUGAUGUAGGUAGAAUGCAAUGUCAUAUUCAUACAGAGAUGAAGUAUAUUAUUUACGGCUGGUAAGGACUAAGAAUUGAUGUAGCUAGAAUGCAAAGAUGAUGAGGUAUGUUGUACACUAUUGUUUUUAUUCUACAAUCAAUCUUGACCCCUGAUGCUUGGCUCUCAAUCUUGUCCAUUGAUCUUCUCUGAUUUUGGAGACUUGAAGACCUUUCAGUAUCAUGCCUUGUUGUUGGUGUCUUCCGUGCUGUAGAAUUCAUAUACAAGUUUUCCCGCCGACUUGCCAAGUAUUUGUUCAUUGAUGCAUUUUAUCAAACAGUUGGCCUGCUCAGAGCAAACAGCUCCUGUUUUAACUCCCCCUCCGUAGCUCAACUAUCUGGGAAGACAAUUAAUUGAGCUUGUUUCACAAUUAUAUGAAUCUGAAAGUUCAAUUAUAUCCUCUAAUGGAGAGAACUCAUUGCCUCAGUAUGAUCACUGUGUCAUCAACCCACUCCCCGCUUCUUUGCUUGGUUGUUGCAGCAAGCAACAAUUUUACCACAGAUCAACAAUAGUUUGUCCAUUUGUUCCAGUGAGGUCGUCAUUAAAAAUUAAUUUUCAUAUUGAUUUUCUUAAUUAUAAAUAAUACUAAUGAUAUUUCAUAGUUAUAAAUAUAUUAGAAUUAAUCGAAAUCAUUUUUUAGUGCGGCAUGGCUAAAACUACCUUUUUUUUUUUUAAGUAAUUACUACUUCAAGGAAAAUACUCCUAUUUUCAAGGAAAAGUCAAGUACCCGUAGUUGUGAAGACUCGAGCUCACCCUCUUAUGAUAAAUCUUCUUAUCAAUUACAUAAAUAUCCUCUAAAUUUUUAGUUAACUAUUCAAAAUUCGAUGUUAUACGGGUAUUUCAUUUAUUUGAGUAGGGGUUCGGGGUCAAUUGGAUACAAAUUCAAAAUUAUCCUUACUUGAGAAGGUGAUAAAAAUUGGGGAUUUAGUUUGGAUGCAUUAGCUACAAAUAUUAAACUCAUACAUCUAAUUCAAAAUUAGAGGGCUGAUAUAUGUGCAUCCUCGUGCACAUUAUAGUGACACGUGUCACCAUCCUACAACCUAUCCAAUGAAAAAUUGACAUGCAUCUUGUGCGCUUCUGAUCAAAAUCCUGAAAAUUAAUCACAAAGUUAUACUUUUAUUAUAAAAAGAAUAAAGAAACUCCAAAAAAAAAAAAAGACUUACAUAUAUAAAUAGUUUGAAUAAUCUAGAUUCCAAGUUGUCUAUAUUAGCUUGAUCUUUUUAUAAAUAGUCAUCUUCGAAAAAAAAUUCCACCAACAUAUAUUUUAAUUUUAUGUUAAUUAAUAAAUAGAAAAAAAUCAUUUUAGAAUUAAUUAAAACAUUAUUUAUUGUUGCCAAAAAAAGGAAGAAUUUAGUGAUAAGAAAAAAGUGUCUCAAAUAUACGUUAAAAAAAUUAAUCAUGGUGGGUUCGAUUGAUUGAAUUUUUUUUUUUAAUCUUUUUCUUUUUUAAGAAUUAAGACAAUUGGAUUGAUUGAGUAAUAAUAAAAUAUAUUUAUUUGGCAAAUGGCAGGUAGGCUUUCUUCUGAUGCAGAUUGAUUAUAGAGAAUAUACAACAAUUUUAAGCUCGUCAGAUUCGGAACCUGCUUAUCUGUCGUGUGGGGAUCACUUCCGUGUCUUAUUUUUCUAGAAAAAUCUGGACCAUUAGGCAGUAGAGAAAUGUUGAUCUUGAUUCCUGAUCAGGAUCGAAGUUUGAUUCUAUCUAACAUGAUAUCAGAUUGCGAAGCAGGCUAGUAUGUAAAUUUCUUUUAUCUUUUAGAGGAAAAUGGGCAAGAGAAGAAGAUUUGGCAAAGGAAUUGCAACCGCAUUUCUAGUAUGUUCUGAUCAGAGAAGCGAAAUCCAUCACGGUCUUUUAUCUUUACCCAUGUGGAGAAAUCAAGGGAUUUCGAAUCAGAGAAGCGAUGGGAUUUAGUUCUGAUCUGGGAUUUUGGAGACUUAGGGAGUGUGCGGUCUUGGACCAACAUUGAUGACGAUGACGCUUCAAAUUCAAUGACUUGAAAGCAGAAAACAAAGACAGACAAAAACAGACAUGCACUACAGCAAGAAAGAUUGACUGAAUCUUGGGUUACUGUGUCUGUGGUCUCAAAUGAAACACAAGUGGGAAGCCUUGCUGCAGUUUCAGCUUUGGUUUGUGUUUGAAGUUUUGAAUGUAAAAAGAGAACCGAGCAUGUGGUUGCCGACAAGAAUGGCCUGAGGUUUCUUAAGCUUCAUUGUAAUGUUACAACUGCUACUAAUUUGGUGGGGUGGGAGGUCGCUGGGUCGCUGUCAGUCCAUUUGCUUCUUUUCUUUCUUUUUGUUAUUUGUUGAGUUUUUUCCAUUUCUACUUUUCUUAAUAUAUAAAUUAUCAUUUUUUUAACAUGCAAAAUAUAUAGAACAUUUUAUGAGUUUAUAAAUAAAAAUUAUAUUAUGGGAUAAUAGUGAAUGAGUUCCUGGUGCUUUGGAGUUCUUUAAAUUAAGGGCCCAGUUUGUCCAUUUGUUUUAGUUAGGUCCUUCUUAAAAAUUGAUUUUCUUAAUUAUAACUAAUACUAAUGAUAUUUCAUAGUUAUAAAUAUAUUAGAAUUAAUCCAAAAUAUUUUUUAGCGUGGCAUGGCUAAAACUACCUUUUUCUAUAAGUAAUCACUACUUUUGCAUUAAGGAAAAUAUUCCUAUUUAAAAAAAAAUUGAAUAUCUAUAGUUGUGAGGACUCGAACUCACUCGCUUAUGAUAAAUCUUUGUUGAUGCGAGAUUCUGGUUACCCACUCGACCACGUCCAGGAUCUCUGCUCAAUCAACUAACUCGACCACGAUCAGGAUCUCUCCUCGUAUGCUUUCUUCUUCAAAAAUUCCUGCGUACACAGAAACAAGUCAGAGCACGCCAGUUGUUUUCCCGGCGUAAACCCUCCGACGCUCAAGUCAGAUAUGAAGGUUUUGUGUUCCUGGGAACGUUAGCCACUAGUCUUAAGCUUUGCUUUUGGUAUCGAUUGCUGAAUGCUCUCUUUAUCUCAAUUUCCGUAUUAAAAGUUAACCCUUUUACCUUCGUUGGCUGCCUUUUUAUAGGCUCCACCUGAGUCCAGAUCCUCCCCUCCAUUCACGCCCGUUACCUUCCCACCUCUCGAAAGUGGAUGCUUUGUUUCCGUAAUCGUGGGUGAUUGCAUGGCCUUCGUGCCUCGAUUCUCAGGCUGGAGAGUACGUCUCGCCAACUGUCGUUGACUGGGUCUCCUCGCCUCAAACCUUAGCAGGAAUGGCUUUAUGCUUCUAACAAGAGACCGGCUUCGCGGAUGGCGUAUUCAUGGACGAGCAGAUAUUCCUGCUUAUGUUCCAAUGCUACCAGACCUCUGCUCAUCACGGCUGGUCUCGUCGAAGUACAUCCCCCAAACACCGGUCCCCCAGUUUCUGGUGUUGGGUAACAUAGUGAGCCAACAGUAGAAACUCGACAGUUCUUGCUCGCGCGAGAUAGGAAAAGACUGCCAAGAGUCGUGUCGCAUUUAAUGGCGGAUGAGGUGAUGUGGCAGAAAUCUACCCCUCCAUUUGAAUUUCAAACCGACGGUUACGAAACCCUAGGGAUUUGUGCCGUUAAAUGCCGGCAGCCCAAGAGUUUGUUCUUCAUUAGGAAAACCCAAAACCCCCAAAAGAGGAACUCGUCUUUUACUCCGUUUCUGUCUCUCCUGCGAAUGAGUCCUUCCUCUCCCUCGGCGUAAAAGCUUCCUUCCUUGUCUCUCUCCGACUAAGUCACAACUUCAGGUACUAUUUCUUUUUUCCUCGGUCGUGGAUAGUUGUAAACAAUUUCUUUUACAUUUUGCUUGGGUAGUGUUUGGUGGUGCAGUUCUGGUUAUAGUUUAGGGAAUGUCGAAAGGUAAGGAGAAAGUCAUUGAGAUUGAUGACGACGAGUUAGACUUCUUGCCUAGUCUGCUCGCCGAUUCUGCUUUCGACACCGGGAUCCCCUUAGAACCCGUUAGACCUAAUGUUGCGACUAGUGCUAGGAGGAUGUCCCCCCAAGUAACCUCCUCAACUGGAAAUAGCGACGACGAGGGUUCUUCUGGUUCGGAAGACACUUUGAGUGAAGAUCAGGGAAAUGAUUCUGGUGAGAUGUCCUCACCAGGAACAUCGUGACCAGAUAGGAGGGGCAUAGUAGGAGGUAGAGCUCUAUCACAGAAUUACACUAUUGAUUUUAUGACGUGCACGACCACAGUAGAUGAGCUAGUUAGUCUCCGGGCUAGAUACGGCAUCCCUGAUGAAAUUUCCCUUAGGAUCCCAGGAAAAAAAGAUACCCCCAGCCGGCCUCCUAGGGGAUAUAUUACUCUGUUUCUAGAGAGUUUUAAACUUGGGCUAAGGUACCCCAUACAACCCUACUUUGCCCGAAUACUCAAUGGGUUGAAUUUAGCUCCUGGUCAACUGAACCCCAAUGGGUGGUGAGUACUUUCUGGUCUGUUCAUAUUGUGAGACAGAUGUUGCCAAAGCGAGCCAACAAUUGACGAGGUGAAGCACCUGUACCAGCUAAAGAGCAGCCCCAAAGAUGUCGGCUGGUAUUACUUCCAGUCUAGUACCAAGACCAGGAAACCCAUAACCGAUCUUCCAACUGGUGGUGGUAGGACUUGGAAGAAAAAAUUCUUUUUUGCUGGGGGUCCCUGGGGUCAAGUUGCACAGAUUGACGAGAAGGAUUACCGUGUCCCACCUCAUUUCGUGGUCCCAGGUUGCCUACUCGCUUAAGAUGUUUUGUCUCCAUAGUCGUUCUCAUUUUGCUGAUUUGUUUCUAAUCCAAAAUCUGUUCGCAUUGCAGGUUCCUGGGGUGUGCACUACCAGCUUAAACCCGAGCCGCUCAAGCGAGUCGAAGCUGUACUGGCCAAUUUCUACACGAACCGAGAGCUGCUAACUACUUUCAAUUUGGUCGAAUCUCGUUUGGUGUCUACCGGCCAUAAAAUGGAGGAUGCUGUGAUCGGGGCUCUGACUCGGAAACGUCCCCAACCUCAUGCUACCAAGCAGGACCAGAAUAAAUAUGCUCCCACUGCGAAGCGGGUGAACAUUGUGCAGCAGGUUCCUCCCUUGAAGACCCUACCACCUCCUUCUGCCAAAGUCGGAGAAACUAGCGGAGCAGCCACCGAUCCCGCUUCCUCUUAUCCUCCAGUCGGGCCGAGAUCUCGUUUAUCUGACAAUCGAGCAAAACAUUUGGUCCCCUAUAUCAACGAGUUCUCUAAACUCGUGAGCAAGAGGGACCUAGAGGACUUUGACGACAGCACCUUGGGUGAGCUGGUGGGGGCCAUGCAAUAUAGCGCUUUCCAUCUCGACUGUAUGGCCACUUACUACAAGGCCAAGGUUGGUCGUUAUGACCGAAAGAUGAAGGAGGACAUUCAAUCGGCCAUGAUCAAAGCUGAUGCUGCCGAGAAGAAAGCAGGGGACUUGAAUCUCGAGAAUUUGAAGUUGAUAGAGCGAGAAUCUCUUGCUCAAGCAAAAGCCAUUACUCUCGAGGAUGAGCUAGCUAAGGUCAAGGAGGAUCUGCAAAGACAGCAGGCUAUGUACGAGGCCCAGCUCGAAUCUCUUCGGGAUUCCCACAAGGUUUAGGUCGAGAACCUGGAGAAGGAAGCUGAUAAUCAAUAUGACCAGGGGCUUCAGCACUCCUAUCAUUGCAUCAUGGCCGUCCUUGGGAAGCAGCAUCCGGAUAUGAAAAUGGACGAGCUUGCUACUGGUGUUGCUCAGCAUAUGGAUGAGGAGGCAGCAAAAGAGGACGCCGAAGAGGUGGAGCCAACUGAGGUUGAGGAGGGAAACACUCCUCCUCGUGCAAUCCUUGCUGAUGUCGCUGAGGCGAGUACCCCCCGAAUGCAACUGGUGAUACCCCCUGCCCCUGAGGUGGACCAGCCAACCAAGGCUGCUCGGCUUACUGACCCGCCGUCCUCUUGAUUGUAUUUUGUGUUGUAGUUGCUUUCUUGAAACGCUAUAUGUUAUGACUAGCAGUUUUUUCUGGUUGUUGAUUAAUAAAUAAGAAUGUUCUCAUUUGCUUUCUCGUCGUAAAUCAUUUUAAGUUUGAGGGUCUACUUGCCUUCUCUUGUACUAGCAGUUCUUGACACGCUUGGCUUCUGGUCUCGCCAUAGAACAUGCUUGUGACUUGGUGAGCCUUUGCAUGCCUUAGAAAUUUUUUCAAUGUUGGGAUUCUGCUCGCCUUCGCUUGGUCGAGCAGAUCUUGGCACGCUUGGCUUUUGGUCUCGCCAUAAAAACAGGCUUUGAAAAUUGGUGAGCCUUUGCAUGCCUUAGAAAUUUUUUCAAUGCUUGGGAUUUUGCUCGCCGUCGCUUGGUCGAGCAGAUCCUGGCACGCUUAGCUUUUGGUCUCGCCAUAAAAUAGGCUUUGAGACUUGGUGAGCCUUUGUAUGCCUUCGAAAUUUUUUCAAUGAUAGGGAUUCUGCUCGUCGUCGCUUGGUCGAGCAGAUCCUGGCACACUUGGCUUCUAGUCUCGCCAUAAAACAGGCUUUGAGACUUGGUGAGCCUUUGCAUGCCUUAGAAAUUUUUUCAAUGCUUGGGAUUCUGCUCGCCGUUGCUUGGUUGAGCAGAUCCUGGCACGCUUGGUUUCUGGUCUCGCCAUAAAACAGGUUUUGAGACUUGGUGAGCCUUUGCAUGCCUUAGAAAUUUUUUGCACAGUUACAAGUGAAUGAAAUUCCUCGACGUUUCAUUAAUUACAGAAUUCAACUUACAUAGGAAUGCAUAGCAACGAGAACAAAUUAAAGUAAUUUUUGAACAUGAGCAAGUCUUACUGGAAAUAUUUCCUGAGGUGCGCUGCGUUCCAUAGGCGUUUCACCUCGUGGCCAUCCGUGCGAACAAGCUUGUAAGCUCCGAGUCCCACUAUCUGCUUGACCCUGUAUAGCCCCUGCCAAUUCGGUCCAAGCACUCCUUGAGUCGAGUCUUUGGUGUUCUGAUUCACUCUCCUUAGCACCCAAUCUCCGACCCUAAACUGCCGUACAUUCACCUUCUGGUUAUAAUACCGAGCAACCCUCUGCUGGUAAAUGGCUAAUCGCUUCGAUGCUUGCUCCCUCUUCUCUACAAGCAAAUUCAGAUUCAAGCACAUCUGCUCGUUGUUAUCUUGCUCAUUGAAAUGAUCUGUCCGGUGCGUGGUCGUUCCUAUCUCGGCUGGUACGACCGCUUCAUGUCCGAAGGCCAAGGCGAACGGUGUUUCUCCAGUUGCUGUUUUGUAGGUUGUCCUGUAUGCCCAUAAAACACAUGAUAGCUCAUCAACCCAUGCUCCAUUUUUUGCUCCAAGCCUGGUUUUCAAAAGCCUCUUGAUCGUCUUGUUGGCUGCUUCUACUUGUCCAUUGGAUUGAGGGUGAGCAAGCGAGCAGUACUUCAACUCUAUCCCGAGGUUCUGGCAGAAAUCCCUGAAACUGUGAUUAUCGAACUGCCUGCCAUUAUCCAUUACCAAGGCAUAGGGGAUCCCGUACCGACAGACCAGGUUUCUCCAUACGAAGUCUGUUGUCUUCUUCUCUGUGAUCUUGCUGAGGGCUUCUACUUCUAUCCACUUCAUGAAGUAGUCUAUUGCUACUAUUCCAUGUGUUGUUGCUCCUCGUCCCCUUGGCAACGGCCCGAUCAGAUCAAUUCCCCACUGAGCAAAUGGCCAAGGGGAGGCUAUAGAGGUGAGCUUCUCUGGUGUUUGGCUGGAGAAACUUGCAAAACUCUGGCAGCUUAAGCAGCUCCUGGUCUUCUCCUGCGCAUCCUGGUGCAUUGUCGGCCAGAAAUAUCCCUGCCUUAGAACCUUAUGGGCAAGGGACCUCCCACCAGAAUGGUUUCCGCAAAUUCCUUCAUGUACUUCUCUCAGUACGUAGUCUGCGUUGUCCUCAUCUAAGCACCGAAGGAACGUGAGUGUAUAUCCUCGCCGAUAUAGCACCCCAUCAAUCAUUGUGUACCUUGAGUCUUGGGCUCUAAUCUUCCGAGCUCGUAGCUUAUCUGGUGGUAACACCCCGUCUCUGAUAUAUGAAAUUAUCGGAUCCAUCCACGAGCCUUUUUGUUCUAUCUGCAUCACCUUCAAAUUCUGCUCGAUGCUAGGGUUGGUUUUCACUUCCAAAGGGACCGUCUUAGGCAUUUUAGGGUCUGCUACAACUGUCAUCCUGGCCAGAAUAUCGGCUCGACUAUUUUGUUCCCUUGGGAUUUGUAUCAACUUAACCGCUUCGAACUUCCUCAUCAUCUGCCUGACUUUCUUCAAGUACUGCUCCAUCUUCUCAUCUCUCGGUUGAAAACUUUCACUGACAUGAUUUGCGACCAGCUGAGAAUAAGUUCUGAUCUUCACCCUAUCUGCUUUCAUUGCCUUAGCCAAUUCCAAACCUGCUAUCAAGGCUUCGUAUUCUGCCUGGUUAUUUGUGGCUGUGAACUCUAACUUUACAGCAUAAGAAAUCUCCUCCCCCUCUGGGUCUUUUAAGACAAUUUCUGCUCCUGAUCCUUGCUCACCUGAUGACCCAUCUACAGACAUCUGCCAUACUCGAGCUUUGCUGCUAUCUGUAGCGGUGUCCAGUUGGUCCAAACAUACUUCAAGCUCCGCGAAUUCUGCUAUGAAAUCGGCCGUUGCCUGAGCCUUUAUUGCUGCUCGGGGUUUGUAAUCUAUGUCGAACUCGCUAAGCUCUAUAGCCCACUUCACGAGCCGACCAGAAGCAUCUGGCUUGUGCAGAGUUUGACGCAAUGGCUGGUUUGUUAUUACCGUGACGGGGAAUGCUUGAAAGUACGGCCUCAGCUUCCGAGCAGCAACCACAAGGGCGAGUGUCCAUUUCUCCACCAAUGGGUAUCUGGUCUCGGCAUCGAGCAGGGUCUUGUUGGUGAAGUAUAUCGGGUACUGAACCCCUUCUUCUUCUCUUACUAGAACAGAACUUGCAGCAUGAUUUGAUACCGCCAAAUAUAAGAACAACCUAUCGUCAUCCCUUAGUGUGGACAGCAAAGGUGCUUGUUGCAAGUACUGCUUCAAGUUCUGGAAGGCUUCUUCACAUUCUGGGGUCCAUUCUGUAUUCUUUCCUCUCCUUAUCACUUGGAAAAAUGGCUGACACUUAUCUGUAGCCUUGGAUAUGAAUCGGCUUAAUGCCGCCAACCUCCCCGUAAGGCUCUGUGUCUCCUUCAGGUUACGAGGUGACCUCAUCUGCACGAUCGCCUGGAUCUUCUCAAGAUUUGCCUCGAUCCUGCUCGAACAUGGGGAUUUGGUUGUAUCCCGAGAAUGCGUCCAUGAAGCUGAGCAAGCCAUGUCCGGCUUUUAAGUCUACAAGCUGGUCAAUCUUUGGUAAUGGAAAGCUGUCUUUCGGGCACGCCUUGUUGAGGCCCGUGAAAUCCACACACAUCCUCCACUUGCCAUUAGCCUUUUUUACUAACACCACAUUCGAUAUCCACUCGGGAUAAUUGACUUCCCGAAUGAACCCUGCUUUCAAGAGCUUCUCCACCUCGCCGUUUAUAGCCUCAUACCUCUCCUGGUUGAAGCACCUCCUUUUCUGCCUUACUGCCCGAGCACCUUUCUUUAUUGCCAGUUUAUGACAUGCGACCUAAGGGUCGAUUCUUGGCAUGUCUUCAUGUGUCCAAGCAAACACAUCUGCAUGAGCCCGCAAGCAUUGCACCAACUCCUGCUUCUGCUAUUCUUUAAGCCUCAACCCAAUUCGGAUCGUUUUUCCCAGAUCCUUUGGUCCUAGGCUCACUGUCUUCAACUCCUCUACAGGUUCUUGUCUACCAGUCUUGGUUCCCACUCGGGUAUCAAGGGAUGUUAUCUGCAUUGCUUCCCUUGCUGACGAGGAGUAAUAGCUUCGUGCGAUUCUCUGGUCUCCUCAUACCACUCCAACUACCCCAUUCACCCGGUACUUGAGAGCUAGAUAAUGGUUGGAUGACACCGCUUUACUCAUCCUCAGAAAUGGUCGACCUAGGAUCAUCUGGUAAGGACCCUCUUCAUCGACUACCAAAAAAUCCAGCAUCAUAGUCCUUUCUGUCGGGGAGCUUCCAAUCGUGAUAGGCAGCUCAACCACGCCCAGGGGGACCAGCUUUCCUCCUCCAAAUCCCUUCAAGGAGGUAUUGGUGUGCUCCAACCUCAGGUCUGUUAUUCUCAUCUCCUCCAGAGUUGACUUAAACAACACAUCAACUGAGCUCCCUGUGUCAACCAGUAUCCGGUCAAACUUCUUGCUGGCGACGGUGGCCUUGAUGACUAAGGCAUCCUUGUGUGGGUAUAGAAUCCCUUAUUCAUCCUCAUCUGUCCACAUGAUUGGCACUUGUCAGACUCUUGCUCGUUUGGCUGCUGGGGUGUUGAAGAACACAUCUUUACUAGUCAUGGCAAAUUUAGCAUAAUUUUUCCUCGAUCUGUUGGAAUCUCCGGCCAACGUUGGACCCCCUAACAAUCACUCUUACUAUAGGCUGCCUGUGGCUCAAGUUCCUGUUACCCUGCUCCUCUUCACAUAUCGGGGCCACCGUCGGAAAAGUCCCAUCGAUAAACUCGUCCAGGUAUCGAUUUCUCACCAAAUCUUUAACCUGGGUCUUAAGGUCUCUUCAUUCUAUUGUGGUAUGGCCAUGAGUACCAUGGAACUUGCAAUAGUGCCCCUAUCCCUUCUGCUGGGUAGCUUUGUUAUUGGGGCUGGGAGGUACAGUAAUCCCCAGUCCUUUAUGGCCUCACAGACUUCGUCCAGUGGGAUAUUCAAGGAAGUAUACUGCCCAUAGUCCUGGUUCUGGUCGAUCAUAUGCACUGCCCUUUCUCUGUUUGUGCCAUUCUGAGUUGGAGGUGGUGGCAGCGCUUCUGGUCUGCUCCCCCUACUACCAUGGGGGUGUGGGUGAAGGUGACCGUAUGUCGCGUCAUGCCUUCUCCUAGGCUCCCUAGCUGGUGAGCGAGAAGGUUGCGCCCUGCUGUGCUGAUACUGUGGUGGCCUCUAAUGAGGUUGGUAAGCGGUUACCCGACCUCUUGUACCACUACCUAAGGCAUGGUGGUCCCUCCUCUUAAUCGGCCCAUUUCCUGGUACGGCUCUCUUCUCUUUCCUCUUUAAUCCUUCCAGCUGGUCUGUCUUAAUCCGUGCCGCCUUUUCCUCCUCUAUUUCUAUGUCUCUCUUAGCCUGCUCGUAAGCAACUGAAUAUGUCUGAAUAACUGGGCUUCUCAAGUUAUAUCACAUCCGUCUUAUCUUCACUCCUUCUUUCAAUCCCCUUAAUGCCUGAGGAUGGUUGAAGGCUCCCAAGUCGAGGACAGCACGGUGGAACCUUUUGAUGAAUUCCCGAAGGGUUUCCUCCUCUCUCUGCUUCAUGCUCGUUAACUCCAUCAUAUCAUCUUCCGGUGCCAUUACCCCACGAAACUGCUCUGCAAAUUCCUGGCACAUCUGCUCGAAGGCUUUAAUGCUCCCUCGAGGAAGUUUCCUGUACCACUCGCGUGCUCGUCCCUCUAGAGAUAGUGGGAACACCCUGCAUCUUUGGGCUUGAGAUAGUCCUUGCACCCCGGUCAUGUUGUUGAAGCGCUCUAUGUGCACCAACGGAUCAGUUCGCCCCAAAUAUCUGAGGUCUGGGAGGCGAAAAUCUCUUGAAAUGACUGCCCUCAUGAUCUCUGCCGAGAGCGGGGUUUCUCCGUCCAGCAUUAUCCUCCAACCAGGUGCUCUACUCCUUCCUUGCAUAUCAUCAAUUACUUGCGCUAGUUUGCGCACUUCCUUCUCUAGCUGCAUUGCACGACCAGGGUCACGUGCUGUAACUUGAUCCCGCUCUUUCUCUACAUCAUGUAAGUAUUGCCUGAGCUCUGUUUCCUCUGCAUUCACCACCCCAUCAUCCUCAUCAAAAAUCUAUCUUCUUGGGGAUUGCUCUUCUUCUCUAUGAAUUCCUCCCCGUAAAGAUAAGUUACCUCUCUCACCACCAAAUCUCCUGGUGGUCUGACUUCUCAUCAUACCAUCGUGCCCUGGUGCCACUCUGCCACCUCUCACCCUUUUCUCAUGGGUUCCCCUUCGUUCACUCCUUAGUUCAUGUAGGAUGGUUGUCAGGGUCUCCAUCUGCUUUUCCAUCCGUUCCAUUCGGUCAUGCAUGGCUUUUUCCCGUGCUUCAAUGGCUAUCUCCCUUAACGUCAUGGAUUCGUUAAGCCUCAUAUCACCUCCUUGUGCACUACUUCCUCCUACAUCCAUUGUUUCUUCUCUUGCUUUGUUUUUCCUUUCUCUGUCAACAGAAGUUUUUUUAUCAGCUCCCUACAGACGGCGCCAAAAUGUUGAUGCGAGAUUCUGGUUACCCACUCGACCACGACCAGGAUCUCUGCUCAAUCAACUAACUCGACCACGAUCAGGAUCUCUCCUCGUAUGCUUUCUUCUUCAAAAAUUCCUGCGUACACAGAAACAAGUCAGAGCACGCUGGUUGUUUUCUCGGCGUAAACCCUCCGAUGCUCAAGUCAAAUAUGAAGGUUUUGUGUUCCUGGGAACAUUAGCCACUAGUCUUAAGCUUUGCUUUUAGUAUCGACUGUUGAAUGCUCUCUUUAUCUCAAUUUCUGUAUUAAAAGUUCUAACCCUUUUACCUUCGUUGGCUGCCUUUUUAUAGGCUCCUCCUGAGUCCAGAUCCUCCCCUCCAUUCACGUCCGUUACCUUCCCACCUCUCGAAAGUGGAUGCUCCGUUUCCGUAAUCGUGGGUGGUUGCAUGGCCUUCGUGCCUCGAUUCUCGGGCUGGAGAGUACGUCUUGCCAACUGUCGUUGAUUGGGUCUCCUCGCUUCAAACCUUAGCAGGACCAUUAUGCUUCUAACAGGAGAUCGGCUUCGCGGAUGGUGUAUUCGUGGACGAGCAGAUAUUCCUGCUUCUGUUCCCAUGCUACCAGACCUCAGCUCAUCACGGCUGGUCUCGUCGAAGUACAUCCCCCAAACAAUCUUCAUAUUAAUUACGAAAAUAUCCUCUAAAUUUUAACUUAACUAUUCAUAAUUCAAUGUCAUUCGGAUAUUUCGUUUAUUUGAGUAGGGAUUAGGGGUCAAUUUGAUACAAAUUCAAAAUUAUCCUCAUUUGCGAAGGUGAUAAAAGUUAGGGAUUUAGUUUGGAUGUCACUAGCCACAAAUAUUAAACGCAUGCAUCUAAUUCAAAAUUAGAGGCAUUAUCGUUAUAUUGACAUGUGUCACCAUCCCACAACCUCUCCAAUGAAAAAUUGACAUGCAUCUUGUGUGCUUCUUAUCAAAAUCCUGAAAAUUAAUCACAAAAGUUAUAUUUUUAUUAUAAAAAGAAGAAAGAAACUCCAUGAGUGAAGAAAAAAAAAAAAGACUUACAUUAAUAGUUUGGAUAAUCUAGAUUUCAAGUUGUCUAUAUUAGCUUGAUAUUUUUAUAAAUAUCAAGAUUUCAAGUUGUCUAUAGUAGCUUGAUAUCUUCUAAAAAAAACUCCAUCAACAUAUAUUUUAAUUUUACGUUAAUUAAUAAAUAGAAAAUCCAUUUUAGAAUUAAUUAAAGCAUUAUUUAUUGUUGCCAAAGAAGGAAGUAUUUAGCGAUAAGAAAAAAGUGUCUCAAAUAUAUGUUUAAAAAAAAAUAAUCAUGGUUGGUUGGACUGAUUGAAUUUUUCUUUUCUUUUUUCUUUUUUAAGAACUAAGACAAUUGGAUUGAUUGAGUAAUAAUAAAAUAUAUUUAUUUGGCAAAUGGCAGGUAGGCUUUCUUCUGGUGCAGAUUGAUUAGAGAGAAUAUAUAACAAUUUUAAGCUCGUAAGAUUCGGAACCUGCUUAUCUGUCGUGUGGGAAUCACUUCCGUGUCUUAUUUUUCUAGAAAAAUCUAGACCAUUGGAUUUACCAUUGGGCAGUAGAGAAAUGUUGAUCUUGAUUCCUGAUCAGGAUCGAAGUUUGAUUCUAUCUAACAUGAUAUCAGAUUGCGAAGCAAGCUAGUUGUGAGUAACUUGUUCUAUUUUGAUGGAAGAAACACAAGUUCUAAUAAAAAAUUCUAAGUAUACAUUUUUUUUUUUAAUUUUUUUAUUGUGAUCAAUAUAACUAGUCAAAUCUAUUUUUAAACAUUUUUUUUAAAUAUUUUGUUAACAAUGAUAUGAAAAUAUUCGAACCCCUCCUCAUAUAGUAAAGUGAAUUACUAUCCAACGAUCCAACUAACGUCUUCAAAUUGUAAAUUGCAAAUCGUGUGUUUGCUCCAUUACAGAGUUUCUUCAAUUUAAAAUAGAGAAUCGUUUGUGUUCUAGAUUAAUCGUGGGUCUAUAUCCAAAUCUAAAAAUUGACUAACUUGAUUUCUAUUAAAUUCUUAACCCUAACAAGAAAAAUAGAAGAUUAAAAAUGACUAAUUUGGUUUCUAUUAAUUUGAGUAACGAUUAAUAUUUAUCAUUCAAUAGUCACUUAUAUUAUCAAAAUCUUGGGUCGAAAAUAUUAGGAUAGGUGAUAAUUGGAAUUAAGUUGUAGAUAAGAUAGAAAUGGAUUUGGAGAGAGAUUGGAAUCCUGGGUAAAUCCGGUACACGUUGGUGUGUUAAAUUCUCGUUGACUUCACGUUGACCGAGGCAUUAUUGGAAGAAACAAGCAAGCUUAUUUUCUUCUCUCAUUUUUAACCUUUGUCUAAAUUUAUUGGUGUGAGGCCUUUGAGAUGGUAAAGUGUUAAAUCUGAGAAGAGUACCCACACUAUUACUCUUAUUUUAUCACGUUUUAUCACAAUAUUACUCUUAUAGUCAAUGUUUGAUUCGCACGAAAAAAAAUUUGCGAGGAUUGUGAGGGUUGAUGCAAUAUAAUUUAGAUGCAAAGUGUUUACAAGUGCGAUGCUUCGUAAGUGUACUCGAAUCAUUAUAAACUCACGUUAUUUUCAUAGUGAUUAUUUCAUUUGCACGUGAAUAUAAUCAUAUAUGUGGAGAAUUUUUUUUCCUAAAUUAUGGUCUUAUUUAGUAUUGAGAUGUUAUAUCUUUUAAAUUAUAAUUAAUAUUAGUAAAAAAACUGCAACUAUAAAAUAAAAGUUAAUAUUAUGUCCUGAAUAUAAUUGUUAAAUAAUAAUUUUGACAAAAUUAGUGAAGACAUACAGAUUUUUUUAUCAUAUAAGUGUAAAAUUCUAUCAACUUAGCUUUUAAGUUAUACAGCAUCUAUUGUUUACCAAAUACUUUAGUGUUGUAACUUUUAAGUUAUAACUGUCUAACCUUUAACCUCAAUCUCAAACGAGGCUUAUAAAGAUCAAGGAUUUCCUCAUAAAAAUUAUUACGUCAUGUGAUUGCUUAUUUAAUUUAUAUUUUCGUCAUUUAUCUUUAUUAAUUAAACAUGCACAUAUUAUUUCCUUUUAUUUUCUGCUUGGUAACCCGUAAAUACUAAUCCAGUACUACUAAUUUCAGACAGAAAAUUUUGAACUCUAGGCUGCAGUUUGACUCAAAAUGAUGGUCACUGGCUUCGCACCAUUUUACCGGUAUACAUUUCUACAAACUGAACAAGGCUAUUGAUUAUUAUUAUUAUUAUUUUAAUUUGUUUAUAAAUUACUAUUUUAAUUUUCACUUUUUAUUGGGUUGUUUAACGGAUUGGUGAAGCUGGUGGUCGUUGAUGCACUCACAAGGUACAAUUUUAUUUUAUAAUUUCAAAUUCGUAUUUUAAAACGCAGGUACAUUAUGUAUAUACAUAAUUAUUGAUUUUCGUAUGAGGGUGUUUUGAAAUAUUGCUAAAAGACCAAACUUUAAUAAACUAUUUUUGAUCUUUUUUUUUUUUCCUAAAGUUUGGGUGAUAUGCGCAUUUUAAAUUCACGUGGAACAAAAGUUAAUGUAUGUAUAAAAAUUCUUUUAUUUUACUGAGCAAAAUAGGCAAGCGAAAAAGUUUUGGCAAAUGAGUUGCAACUGAAUUCAAAACCAAUACAAUGCGAGCAUAGGAAAGAGGCCAGUGUUUAGGAUUUGAAUUUAGGUAGCGUUUACUUUUUGGAUUGGAUUGGGAAUCCUGGGGAGUGGGAAUCCUAGGAUUGAGAGUGUGGAGUGGGAGUGGGAGUAGGUUGUUUACUUACACUGGAAUGGAAGCAUGGAAUGGAGAUCAGAAUCCAAUUUAUGUGUUUACUUUGUCUUGGAUUGGGAGUAAAUAGUUUCAAAUUACAAUUUUAUCCUUAUUUAAAGAAUUAUAAUUUUAAUUACAAAACUAAUAAAAUAUAUAUUUAAUGAAUAAUAUUUAUUUUAUUAUAUUUGUAAAUUUAUUAUAAUUAUUAAUAUUCUUAAUUAUGAACAAUAAAUUAUUAAUUGUAAUUUUAAUAUAAAAUGAAAUGUUAUUUUAUUUAAUAUAAUUAUAUUAAAUUUAUUAUUAUAUAAAAUAAUAAUAUAAUAUUAUUUAGUACAAAAUUAAUAUUUUCUUAGAAUAAAGUAUUUAUUAUUAUUAUUAAAUAAAAUAUAGUACUAUUAUUUUUAAAAUAAAUAUAAUAAUAUUAUAUUUAUUAAUUCUCUAUUAAUAUAAUAAUAUUAUUUUAAAAUAAUUUUAACUUAGAAUCAAUGUAAAUUAUUAUUUAGUUAAAUAUAAUAUUAUUAUUUAAAUAAAUAUAAUAUUAUUAUUUAAAUAAAUAUAAUAUUAUUUAUUUUAUUUUAUUAAUUAUAAAACAUAAAAUAAAAAAAAAAAGGGUAGAAAUGGGAGAGGUGGGAGUGGAUUCCCACUCCCACCUCCCCCAAUGGGAGUCCCACUCCCACUCCCCACUCCAAAAAUGGGUGGGGCCCACGGAGUGGGACUCCCAAUUCCUUCUCAUUUUAAGUAAGUAAACGCUGGAGUGGGAGGAAUCCACACUCCUCACUCCCACUCCAGCAAGUAAACACAACAUUAGUAUUAAGCUGAAUUUUAUGGUAAGCUCUUUUAUAGUACUGUGAUUGAUAAGCUCAGCCCCGGAUUUGCUUUUGCUUUUGCUUUUACUUCAAGUGAAAGAGAGAGGAAACCUUUUGUUUUUUUCUUUGGUUUUCAACUAUGUUACCUAUACAAAGAGUCAAGAUACCUGCCAUAAGUGAUGGUGUUAAAAAGAUUAAGCAGCGCACACAAUCUUACUGUCGUCUAGACCAUCCAGUGAUGACUCUAGUCUUUUGGUUACGUUAGCUUUAGUUGAAAGAAGGGCCAAUUUAACAAAGACUAGAUUUGAUGGCUUACUAUGUUUAAUGUAAUGCUAAUUCUCAGGGAAUCUAAUGUUAUAACUUAUAAGACGAUCUCCUAUGAUGAAUAACAGUAACACAUUACUGUGAUUGAGAAAACUCAGUUACAAUAAACUAUUCAUUUACUCAUUGCGGAGAUUGAAUAGCAAAUAGAGAAUAGAAUGAAGCAGAGGAAUCUCAUUGCCAAUAAAAUUGACCCUCUUUAAUGUUAUAUGGCACAGGUGUGGAGGAAGAACAAGUUACUUGCAGUUUUUAUUGUAAAAUAUACAGGUAUGACCAUGAUCAUUACAGUUGGGUUUUGAUAAUUUCAGAUGCUUUUUAAAAAAAAAAAAAAUUAUGACAUCUUUGAUUUACGGUAGUUUUGCAGAAAAAAAAAUAUAAAAAUUAAGAGGGAUGAGUUAAACUGACGAUUACAAUCAUUCCAGCAAUGCUGAUGAGUGAUACAUCACUUGAAAUUUACUUGUCAGUUGCUGAAAUGAUGAAAAAAAAACAAUAAACGAUAACAGUAAUAAUGUUCCGUUGCUGAAAUUCAAUUUUGACUUUCUACUCUUGGCUUUUAUGGAAAGUAAAAUGACUUGUAUAUUAUCCUCAUACAAUCCACUCUACAUAAUGAUAUCAUUUUAAUAAGGCAAUGGCUGAUGAUCUCCAUUUAAAAACUACAUCAUUUUUUUUGCUUCAUUUAACUUUUUGGUUGUUGAAAAUAACCUUAAUUAUCAAAUAAUUGGAGAAAGAGUAAAGAACAUUUAACAAAUUUAUGUGCAAAAAAAAAAAAGGAGAAGUUGAAGAGAAAGGGUGCUUGCAGAAGUGGGUGUCAAAGAUAAAUCGGUCCAUAAGAAUUAUUGUGGUUAUUUUUUUGGCAAUAUAAGAACUUAUGCGAUAGCAUUUUUUAUGGGUGCAUAUAACCUCCCUUUAAAAAUAUAUAUAAUAAUUACUGCUUAAUAUAGUAUUAAAUACAAAAAUAUCAAUAUUUGACUACUUAAAUUUAUAUCAUUAGGUCCUUAAAAUUUAAAAUGGAAGAUAUGAAAGGAAAUAUAUAUAAAUUUCAUUGUCCUGGUAAAGGGCCCUCUUAUAAUCUUAUAAUAUUUGAACUUUGAUAGAUUUUUUGAAACAAAUGUACUUUUAUUUGUGUACAAUCAAUAUUUACUCAUUUAUUAUAUUUUAAUUUAUUAACUAUUAAUCAUGUAAGUAUACUUAGUCAGAAAAAUUAUAUCAAGAGAAAAUUCUAAUUUCACGCAAAAACAAAUACCAAAACAAAUAUCUCAAUUUCUAUACUAUUCACUUUCCUGUAGAAUCAAUUAUUUAAAAUGCAAGUUUGUGGCUACAGAAAACUCGCCAAAGAAAAAAGAUAAUAACAAUUGAGCAUUGAUAGCAAAACUAAUGCAUCCAAUUCUUCUUGACUUGAUGAGAUGGCGCCAUAACGUAGACACAAGUACCUAAAUUGACCGGCACUGAGUGAUGUGAAUACUACCAGCCAGUUCAUCUCUUCCAGUCUUGCUUAAUCACAAUCACAAACACCACGAGAUCGACAUUUGCAUUAUAUAUAUCUUCUGCAAUCGAAACACCUUGCAUUACCAAAUAAGCCCGUAACAGACAAAGCAAUCUUUCAUGGAGAGAAACCUUAGUCUCAGUAUGAUCACUGUGUCAUUAACCUACUGCCUGCUUCUUUGCUUGGUUGCUGCAGCAGCAGCAGCGGCAAGCAACAAUAUUACCACAGACCAACAAGCUCUUCUUGCCCUGAAAGAUCAUAUAAUUUAUGAUCCUACCAGCCUUUUAGCUCACAAUUGGACCUCGAAUACCUCUGUUUGUACCUGGAUUGGCAUCACUUGUGAUGCCAAUAGCCAUAGAGUCAAAACCUUAGAUAUUUCUCAAUUCAAUCUACAAGGCACCAUCCCUCCUCAACUUGGAAAUCUCUCUUCACUCACAACACUUAAUCUUAGUCAUAACAGGCUUUCUGGAAGUGUUCCCUCCUCCAUCUACACCAUGCAUACGCUAAAAUUUCUUGACUUCACUGAUAACCAGCUCUCUGGUUCAGUGUCUUCCUUCGUCUUCAACAUGUCUUCAAUAUUAGUAAUUCGUUUGACCAAUAACAUAUUUUCUGGUGAGCUUCCGAAAAAUAUUUGCAACUAUCUUCCUUAUUUGAAGGCCCUUUUCUUAAACAAAAACAUGUUUCAUGGCAAAAUUCCUUCUGCUUUAUCAAAGUGCAAACAACUGCAACAAUUAAAUUUGCAGUUCAAUAAUUUAUCCGGUGCAAUACCAAAAGAAAUCGGCAACUUGACUAUGCUCAAAGGGAUAUAUCUCCUCUACAACAAACUCCACGGUAUGUUCACAAUACUAUAUAAAUAUUUUAAUUUAUCACUUAUUAUCUUUCUUGAAUAAUUUAGUUAAGAUCUUGUAAGAGAGAUUUUUUGCAUCUACGUUAAUUUACCAGGUGAGAUACCCCACGAAAUCGCUAAUCUUCCAAAUCUAGAGGCUUUAGCGCUUGGAAUCAACAACGUAGUUGGUGUGUUACCAGCUCCCAUCUUCAACAUGUCAACACUGAAGGUACUUAUCCUCAUAAAUAACUCUCUCUCCGGAAGCCUUCCAUCAAGAGUAGACCUUUCACUUCCAACUGUUGAGCAACUUAACUUGGCACUUAAUAGAUUUUCUGGAACCAUUCCUAGUUCCAUCACCAAUGCUUCUAAGCUCACCUUUCUAGAGUUGGGAGCAAACACAUUUUCGGGGUUUAUUCCAAACACAAUUGGUAAUUUAAGAAACCUUAAGUGGCUCGGCUUGGCUAAUAACUCCUUGACAUCUUCAACCUCAAAAUUGAGCUUUCUUUCCUCUUUGGCAAAUUGCAAGAAAUUAAGAUUCGUAAACGUAAUAGGCAAUCCACUGGACGGCUUCCUUCCAAGUUCAAUAGGUAAUCUUUCUGUGUCUUUGGAAACACUUGGCAUCGGCAAUUGCAGUAUUAGUGGCAACAUUCCUCCAGCAAUUAGCAAUUUAAGCAACUUGUUGACCUUAGUAUUAGACGGCAAUAAAUUGACUGGACCAAUCCCAACUACAUUCGGCCAACUGCAGAAACUCCAAGGCUUAGAUCUUGCAUUCAAUAAGUUGGUAGGUUCAUUCCCAGAUGAGCUUUGCCAUCUGGCAAGGCUGGAUCAAUUGGUCUUAUUUGGCAAUAAGCUUUCAGGAUCUAUACCUUCAUGCUUAAGUAACCUCACUUCUCUAAGAUCUCUCUAUUUAGGGUCCAAUAAGUUUACUUCUGUUUUUCCCUCAACCUUCUGGAGCCUAAAAGACAUCUUGUUCUUUGACUUUUCAUCAAAUUUCUUGGUUGGUCCUCUUUCUUUAGAUAUAGGAAAUUUGAAGGUGCUUCUAGGAAUAAGUUUAUCAAAAAAUAAUUUAUCCGGUGAUAUCCCAGCCACAAUUGGAGGACUGAAAGAUCUUCAAUUUAUGGACCUAGCAUAUAAUAGAUUGGAAGGCCCAAUUCCUAAAUCAUUUGGUGACUUGAUAAGUUUAGAAGUUCUGAAUUUAUCAAAUAAUAAAAUCUCUGGGUCUAUUCCAACAUCCAUGGAGAAACUCUUUUACCUCGGAGAGUUAAAUCUCUCUUUCAAUAAACUAGAAGGUGAGAUUCCUAGUGGAGGAACUUUUGCCAACUUCACAGCUGAGUCAUUUAUGGGAAAUGAGUUUUUGUGUGGUUUACCAAAUCUUCAAGUCCAACCAUGCAAAGUUAGCAAGCCGAGGACAGAACAUAAAUCAAGGAAAAAGAUACUUCUCAUUGUGAUUGUUUUGCCAUUGAGUAUUGCUCUAACAAUAGCAAUCACUCUAGCUCUCAAAUCUAAGCCGAUCGAAUGUGGAGAAAGAAGCACAGUGUUGUCAAAUGAUAGUAUCUUGUCAUCACAAGCAACACUAAGAAGAUUUUCAUACUUAGAACUUUUACAAGCAACAGAUAAUUUUGCUGAAAACAGCAUAAUUGGCAGAGGAGGUUUCGGUUCCGUUUAUGGAGCAAGACUUGAAGAUGGGAUGAAGAUUGCAAUAAAAGUGUUUCACCGGCAAUGUGCAAGCGCAUUGAAGAGUUUUGAGGCUGAAUGUGAAGUGUUAAAAAAAAUUCGCCAUCGAAACCUUAUCAAAGUUAUCAGCAGUUGCUCGAACGAUGACUUCAAAGCAUUAGUCCUAGAAUACAUGUCCAACGGGAGCUUAGGGGAUUGGCUGCAUUCGAGCAAUUACGUGCUGAAUAUUUUUCAAAGGUUGAACAUAAUGAUUGACGUUGCAUCAGCUUUAGAAUACCUCCACUUCGAUCAUUCAACUCCUAUUAUUCAUUGUGACUUAAAGCCUAGUAAUGUAUUGUUGGACGAAAAUAUGGUUGCUCAUUUGAGUGAUUUUGGCAUAGCAAAGCUUUUAAGUGGAGAAGAUGAGUCUACGAUGCGAACAAAAACCCUUGCCACUAUAGGUUAUAUGGCACCAGGUUUGCUUCAAACAACUUUUUUUUUUAAGUUCAUUUUAAAUUUUCUAAAUCAUUGAUUUUUACGAUCCUCAUAUCAAAUUGUUAUUGAUUAUUUAUCUAAUUGUGAAAUUAAUUUGAUUCAUAGAGUAUGGCAUAGGAGGAGAAGUAUCUACAAAAAGCGAUGUUUACAGCUACGGGAUUAUGUUGAUGGAAACUUUUACCAAGAAAAAACCCACAGAUGAAAUUUUUGUUGGAGAAUUGAGCUUAAAGCAUUGGGUUAAUGACUUGCUUCCUAAUUCAUUAGUGGAAGUUGUGGACAAAACUCUGCUAAGUGGAGAGGAAAAACAUUUUGCAUCAAAGGGGCAAUGUCUGUUGUCUAUCUUUAGUUUGGCUCUGGAGUGUACAAUGGAAUCACCGGAAAAGAGGAUUAAUGCAAAAGAUAUUGUUACCGGAUUACUCAAGAUAAGAGACACAUUGAGUAAAAGGAUAGGAAAUUUAAGUUAAUUUCGUUUGCUUUCAUUGAUAGUUAAUUCGAAUUCAUGUAAUAAGUGCAAGAAUCUUAUAUCUUUUCCUUUGAUAUAUUCUUUUUCUUGAGAAAACUGUUGUAGUCAUCUUGUUUCCAUGGGAAGAGUUGAUUUAGUUCUUCCAAAAAAUGCUACUGAUGACCUUUGUUUAAUACUUUCUCUUUUUUUGCACGUGUUUAGGUAGAACAGUGGUUUGGCUGCAGGCUAAUAAGUCAAGCUACGCCAAAAGCGUAUGAUUUAAUUUAUUAAACAUAACUUCAAGUUCAAGAAGUGUUUCUCAUUGCCACCAAUGCUUUGGACACCUGUUGGAAGGUUUGUUGUCCUCAGCUUUUGUUUAGAGCAAAAGUUCGAGUCCCAUAAAGGCUCAAACAUUCCUUUCCUUCAUCCCGAGGGCGCCUUCUGUCCUCUGUUUUCUGUUUCCACACACAAAUAGCAAAAAGAAAUUAGAAUGACAACUGGGACAUAUAUAAGAGUGAAAUAAUUAAAAAAAUUAUGCUUUUUUGUCUGUCGUGUUAAAAUCGUAAGUACCGAAGUACUGUGAAAGAGAUUAAUUUACAGAAACUGAAGCCAAGGGUUCAAAAAAAAACUAUUGAUGUAGCUAGGAUGCAAUGUCAUAUUCAUACAGAGAUGAAGUAUAUUAUUUACGGCUGGUAAAGACUAGGAAUUGAUGUAGCUAGAAUCCAAAGAUGAUAAGGUAUGUUGUGCACUAUUGUUUUAUUCUACGGUCAAUCUUGACCCUUGGUGCUUGGCUCUCAAUCUUGUCCAUUGAUCUUCUCUGAUCUUGGAAACUUCAAGACCUUUCACUCUCAUGCCUUAUUAUUGGUGUCUUCCAUGCUGUAGCUUUCAAAUACAAGCUUUCCCGCCAACUUGCCAAUUAUUUGUCCGUUGGUGCAUUUUAUCAAACAGUUUGGAUACUUAUACCAAACGCCUUCUGUUUUAACUCCCCCCCUCAAGCUCAAGCAUCUGGGAAGACAUUAAUAAGCUUGUUUCUCAAGUAUAUAUAUCUGAAAAUUAAAUUUUAUAAAUUAUAUUCGGACUCUACAUUUUCUAAUGAACAUUGGUUUGGCUUAUAAGCUUAUUAUACUCAGGUUUGGUAGGAGCCAUAUCACAAUGUUAACGCUAACCAGCAGUACUGCCAAAGCUGGCCAACUCAGCCUGCAAGUUCAUAGCAACCAUAGUUACAGUCCUAGUCCGGUACAAAAAUCGUAAAUAUCAUUUACAUUACAAUGGUGUGGGGGGGGGGGGGGGGGUUUGUUGGGUGGCUGGAGAGGGAAUCAACAAAGAUCUAGAACGAAGGGUAGGCUUGUAUCCGUAACCCAUGUCACAGUGUUAAUGCUAACCGUGGACCUUAUUAUAUUAGUUGCUGGACUAUUAUUACUUUUGAAUUGCCAUCUUUGAAUUUACGUUCAUUUCUGCCUCGACAAGAUGUUUGUAAAAAUAUGCUAAUUAUUAAUGUGCCGUGUACAAAUAAGCAUGUUACUGUGCAAGGAUUGUAGUCAUGAUACAGUGGUGCAAAAUGUACAUGCUACUUCUUCUUUUCCUCAGUUAGGAUCACCGUCGUCACCAUUUAAUUCUAAGUCCACCCAUGCGGCCUAUGCAAUUGAAAUCAUGUGACCAUGUAAUUUUAGGUUCUGAUCUUCCUUGUGGGGUUAAACCUCAAAACUGUGACCAUUUUGGGACUUUUAAUCAGUUCCAAUCAUUUUCUGGUUCCCAUUCGUCCACCCAAGCCUUGAUUCCCCCGAUAUAGCAUUGCAAUAUAUAUAGGAAUAUUAAGGUUGUGUACAGUUUUUUUCUUUUCUGUUUUUAAUUUGAUAUAAAUUAUCAAUCAUGAAUCUACAUAAAGUUUCAACUAGGCUACUACCACAAUAAACAUUUGGAUGAACUAUUAUUGAAACCUUAUUGAGAAGUAGGACAUGUCGCAUACCAAUGCACUGACAUAUCUUCAAAUAGUGGUAACUCCACACAACAUGGCACAAUAAAUUAAGAGUUAUAUAGAUAAAAUCUUUCACUCUUUGGUAAUCAUCAAUGUCGGCAUGACAAUGCGUCCCACAAAUAUGGCUCCUUAUCAAAAUUCAUAAAUCAAAACAAAAAUAGAGAAUCAUAUUUGUUCUAGAUUGUAGUGAUGGUUGUUGAUGCACUCACAAUUUACAAUUUUAUUUAAUAUCUUCAAAUUCGCAUUUUAAAAUGCCCAAAUGUUUGUGUAUACAUAAUUAGUAAUCGAUUCUCAAGCAUGGCCAUUUAAAAGCAUUGCUGAAAGACAAAAUUUUAAUUUACUAUUUUUUGUCUUUUAAUUUUCUUUAAGUUUUUAAUGAUUCCGCAUUUUAAAAUCCUGUGGAACGUGUAUGUAAAAUUCUUUUAUCUUUUAGAGGAAAAUGGGCAAGAGAAGAAGAUUUGGCAAAGGAAUUGCAACCGCAUUUGGAGCUAGUUUUAAUUUUGUCUUUUAAUUCUUUUACACUUGGCUUUUGUUAUUGAUGUCAACUUCGAUGUGUGUGAAGACUCGAGCUCACUCCCUUAUGAGCUAGUUUUAUUUUUCUACUUUCACAUUAAGAAAAAUACUCCUAUUUUUAAGGAAAAGUCAAGUACCUGUAGUUGUGAAGACUCGAGCUCACUCCCUUAUGAUAAAUCUUCAUAUUAAUUACGUAAAUAUCCUCUAAAAUUUUAAAUUAGCUAUUCAAAAUUUGAUGUUAUACGGGUAUUUCAUUUAUUUGAGUAGGGGUUGGGGGUCAAUUGGAUACAAAUUCAAAAUUAUCCUUACUUGAGAUGGUGAUAAAAAUUGGGGAUUUAAUUUGGAUGUCAUUAGCUACAAAUAUUAAACUCAUACAUUUAAUUCAAAAUUGGAAAGCUGAUAUAUGCGCAUCAUCCCACAACCUCUCCAAUGAAAAAUUAACACGUUUCUUGUGUGCAUUUGAUCAGAAUCCUGAAAAUUAAUCACAAAAUUGUCCUGGAAAAAAAAAUGCUUACAUAAAUGGUUUGAAAAAUCUAGAUUUCAAGUUGUCUAUAUUAGCUUGAUAUUUUUAUAAAUAGUCAUCCUCUCAAAAAAAUUCCAUCAAAAUAUAUUUUAAUUUUAUGUUAAUUCAUAAACAUGAAAAAAUCAUUUCAGAAUUAAUUAAAACAUAAUUUAUUGUUUCUCAAAAAAGGUAGAACUUAGUGAUAAGAAAAAAGUAUCUCAAAUAUAUGUAAAAAAAAAAAAAUCUUGGUUAGUUGGAAUGAUUGAAUUUGUUUUUUUUUUCUUUUUUAAGAAUUAAGACAAUCGGAUUGAUUGAGUAAUAAUAAUAUAUAUUUAUUUGGCAAAUGGCAGGUAGGCUUUCGUCUCAUGCAGAUUGAUUAGAGAGAAAAUAUAACAAUUUUAAGCUCGUCAGAUUCGAAGCUGCUUUCCUGUCGUGUGGGGAUCACUUCCGUGUCUUAUUUUUCUAGAAAAAUCAGGACCAUUGGAUUUAUGCGAAUCGUACUGAACAUUGGAAUUGAUGUAUAAGAAAAAAAUUCUGUAGUUUAAGAAGAACAAAAAGGCAUGUUGAAUAGAUUACAAUAGUUUAAGGAAAAAAAUUAUUCAAUUGGGAAUUUUUUUUUCUUUAAUUUUUGUUGUACUUGAUUGAGAUUUCUCCUUAGUCCUUAGAGUUUUAAGUUUGGAAACCGUAGGAUCAGUAAUUUCGUACUUCCUUUGCAAGCUGAGUAUAAGGAUGAAAUUCUUUUAAGAAAUUAAAAAAGAUAAAAAAAAAGCAUACCAAUAGGUAAUUAUAAAUAACCACAAAUAAAUAUAAACAAAAUGUUUAUGAAGUAAAUUAAACAUGCUCAUAUUAUUUUCUUUUAUUUUCUGCUUGGAAACCCAUAAAUACACUAAUCCAGUAUUACUAAUUUCAGACAGAAAAUUUUGAAUUUAACCAGUAUACACUAAUCCAGUAUUAUUUUUAUUAUUAUUUUAAUUUGUUUAUAAAUUACUAUUUUAAUUUGUUUAUAAAUUACUAUUUUAAUUUUCACUUUUUAUUGGGUUGUUUAACGGAUUAGUGAAGCUGGUGGUCGUUGAUGCACUCACAAGGUACAAUUUUAUUUUAGAAUUUCAAAUUCGUAAUUUAAAAUGCAGGCACAUUAUGUAUACAUAAUUAUUGAUUUUCAUAUGUGGGUGUUUUGAAAUAUUGCCAAAAGACCAAACUUUAAUAAACUAUUUUUGAUCUUUUUUUUUCCUUUGUACCUAAAGUUUGAGUGAUAUCCGCAUUUUAAAUUCAUGUGGACCAAAAGCUAAUGUAUGCACAAAAUUCUUUUAAUUUUUUCCGAGAAAAAUGGGUAAGAGAAGAAGAUUUUUCUCUUGAAAAAGAAAAAAUAAUACGUUGCAAGCAUAGGAAAGAGGCCAGUGUUUUGGAUUUGAAUUUAGUAUUGGGUUGAAUUUUAUGCUAAGCUCUUUUAUAAUACUUUAUAGAAUAAAAAUGUAAGGGAUAUUUGGCUAGGCAUGUACUUUAUAGAAUAAAAAUGUAAUAAUGUAAGUCAGUGCAAUGAUCUGCUGUCAUAGUAGUUAUAAAUAUUUAUGUGUAAUACAGUAACAUGAUGCUUAAUCAGUUAAAAAAAAAUUGUAUAUCUUUUUUUAUUUUUUUUAUUGUGAUCAAUAUAACUAGUCAAAUUUAUUUUUAAAUAUUUUUUUAAAAAUAUUUUUAUCGUGUGUUUGCUCCAUUACAGGGUUUCUUCAAUUUAAAAUAGAGAAUCAUUUGUGUUCUAGAUUAAUCGUGGGUCUAUAUCCAAAUCCAAAAAUUGACUAACUUGAUUUCUAUUAAGUUCUCAACCCUAACAAGAAAAAUAAAAGAGUAAAAAUGACUAUUUUGGUUUCUAUUAAUUUGAGUAACGCUUAAUAUUUAUCAUACAAUAGUCACUUAUAUUAUCAAAAUCUUGGGUCGAAAAUAUUAGGAUAGGUGAUAAUUGGAAUUAAGUUGUAGAUAAGAUAGCCUUUCAAAAAAAAGAAAAGAAAAAAAGUUGUAGAUAAGAUAGAAAUGGAUUUGGAGAGAGAUUGGAAUCCUGGCUAAUCCGGUGCACGUUGUUGCGUUAAAUUCUCGUUGACUUCACGUUGACCGAAGCAUUAUUGGAAGAAACAAGCAAGCUUAUUUUCUUCUCUCAUUUUUUACUUUUGUCUAAAUUUAUUGAUGUGAGCCCUCUGAGAUGGUAAAGUGUUAAAUCUGAGAAGAGUACCCACACACCCAUUUGUUGGAGGAUUAACAAUUAAAACACACUAUUUUAUUUCUUCAACAACACUCCUCACCAAUUACAACUCUUAUUUUUCACUCUCUACACCUUAGAGAUUUUGCUGCUUCACUUGAUGUUUAAACCAAAAGGGAGAGGGGGUAUUUAUAUAUGAAACAAACUAAUCACAACCAUUCAUUUAUUCAACUAAUAAACACAUCCUCACCAUCCAUUAAAACCUACCACUCACCUACUUCACCAACCACACCUAACACACCUAACACAAAUAAUUCAAACCUCACCAACCAUACCUACUCAUGGAACCUUCCAUGAGUUGGGCUUGAUUUAUUCAUCUUGGAUCAAGUUUAUGAUCCAACACCUCUCCUUAAACUUGAUCCUGUGACACCAAGCAAACUUCUGAAUCUUACAAAGUCUUCUUGUUUGAGUGGUUUAGUGAAGAUAUCAGCUGCUUGAUCUUGUGAUUUUACAUACUUGAUUUGCACUUCUUUUCUUGCAAUACACUCUCUUAUGAAAUGAUAGCGAGUGGCUAUGUGUUUACUUCGAUCAUGAAAGACUGGAUUCUUGGAUAGGGCAAUUGCUGAUUUGUUAUCAACACAAAUCUCAGUUGGCUCUUCUUGUGCCAAACUCAACUCCUUUAGCAAAUUUCUGAGCCAAAUUGCAUGACAAACACUUGAUGUGGCAGCUACAUAUUCAGCUUCACAGGUGGAUAGCGUGACAAUUGGUUGCUUCUUUGACAUCCAUGUGAAAGCAGUAUCUCCUAUGAAGAACACAAAUCCUGUGGUGUUAUUUCGAUCAUCUACAUCUCCACCCCAAUCGCUAUCGCUAUAUCCAACAAGCUUGUAGUCAUUAGAAAAUGAGUAUAGCAAGCCGAAAUUAGUUGUACCUUUGAUGUAGCGAAGGAUUCUUUUUGCAGCUUUAAAAUGGGUGGUCUUUGGAUUCUCCAUGUAUCGGCUCACAAGUCCAACAACAUAAAGGAUAUCUGGUCUUGUGCAUGUCAAAUAACGUAGGCUUCCAACCAAACUUUUAAAGAAUGUUGGAUCUAUAUCUUCGCCUUCAUCAUGUUUGGAUAACUUGACUCCGCAUUCCACUGGCGUGCUUAUAGGCUUACAAUCAUUCAUCUUGAACUUCUUGAGAAUCUCCUCUGCAUAGCUUUCUUGGGAGAUAAAUAUGCUUUCUUCCUUUUGCUUGACUUCAAUGCCGAGGUAAUAUGCCAUCAGUCCGAUGUCAGUCAUCUCGAACUCUUUGAUCAUCACUCUCUUGAACUCUUCAAACAAGCCUGGAUUACUUCCAGUGAAAAUGAGAUCAUCCACAUACAGGCACACAAUCAAAAUAUCUCCAUAUUUUUCUUUGACGUAGAGAGCAUGUUCAUAUGGGCAUUUGGUGAAGCCUUUCUCUUGAAAAUACUUGUCAAUUCUGCUAUUCCAUGCCCUUGGUGCUUGCUUUAACCCAUAAAGAGCUUUCUUCAAUCUCAAAACUUUGUCCUCGUGUCCUUUCACCACAUAGCCUAAUGGUUGUUCGAUGUAAACUUCUUCUUCAAGGAAUCCAUUCAAGAAAGCAGACUUCACAUCCAUUUGAAAAAUCUUCCAUUUGUUCUGAGCAGCCAAAGAAAUAAUAAGUCUAAUAGUUUUAAGUCGAGCUACAGGAGCAAAUACCUCGUCAUAGUCUAUGCCAGCCUUUUGACUAUAGCCUUUUGCAACUAGCCUCGCCUUGUGCCUUUCAAUUUCUCCCUUCGCAUUUCUUUUUGUUUUAUACACCCAUUUGACACCGAUCGCCUUGUGACCUUUUGGAAGAGUAGUAAGCUCCCAAGUAUCAUUCUUCACAAUGGCUUUGAUUUCUUCAUCCAUUGCAAUUCUCCACUUCUCAUCUAGUGCAGCUUCUUGGAAGUUGACUGGCUCACAAUCAGCAAAGAGGCAAAAGAGAGUGAGAUUAUCAUGUCUCUCAGUUACCUCAUAGAGAUCUUGAAGACUCCUUGCACGUUCUUCGGUUCUUUCAUUUAAGAAAGACGGCGGUGAAUCUCCGCAUGUGGUUGGUGCUGGUGAGAUAGGUGGAGUGGCAGGCUCUUGUUGUUCGUCUACUUGUUUUACCUGUGUAUGAUCAUCUUCUUCAAUGGGAAAGAAGUUGAAGUCAUCCACACCAGAGCCAAAAUCUCAUUCUCCUUCUUCAUCAAAAAUUACAUCUCGACUGAUCACAAUCUUUCCGUUGUUUGGAUUGUAAAGCUUGUAUCCUUUGGAGUUGUUGUCGUAGCCGAUGAAGAUGAACAACUCACUUUUGUCAUCCAGCUUGGCUCUACUUUCGUCUGGUACAUGUACAUGGGCAAUGCUUCCGAAAACUCUUAGAUGGGUGAUGCCAGGUUUUCUUCCACUCCAAGCUUCUUGUGGCGUCUUGCCCCACACGCUUCUUGUUGGAGAUCGAUUGGAUAAGUAGAUUGCACAUGCAACUGCUUCAGCCCAAAAUUCUUUAGGUAGCCUCUUACUCUUAAGCAUGCUUCUUGCCAUGUCGAGGAUGGUUCUGUUCUUCCUUUCUGCAACACCAUUUUGUUGGGGGGAUCUUGGAACUGUCAAAGGGCGUCGAAUUCCAUUUGCUUCACAAAACUCUAAAAAUUCUUUGGAAGUGAACUCUCCACCUCGAUCAGAUCUCAUGGCUUUAAUCUGGUAUCCACUUUCUUUUUCAACUGCAGCUUUAAACUUCUUGAAAGCUUCAAAGACUUCUGAUUUUUGCUUCAAAAAAUACACCCAAGUUUUUCUUGAAAAAUCAUCUAUAAAAAGAAUGAAGUAGUUACUUUUACCAAGGGAGUUUGGCUUGAAUGGACCGCACACAUCAGUAUGAAUGAGCUCGAGUGGCUUCUGAGCUCUUGAGUUUGACUCCUUUGGAAAGCUCUUUCUGAACUGCUUGCCAAGUAAACAUCCUUCACAAAGUUGAUCAGGGUGAUUGAUGUAUGGUAAGCCUUUCACCAUGUUCUUCUUAGAGAGUAGCUCCAGUCCUCUAAAGUUGAGAUGCUCAUAUCGAAGAUGCCAAGUCCAGGAUUGAUCUUUGUGACAGGCUUUGAGACAUUUUGCAACAUCAUUUUGAAUAUUUAAAGGAAACAUUCUAUUCUUUGACAUUCUCACUUUUGUAUUUAGAUUUCCUUUUUCAUCUCUUAGAAAAAGACUAUAAUCUUUUAAGUGAAUAUCAUAGCCCUUUUUCUAAAAGUUGACCUAAACUAAGAAUGUUGCUUUUCAUAUUGGACACAUAGUAAACAUUCGAAAUUAUUUGGUGGCUACCAUCUUUUGCACGAAAAAGAAUGUUACCUCUACCCUUCACUGGUACUUUUGAAUCAUCUCCAAAAGUGACACUGCCAUUCACAAAUUCACUUAGUUGCACGAACAUGCUUCUGUUUCCACUCAUAUGAUUGCUAGCACCUGUGUCAAGAUACCAUGUAUUUUCUUGACCUCCAUUUGUGUCAUUGCGUGCUAGUAAAAGUGUGUCAUCUUCACCAUUUUUCUCUUCAGCAUAGUUCACUCUCUCUUUAAUUCUGGUGCUUGGAGCUCUGCAUUCUGAAGCAUAAUGCCCAAACUUUUGACAAUUAUAGCACUGUACUUGGGAUUUGUCAUACCUCGAUCUUGAAUUGCCUCUGCCUUGUUCUCUGGUUGAGCUUUCUCCUUUGGCAUAAUUGGAGUUGUUGUUGUUGAAAUUCCAACCUCGUCCAUGACCACGACCUCUACCUCGUCCUCGACCUCUACCUCGGACAUAGUGCCUUCUCUCAUUGUCGGAGCUUUCUUCUCUUUUCUUUGGAUUGACUUCCAUCUUGAGAAGUUGUUCUUCGAUUCCUUGCUUCUUUUUUUGUUUUUCUUCAUAGGCUUGCAACCUUCCUUGAAGUUGCUCGAUCGUCAUAUCCUCCAGAUCUCUUGUUUCUUCAAUUGUCAUAACAAUAUGAUCAAACUUCGAGUCUACUGAUCGAAGUAUCUUUUCAAUGAUCCUUACCUCUUUUAACUCCUCGCCAUUUCUUUUUAAUUCAUUGGAAACGGUCACAACUCGAGUAAAGUAGUCAGAAAUUGACUCCGACACCUUCAUGUGUAAGGACUCAAAUUCUCCUCGUAAUGUUUGGAGACGAACCUUCUUAACUUGCUCUGCUCCUUUGUAAGAGGUCUUUAGUUUCUCCCAUGCUUCUUUUGAGGAGGUUGUACCAGCAAUCUUUUCAAAAGCAUCUUCAUCUAAUGAUUGAAAGAUGAGAUACUUUGCUUUAUUCUCUUUCUUCUUCAAGUCUUUUAAAUUCUCCUUCUGCGCCGCAGUUAAAGUGGCUUCAUUUUCUGGCACAAUAAAGCCUUUCUCCACGACAUCCCAUACGUCAUGUGCACUCAAUAGAGCCUUCAUUUUAAUACUCCAAUUGUCAAACUUACUUCCUUUUAAUUGUGGAACUUGAAAUGACAUCAUCAUACCACCGUUUGCCAUAACUCACAAAUUGAGUGAGAAUUUGGAGAUUCUGAAUGCACAGAUGGAUCCGGCACGUCGAAAAACCUUGGGAAGGACUCGAGUCAACUUUCGGUCAACGGUCAACGUCGGUCAACGGUCAACACCGGCUUGGUAGUCUCGGUUCGGUCCGGAUUGGUUCAGCUCGAGUUGGCUCGGUUCGACUUGAUUCGGUUCAGCUCGGCUCGGCUUGGUUCAGUUCGGCUCAGCUUGGUUCAACUCGGUGAGUCGACUCAGCUUCAGGACAUAAAACUUCCGGCGGCAGGUGUGGGCGCGUACGGUCUCGGAUCGGGAUGAUUUUUGCGGCGUCACGUUCCUCUCGUCGAGAUCUUCGAUUUGAUAUGCUAUAUGACUAUAUAUAGCAUCAAACACUAGCUCUGAUACCACUUUGUUGGAGGAUUAACAAUUAAAACACACAAAAAACACACUAUUUUAUUUCUUCAACAACACUCCUCACCAAUUACAACUCUUAUUUUUCACUCUCUACACCUUAGAGAUUUUGCUGCUUCACUUGAUGUUUAAACCAAAGGGGAGAGGGGGUAUUUAUACAUGAAACAAACUAAUCACAACCAUUAAUUUAUUCAACUAAUAAACACAUCCUCACCAUCCAUUAAAACCUACUACUCACCUACUUCACCAACCACACCUAACACACCUAACACAAAUAAUUCAAACCUCACCAACCAUACCUACUCAUGGAACCUUCCAUGAGUUGGGCUUGAUUUAUUCAUCUUGGAUCAAGUUUAUGAUCCAACACCAUUAUCCUAUUACUCUUAUUUUAUCACAUGCAGAGACGUCAACGUUUGAUUCGCACGGAAAAAAAUUUGCGAGGAUUGUGAGGGUUGAUUCAAUAUAAUUUAGAUGCAAAGUGUUUACAAGUGCGAUGCUUCGUAAGUGCACCCGAAUCAUUAUAAACUCACCUUAUUUUCAUAGUGAUUAUUUCAUCUGCAUGUGAAUAUAAUCAUAUGUGGAGAUUUUUUUUUUCCCUAAACGAUGAUCUUCUCUAGUAUUGAGGUGUUAUAUCUUUUAAAUUAUAAUUAUUAUUAGUAAAAAACUGCAACUAUGAAAAAUAAAUUUAAUAUUAUGUCCUGAAUAUAAUUGUUAAAUAAUAAUUUUGACAAAAUUAAUGAAUAUAUACAGAUUUUUUUAUCAUAUAAAUGUAAAAUUAUAUCAACUUAGCUUCUAAGCUAUACAACGGUUACUAUUUACUAAAUACUUUAGUGUCGUAGUUUUUAAGAUAUAUUUAUCCACCCUCAAUCCCAAACAUAACCUGUAAGGAUAAAAAAUUUCAUCCUAAAAAUUAUACGUCUUGUGACUUAUUUAAUUUAUAUUUUUGUUAUUUAUAUUUAUUAAUUAUAGUCAUCUUUUAAUAAAUUACAAUUGAAGGAAGGUGGUUGAUGUUGUCGAGACACACACACAAAGAUAUAUUGGAAGUGCUUAUGUCCACUCGAAGUUGUGGGGAGUUAAUGCAUGUAUUGAUUUAUUGGGAGUGUUAAUGCAUGUAUUGAUUGAUUGAGUGAUUGAAUACUGUUUGAUUGCUUCAUAUCAAUUCUAGAAAGUUUAUUUCUUUGUGAAAUUUCAACGAAACGUGUUUUUUAGAAUAAUAAGGGUGUUUUAAGUAAUUUUAAAAAAUGAAUGGACUAAUUAGAAUUAAUUAUUAGGUAAUUAACUCGAAUUGUAGAGGGUAAGCAAACAUUUAUCCUAAUUAUAUUAUGAUAAAUCCUUUUCCAAUUAGAAUUAGGAAACCAUAGAUAUACUGAAUUUUUUUUUAUUUCCCUUCGCGAAAACGGAUCAGAGAAUUAGAAAACAAUCCUAGUGAUACUAUUGUUAGGUUUAAAACACUGCAUAGAUGGUAAAAACAUUGGAAUUGAUGUAGAUUAAUUUGUUAAUUGCUAUCGUACUGAACAUUGUUUUAUGCAAAUUAAUUUGAGAAUUAGAAAAAAGUUUGUUGCAUGCAAACUUUUUGUUUUAUGCAAAUCGUACUGAACAUUGGGACUGAUGUUUAAGAAAAAAAUUCUGUAGUUAAAGAAAAACAAAAAGGCAUGUUGAAUAGAUUACGAUAGUUUAUUCAAUUGGGAAUUUUUUUUCUUUAAUUUUUGUUGUACUUGAUUGAGAUUUCUCUUUAGUCCUUUCGUACUUCCUUUGUAAGCUGAGUAUAAGGAUGAAAUUCUUUUAAGAAAUUAAAAAAGAAAAAAAAGCAUGCCACUACGCAAUUAUAAAUAACCACAAAUAAAUAUAAACAAAAUGUUUAUGAAGUAAAUUAAACAUGCACAUAUUAUUUUCUUUUAUUUGCUGCUUGGAAACCCAUAAAUGCACUAAUCCAAUAUUACAAUUAAUUUCAAACAGAAAAAAUUGAACUCUAGGCUGCAGUUUGACUCAAAAUGAUGACCACUGGCUUCGCACCAUUCAACCGGUAUACAUUUCUACAAACCGAACAACGCUAUUGAUUUUUAUUUUUUUUUUUAAUUUGUCUAUAAAUUACUAUUUUAAUUUUCACUUUUUAUUGGGUUGUUUAACGGAUUAGUGAAGCUGGUGGUCGUUGAUGCACUCAUAAGGUACAAUUUUAUUUUAGAAUUUCAAAUUCGUAUUUUAAAAUGCAGGCACAUUAUGUAUACAUAAUUAUUGAUUUUCAUAUGUGGGUGUUUUGAAAUAUUGCCAAAAGACCAAACUUUAAUAAACUAUUUUUGAUUUUUUUUUUCCUUUUUACCUAAAGUUGGAGUGAUAUCCGCAUUUUAAAUUCAUGUGGAACAAAGCUAAUGUAAGCACAAAAUUCUUUUAUUUUUUCCGAGAAAAAUGGGUAAGAGAAGAAGAUUUUUCUCUUGAAAAAUGAAAAAAAAUACAAUGCAAGCAUAGGAAAGAGGUCAGUGUUUUGGAUUUGAAUUUAGUAUUGAGCUGAAUUUUAUGCUAAGCUCUUUUAUAGUACUGCGAUUAAUAAGCUAGCUCAGGAUUUGCUUUUGCUUUUACUUCAAGUAAAAGAAAGAGGAAGCCUUUUGUUUUUUUGUUUGAUUUUUGACUAUAUAUGUUACCUAUAUAGAGAGUUGAGGUAGCAGCCUUAAGUGAUGGUGAUAAAAAGAUUAAGCAGUGCACACAAUCUUACUGUCAUCCAGACCAUCCAGUGAUGGCUCUAGUUUUUUUGUUACGUUAGCUUUAGUGGAAAGAAGGGCCAAUUUAACAAAGACUAGAUUUGGUGGCUUACUAUGUUUAAUGUAAUGCUUAUUCUCAGCGCACACAAUCUUACUAUGUUUAAUGUAAUGGUUAUGUUGAAUGAUCUUCUAUGAUUGUGAGUAGUAUAGUAUAAUUGAAAAGGGCCUGGGCUCCUAUGAUGAAUAACAGUAACACAUUACUGUGAUUGAGAAAACUCAGUUCCAAUAAACUCUUCAUUUACUCAUUGCGGAGAUCGAAUGGCAAACAGAGAAUAGAAUGAAGCAGAAGAAUCUCAUUGUUAGGUUUUGAUGAUUUCAGAUGCUUUUUUUUUAAAAAAAAAUUGUGACAUCUUUGAUUUACGGCAGUUUUGCAGAAAAAAAAAACAUAUAAAAAUUAAGAGGGAUGAGUUAACUGACGAUUACAAUCAUUACAGCAAUGCUGAUGAGUGAUAUAUCACUUGAAAUUUACUUGUCAGUUGCUGAAAUGAUGAAAAAAAACCAACAAACGAUAACAGUAAUAAUGUUCCCUUGCUGAAAUUCAAUUUUGACUUUCGACUCUUGGCUUUUAUGGAGAGUAAAAUGACUUGUAUAUUAUACUCAUACAAUCCACUCUACAUAAUGAUAUCGUUUUAAUAAGGCAAUGGCUGAUGAUCUCCAUUUAAAAACUACAUCAAUUUUUUUGCUUCAUUUAACUUUUUGGUUGUUGAAAAUAACCUUAAUUAUCAAAUAAUUGGAGAAAGAGUUAAGAACAUUUAACAAAUUUAUGUGCAAAAAAAAAAAAAAAAGGAAGAAGUUGAAGAGAAAGGGUGCUUGCAGAAGUGGGUGUCAAAGAUAAAUCGGUCCAUAAGAAUUAUUGUGGUUAUUUUUUGGCAAUAUAAAAAUUUUUUAGCAAGUAAAAAUAAUUUUUUUUCCGAUUUACUAAAAAAUUAACUAAAAACUUCUGCGAUGUCAUUUUUUAUGGGUGCAUAUACCCUCCCUUUAAAAAAUUUAUAAUAAUUACUGCUUAAUAUAGUAUUAAAUACGAAAAAUAUCAAUAUUUGACUACUCAAAUUUAUAUCAUUAGGUCCUUAAAAUUUAAAAUGGAAGAUAUGAAAGGAAAUAUAUAUAAAUUUCAUUGUCCUGGGAAAGGACCCUCUUAUUAUCUUAUAAUAUUUGAAAUUUGAUAGAUUUUUUGAAACAAAUGUACUUUUAUUUGUGUACAAUCAAUAUUUACUCAUUUAUUAUAUUUUAAUUUAUUAACUAUCAAUCAUGUAAGUAUACUUAGUCAAAAAAAUUAUAUCAAGAGAGAAUUCUAAUUUCACGCAAAAACAAAUACCAAAACAAAUAUCUCAAUUUCUAUACUAUUCACUUUCCUGUAGAAUCAAUUAUUUAAAAUGCAAGUUUGUGGCUACAGAAAACUCGCCAAAGAAAGAAGAUAAUAACAAUUGAGCAUUGAUGGCAAAACUAAUGCAUCCAAUUCUUCUUGACUUGAUGAGAUGGCGCCAUAACGUAGAAACAAGUACCUAAAUUGACCGGCACUGAGUGGUGUGAAUACUACCAGCCAGUUCAUCUCUUCCAGUCUUGCUUAAUCACAAUCACAAACACCACGAGAUCGACAUUUGCAUUAUAUAUAUCUUCUGCAAUCGAAACACCUUGCAUUACCAAAUAAGCCCGUAACAGACAAAGCAAUCUUUCAUGGAGAGAAACCUUAGUCUCAGUAUGAUCACUGUGUCAUUAACGUACUGCCUGCUUCUUUGCUUGGUUGCUGCAGCAGCAGCAGCGGCAAGCAACAAUAUUACCACAGACCAACAAGCUCUUCUUGCCCUGAAAGAUCAUAUAAUUUAUGAUCCGACCAGCCUUUUAGCUCACAAUUGGACCUCGAAUACCUCUGUUUGUACCUGGAUUGGCAUCACUUGUGAUGCCAAUAGCCAUAGAGUCACAACCUUAGAUAUUUCUCAAUUCAAUCUACAAGGCACCAUCCCUCCUCAACUUGGGAACCUCUCUUCACUCACAACACUUAAUCUUAGUCAUAACAAGCUUUCUGGAAACGUUCCCUCCUCCAUCUACACCAUGCAUACGCUAGAAUUUCUUGACUUCACUGAUAACCAGCUCUCUGGUUCAGUGACUUCCUUCGUCUUGAACAUGUCUUCAAUAUUAGACAUUCGUUUGACCAAUAACAGACUUUCUGGUGAGCUUCCGAAAAAUAUUUAGAGCUAUCUUCCUCAUUUGAAAGCCCUUUUUUUGGACAAAAACAUGUUUCAUAGCAAACUUCCUUCUGCUUUAUCAAAGUGCAAACAACUGCAACAAUUAAAUUUGAAGUUCAAUAAUUUAUCCGGUGCAAUACCAAAAGAAAUCGGCAACUUGACUAUGCUCAAAGGGAUAGACCUCGGCUACAACAAACUCCACGGUAUGUUCAUAAUACUAUACAAAUAUUAUCUUUCUUGAAUACUUUAGAUAAGAUCUUGUAUGUGAGAUUUUUUUGCAUCUAUAUUAAUUUUCCAGGUGAGAUACCGCACGAAAUCGCUAAUCUUCCAAAUCUAGAGGCUUUAGCGCUUGGAAUGAACAACCUAGUUGGUGUGUUACCAGCUCCAAUCUUCAACAUGUCAACACUGAAUGUACUUAUCCUCAUAAAUAACUCUCUCUCCGGUAGUCUUCCAUCAAGAAUGGACCUUUCACUUCCAACUAUUGAGCAUCUUAACUUUGCACUUAAUAGAUUUUCUGGAACAAUUCCUAGUUCCAUAACCAAUGCUUCUAAGCUCACAUUUCUAGAGUUGGGAGGAAACACAUUUUCGGGCUUUAUUCCAAACACAAUUGGUAAUUUAAGAAACCUUGAGUUGUUCGGCUUGGUUUUUAACUACUUGACAUCUUCGAGCUCAAAAUUGAGCUUUCUUUCCUCUUUGGCAAAUUGCAAGAAAUUAAGAGUCAUAGGCUUAACAGGCAAUCCACUCAACGGCAUCCUUCCAAGUUCAGUAGGUAAUCUUUCUAUGUCUUUGAAAACACUUCACAUCGCCAAUUGCAGUAUUAGUGGCAACAUUCCUCCAGCAAUUAGCAAUUUAAGCAACUUGUUGGCCUUAGUAUUAGAAGGCAAUAAAUUGACUGGACCAAUCCCAACUACAUUCGGCCAACUACAGAAACUCCAAGGCUUAGAUCUCGCAUUCAAUAAGUUGGUAGGUUCAUUCCCAGAUGAGCUUUGCCAUCUAGCUAGGCUGGAUGAAUUGGUCUUAUUUGGCAAUAAGCUUUCAGGAUCUAUACCUUCAUGCUUAAGUAACCUCACUUCUCUGAGAUCUCUCCACUUAGGGUCCAAUAGGUUUACUUAUGUCAUUCCCUCAACUUUCUGGAGCCUAAAAGACAUCUUGUUCUUUGACUUUUCAUCAAAUUUCUUGGUUGGUCCUCUUUCUUUAGACAUAGGAAAUUUGAAGGUGCUUCUAGGAAUAAAUUUAUCAGAAAAUAACUUAUCGGGUGAUAUGCCAGCCACAAUUGGAGGACUAAAAAACCUUCAAAUUAUGGACCUAACAUAUAAUAGACUGGAAGGGCAAAUUCCUGAAUCAUUUGGUGACUUGACAAGUUUGGAGGUUUUGAAUUUGUCAAAUAAUAAAAUCUCUGGGUCUAUUCCAAAAUCCAUGGAGAAACUCUUUUACCUUCGAGAGUUAAAUCUCUCUUUCAAUGAACUAGAAGGUGAGAUUCCUAGUGGAGAAAUUUUUACCAACUUCACAGUUGAGUCAUUUAUGGGAAAUGAGUUAUUGUGUGGUUUACCAAAUCUUCAAGUCCAACCAUGCAAACUUAGCAAGCCAAGGACAGAACAUAAAUCAAGGAAAAAGAUACUUCUCAUUGUGAUUGUUUUGCCAUUGAGUAUUGCUCUAACAAUAGCAAUCACUCUACCUCUCAAAUCUAAGCUGACCAAAUGUGGAAAAAGAUGCACAGUGUUGUCAAAUGAUAGUGUCUUGUCAUCACAAGCAACACUAAGAAGAUUUUCAUACUUAGAACUUUUACAAGCAACAGAUAAUUUUGCUGAAAACAACGUAAUUGGCAUAGGUGGUUUUGGUUCUGUUUAUAGAGCAAGACUUGAAGAUGGGAUGAAGAUUGCAAUAAAAGUGUUUCACCAGCAAUGUGCAAGCGCAUUGAAGAGUUUUGAGGCUGAAUGUGAAGUGUUAAAAAAUAUUCGCCAUCGAAAUCUUAUCAAAGUUAUCAGCAGUUAUUCAAACAAUGACUUCAAAGCAUUAGUCCUAGAAUACAUGUCCAACAGGAGCUUGGGGGAUUGGUUGCAUUCCAGCAAUUAUAUGCUGAAUAUAUUUCAAAGGUUGAACAUAAUGAUUGACGUUGCAUCAGCUUUGGAAUAUCUCCACUUCGAUCAUUUACCUCCUAUUAUUCAUUGUGACUUAAAGCCUAGUAAUGUAUUGUUGGAUGAAAAUAUGGUUGCUCAUUUGAGUGAUUUUGGCAUAGCAAAGCUUUUAAUUGGGGAGGAUGUGUAUGUCAUGCGAACAAAAACCCUUGCCACUAUAGGUUACAUCGCACCAGGUUUGCUUCAAACAACUUUUUUUUAGUUCAUUUUAAAUUUUCUAAAUCAUUGAUUUUUACGAUCCUCAUAUCAAAUUGUUAUUGAUUAUUUAUCUAAUUGUGAAAUUAAUUUGAUUCAUAGAGUAUGGCAUAGAAGGAGAAAUAUCUACAAAAAGUGAUGUUUACAGCUAUGGGAUUAUGUCGAUGGAAACUUUUACCAAGAAAAAACCCACAGAUGAAAUUUUUGUUGGAGAAUUGAGCUUAAAGCGUUGGGUUGAUGACUUGCUUCCUGAUUCAUUAGUGGAAGUUGUGGACAAAACUCUAGUAAGUGGAGAGGAAAAACAUUUUGCCGCAAAGGAGCAAUGUCUGUUGUCUAUCUUUAGUUUGGCUCUGGAGUGUACAAUGGAAUCACUGAAAAAGAGGAUCAAUGCAAAAGAUAUUGUUACCAGAUUACUCAAGAUAAGAGACACAUUGAGUAAAAGGAUAGGAAAUUUAAGUUAAUAUCGUUUGCUUUCAUUGAUAGUUAUUUUGAAUUCAUGUAAUAAGUGUACGAACCUUAUAUCUUUUCCUUUGAUAUUUUUUUCCUUGAGAAAACUAUUGUAGUCAUCUUAUUUCCAUGGGCAGAGUUGAUUUAGUUCUUCCAAGAAAUGCUACUGAUGACCUUUGUUUUAUACUUUCUCUUUUUUUGCAUGUGUUUAGGUAGAACAGUGGUUUGGCUGCAGGCUAAGAAGACUAACUACACUAAAAGAAUAUGAUUUAAUUUAUUAAACAAAACUUCAAGAAAAGUAUUUCACUGCCCCCAAUGCUUUGGACACCUACUGGUGGGUUUGUACGUGUCCUCAACUUUUUUUUGGAGCACAAAAUUCGAGUCCCAUGGAGACUCAAACAUUCCUUUCCCACAUCUCGAGCACGCUAAAUUUAUCAGACUGACAACUGGGACAUAUACAAGAGUGAAAUGUUUAGAGCACUCUAAGUUCGAGUGAAAGAGAUUAAUUUACAGAAAAUAAAGCCAAGGGUUCAGAAAAAAGUGCAAAGAGAAUAAAGGAACGUCUGAGCUAUUUAAAGCUUCAUGGAAAGUUGAAGGCUCUCCAUAUUUUGUUAGAAGAUAGUAUGCAACAUUGAUCUCUGUGACAUACUCCGAGUGCCACGUUGGCGGUCGUCUCUCACGAGUUGACCGACGAAUUUCUUGAGCCUCGGACUCGACUAGUUCUUGUUCCUCGUGCUCUGGUGCUGCUUCAGAAGAAUUUGAAUCUUUUGAAUUAUUUUUCACAUAUACCGGUACAGUCUCUGACUUUUCUUUUACAGUGCUAUCAUCCUCAUCUUUCCUUUGCAAUUGAUCUUCUAUAAAAAUAACAUCUCUGCUGAUGACGAUCUUGUGGGCAGUGGGAUCCCACAGACGAUACCCUUUUACUCCAUCAGCAUAUCCCAAGAAGAUACAUCUUCUAGAUUUUGCAUCCAGUUUUGUUUUUUCUUGAGCAUUGUACAUCACGUACACAGGACAUCCAAAUGUAUGUAGGUAGGAAUAAUCAGCUGGCUUUCCAGUCUAUAUCUCCAUCGCUGUCUUCAGCCCAAUUACUGUAGAUGGUGAUCGAUUUACUAUAUAACAGGCAGUUUUGGCUGCUUCUACCCAAAAUGAAUUGGGUAGACCAGCAGUCCUCAACAUAGCUCUUAUCCGUUCUGUAAUAGUUCUAUUCAUCCGCUCUGCCACUCUAUUUUGUUGAGGAGUGUAUGCCACCGUGAACUGUCUCUGAAUACCUUCUUGCUUACAGAAAACAAGAAACUCGCCGUCUAUAUACUCUCCACCAUUAUCUGUCCUCAAGCACUUGAUCUUUUUACCAGAUUCAAGUUCUACCGUGCUUUUAAACACUGGAAAUACAUCUGACUUUUUCUUAAUUGGAUACACCCAACAUCUUCUGGAAUAAUCAUUAAUGAAAGUCACCAUGUACUUUGCACCUCCCAUGGAUAUAUCCGGUGAUUCCCAAAUAUCAAAAUGAAUCAAGUCUAUAAUGCAUUUACUUCUAGCAAUAGAUCUACUGAAUUUUAAUUUAUGCUGCUUACUUGUAACACAAUGCUCGCAAAAUGGUAAACUUACCGAUUUGAGCCCCGGAAGCAAUUUUCGCUCAAAGAGAAUCUUCAAUCCUUGUUCUGACAUGUGGCCAAGUUUGAGAUGCCACAUCAUCGUUGACUCUUCUCCAUUUGACGCGACACAUGCAUCAGCCUCUUGUAGUGUUUCUCCUUUAAGCAUGAAUAAAUUAGCACCGAUCUUUUCUGCCUUCAUCAAUACAAACGCACCUUUAACGAUCUUCAUAAUUCCAUUCUCCACAUGAGUUUUGUACCCAUGACUAUCCAUUUGUCCCAAAGGUAAAAGAUUUUUCUUCAGGCCGUUGACAUGUCGUACCUCCCUAAUUGUGCGAAUUGUACCAUCAAACAUUUUUAUUUUGAUAGUACCAAUACCAACGAUCUCCAAGGCAUGAUCAUUACCCAUAUAUACAGAUCCUCCUGAGAUAGGUUCAUAUGUGUGGAACCAUUCUCUCCGAGAGGUCAUGUGUCAGGUAGCUCCUGAGUCUAUAAGUCAGACAUCAGAUAGUCGUUUUCUGCCUUCUAAAACAGUUGUUGCCUCGCUGUAGAGAAUUUCGCCAUCAUCCGAGGUACUUACGACACAACCCUGAGCAUUUGAUGACUUAGGUUCUUUGCCCACUCUUGUCUUCUAAUUACUCCAACACUCUUUCUUGACGUGCCCUUUCUUGCCACAGUUGUAGCAUUUAACAUUCUUCUUACUUCUAGAUUUUGAUCUACCAUGAUUUUGACUCCCAUUGGGGCCACGUUCCGUUGAUCUCCCUCUCGUCACCGAUAGCGCCUCCGCUUGCUGCGAACUUGCUUGUCUGUUUUUCUUAUUUUUUCGUCUGCUUUCCUCAUUUAAUACAGAGGCUGCAACAUCGUCGAAAACUAGACUGUCCACUGGAUUGCUGUUCGUUAGGUUGAUGAUGAGUUGAUCAUACGAAUCUGGUAGACUUUGAAGUAGAAGCUCUGCACGUUCAUUCUCCUCUAUAUUAUGACCCAACGUUGUAAGUUGUGAAAAUAGAGUCUUCAAGGUGUUGAUGUGAUCGGUUACCAUUAUAGAUUCCGCCAUUUGAAGAGUAUAAAGUUUCCUCUUCAAGAAGAUUUUGUUGUGUAGUGACUUGGCCUCGUACAAUUUUGUGAGAGUAUCCUAAAUUUCCUUCGCUGUAUUUUUCUUUGCCACACUGGAUAAUACUCCGUCUGCAAGUGCCAAGUGUAGAUCAGAAAUGGCAUUGCCAUCUAUCUCGUUCCACUUGUCAUCAGUUAUCUCCAUGGGCCUUUCUCCAAUUGCUUCCAAGUAAUUAUUUUUCCUCAAUACAACUUUCAUCUUAAUUUUCCACAACGAAAAAUUAUUUUCGUUAAAUUUCUCAAUUUCAUACUUUGCUGUCAUUUUGUUGAUAAAUAUUGUACACAAACUAGUGUAUCACCUUGAAUAGUUGUGAGUAUGUGUAAGAAUGCACACCAGAAAAGUUCCUAGGAAAGACUGGAGGGGUCACAAUAGUCCCACUUAAAACUCAGACUCCUUAAGCUCUUAUCGCCUUUGUGACAGAACUUUCCUAGACAUGUAUAAAACCACACAAUUGCUUUACUCACACCACUAUUCCCUGCUUUGUACCGCCAAAUUCUUCGAUCGCUCCCACCGUUUCACGUGAAUAGUACUGUAUACGUGAACAGUACCGUGUACGUGAAUAGUAUCCCUUACGUGAACAGUACCCAACUCUAAAAAAUACAAUAAAUAGCUCUGAUACCACUGUUAGGAAAUUGGUGGGUGAAGCAGGACCGCAGCUAAUAUGAAAUUGGAAGAAAAUAAAGAACAAGGACAAAAAGAGGAUACCAGAAAUUACGUGGUUCGGCUUUUAACCUACGUCCACGGGCGAAAACAGAAGGAAAUAUUUUACUCGUAAAAAGGAGUUACAAGUAUUGUAGUAUUUUAGCUCACUUUCCAAAAUCCCAAUACACCCAAACUCUCAAAACACUAAAACAAGAGCUUAUAAUUUCAAGCUCUCUAAACUCUCUCUAAAUACAAGAAAACUCUUCUCAAAAUUGGAUAAGCAAAUGAGGGAAUGAGCCCCUCUAUUUAUAGCCAAAAUCUUGGCUACUAUUCACUUUUUUUUAAAAAUUAUUUAUUAUUGUUCAAAAUUUCAACAUUCAAAGUUUGAUAUUCAAACUUUGAAUAUCUAGAAUUUUGAAUUUGAUAUUCAAAGUUUGAAUAUCUAGAAGUUUGAAUUUGAUAUUCAAAGUUUGAAUAUCAAGACACCCAAUCUUGACACUAAAUUCACCAGACUGACAACUGGGGCAUAUAGAAGAGCGAAAUAACUGGGACAUAUACAAGAGUGAAAUGUUUAGAGCACGCUAAGUUCGAGUGAAAGAGAUUAAUUUACGGAAACUGAAGCCAAGAGAAUAAAGGACAACACUUACGUGAAGCGACAUAAUUGUAUUGAAAGCACAAUGUCAAAUUCAUACGGAGAUCUAGUAUAUUAUUUACAGCUGGUGAGGGCUAAGAAUUGAUGUAGCUAGAAUACAAAGACGAUAAGGUAUGUUGUGCACUAUUGUUUUAUUCUACGAUCAAUCUUGACCCUUGAUGCUUGGCUCUCAAUCUUGUCCAUUGAUCUUCUUUGAUUUUGGACACUUCAAGACCUUUCAGUAUCAUUCCUUGUUGUUGGUGUCUUCCGUGCUGUAGAAUUCAUAUACAAGCCUUCCCGCCGACUUGCCAAGUAUUCGUUCAUUGAUGCAUUUUUAUCAAACAGCUGGGCUACUUAUGCCAAACACCGCCUGGUUUAACUCCCCCUCUCUAGCUCAACUAUCUGGGAAGACAAUUAAUUGAGAUAUGAAUCAGAAAAUUAAAUUUUAAAAAUUGUAUUCGGACUCUACAUUUUGUAAUGAACAUUGGUUUGACUUGUUAUACAUUUAUGCGUACAUAAUUAAUAACCGAUUCUCAAGUGCGGACAUUCAAGAGCACUGCUUAAAGACCAAAUAUUUUGAUUUACUAUUUUUUGUCUUUCAAUUUUCUUUUAAGUUCUGAUGACGUCCGCAUUUUAAAAUCCUGUGGAACAAAGGCCUGACGUGCAUAUAAAAUUCUUUUAUUUUUUCAGAGGAAAAUGGGUUAGAGAAGAAGAUUUGGCAAAAGAAUUGCAACGGCAUUUGAAACUAGUCUUCGUCUUUUAAUUCUUUUAUAUUUGUUUUUGUUAUUGAUGUUAGCUUGGAUGUGAACCCGUGUGACUGAAUUCAACUUAUAUUUGUUUUUGUUAUUGUUAUUAAUUUUAUUUGUUUUUGUUAAAUUGGACCACCAACAAGGGCGGUCCAUUAUCAAAUCAACACGGUUUAAUUAUUAUUAUUUCUACACUUUUUUUAUGAACAAAUAUAAAAUAAAAGGACAUUUACACCCUCAAUUUUAGUGAAAUAGUCAUUAACACCCCUAAAUUUUUAAAAGUAGACAUCAAGAUCAUUUUUUUACCUUAAUACUCUUAUACGGUACCUCUAUUAUUCCCAAAAAUUGAUUCUAAUGUUUUAUAAUAAAUAAAAAUAAAACAUUAAAAUAAAUGUAAUAACAUAUAUAUUUUAAAAUAAUUUCAAUAUUUAAAAAAUAUUUUUAACAUUUUACAAUCUAUUAACUAUAUUUUAUUAUAUUGAAGUAAAUUUUAUAAUAAAUAGAAUCAUAUUAUUAAAAUAAAUGUAUUAAAAUUUAAAUGAUUUUGAAUAUCAUGUACAAUAAUAAUUUUAACAUUACUAAUAUGUCAGAUUUUUUUUUAAGAAUGUAUUUAGUGCAAAUAUUUCUUUCAAAUCUCCACAAUAAAUAAAAGAUUAAAAUAAAUAUAAUAAUUUACAUAUCUAAAUUUAUUAAAAUAUUUUAAUAUUGUUAGUCUACUGCAUAGAUCACAAUAUUUAUAUAAUAUUUGUAUUUAUUAAAAACUUUAAAAUCAAUUCUUUUGAGAAUAAUAGAGGUAAAGGGUAUAAUGGUCAAAAUGGGGACUUUGUACUCCUUUUUGAAAACUUGAAGGUGUUGGUGGCUAUUUUUCCAAACCUUCAGGGUGUAGAUGUCAUUUUUCCACAAAUAUAUGAGAAAAUUAUCAAGAAAUACAGUAUCUGAACUCUGAAGUAACAAGGAUCACCUUUUAUGAAAUCGAUUGCUUUUCAUGAUAGACUGUUACUAUUUUUCUACAAUAGAUUGAAUUUAGUAAAAAAUUGAUUAAGAUGUCUACUCAUGGAGAGUGAAAUUUAUGUUCAAUACUAAUUUCAACAUGCAUGCACCACCGAACGUGUUUCUCACGGAAAAGUUGCUUGGAUUUUUGGGACUUCCUGUUCAAAUAUUCAACACGGCAUGCACCACGCGAUUGAACAUGCAAAAGUAGGGGUCUAUUAUCAUUUCCAGCAUUAUAGAAAUCUUAAUUUUGUUCAUUAUUUAUUUUGAUCAGCACUGUUGAAUCUCCAUGUAUUGCCAAUCACUGGGAAACAACAUAUUCUUAUUAAUUAUAUCCUCUAAUGGAGAGAACUCAUUGUCUCAGUGUAAGAUCACUGUGUCAUUAACCCACAGCCUGCUGAUUUGCUUGGUUGCUGCAGCAAGCAAAAAUAUUACCACAGAUCAAAAAGCUCUUCUUGCCCCAAAAGAUCACAUAACUUAUGCUCCAACCAAUCUUUUGACCGAAAAUUGGACCUCAAAUACCUCUGUUUGUACGGGGAUUAGCAUCACUUGUGAUGUCAAUAGCCGCAGCCUUGGAUAUUUCUCAAUUCAAUCUACAAGGCACCAUUAUUCCAAACACAACUGGUAAUUUAAGAAACCUUAAGUGGCUCGGCUUGGCUUAUAAACUACUUGACAUCUUCAACUUCAAAAUUGAGCUUUCUUUCCUCUUUGGCAAAUUGCAAAAAAUUAAGAAUCUUAGGCUUACUGGAAAUCCACUUGACCGUAUCCUCUCACGUUCAAUAGGUAAUCUUUCUAUGUCUUAGGAAAGAUUUCACGUCGCCAAUUGCAGCAUUAGUGGCAGAAUUCCUCAAGUAAUCAGCAAUUUAAGCAACUUGUUGGCAGUUGUGCAAAAUUUUAAUAUACUCGCAAGUGCACGAAUCUAGAAAUAGAAUAAUGGUAAUGAGGUCAAACCCAUAGGGAUUGUUUUAAAAUGACAAAAGAAUAGCUGCUGGUCUAGAGGUGGCUUACUACAUUCAUACAAGAUCGUUUCUUGUUCUCUAAGAUGUGCAUUAUACUAAUAAUGCUAUACAAACUUAUCCAAAGGUCUAUUAAUUAAUUCAUUAAUCCAACGGCUUGUUAGGUUGUCCUUUCAUCCAUACAGCUGCAUGCUUGUCUUCAUAUACACUGAUCUUAUCCUCUAGAUCUGUUCAGGCUGAGUGAUCUCUCACAUUUGCCAUAUCAGAAGAUUACAUGCCAGUAAUGUCAUGUGAUGACCUGUUGCUUGGUGAUGUCGAAUGCCUGGCCUUUACUUCUCUGAGCAAAUUGAUCAAACAAUUUGUUCAUUUUAUCGAACACCUUCACCAACUAACAUUUUAUUUACUUUGGAUGGUUUUUAAGUGCAUUUAAUGAUUAUUUUUGCUCCAACUUCAGAUAAACCAAACGCCAGUAUAUUAGAAGAAGAAGUUAACUGGCAGCUAACCAGGUCAAAAUAGCGACUCUAUAUAAAAAAAAUAUAUAAAAUAAAAAAAUGGGACUUUAUUUAAUUAAUUGUUGGUCUAAAGCUGUUGGUAUCCGUUGGCCACGUUUCUGAAGAGUCAUCUCAAAUCGAAAUUUUUAACGAACAAAGGACAUUGCUGCUGGCUGCCGCCCGUGAGAUAAAAGUGCUAAAAUCCAAAAUGUUCCACCAUCAUUUAUUCUAAUUUUAAUUUUCCAAUGGAAAAAAUUACAUAAUUAAAAUGGCUUCUAAUAUCAUUUCCACACCUCAAUAUGUGUCACUAUCAUAAAGUUGUUCUCAUGAUUCAUGGAAAAUUUGGAUUACAGCACCUGUACUUUCUGAUGGUUCAUUAUUUAUUCUCAGGAAUCGAGUCUCCUUACAUUACCAAACUAAUAACAAACAGGAAUCUUUUAUCCUUUCACGGUGAGAAAUUACAGUCUUCGUAUGAUCGCAGUGCCAUUAACCCACUGCCUGCUUCUUUACUUGGUUGUUGCAGUAGCAGCAGCAAGCUACAUUACCACAGACCAACAAGCUCUUCUUGCCCUGAAAGCUCAUAUAAGUUAUGAUCCAACUAAUCUUUUGGCUCAAAAUUGGACCUCAAAUACCUCUGUUUGUAACUGGAUAGGCAUUACUUGUAAUGUCAAUAGCCAUAGAGUUACAGCAUUUGGAUGAAUUUUUAUUGAAACCUUUCUGAGAAGUAGGACAUGUCAGACAUCAAAGCACUGAGAUAUCUUCAAAUAGUGGUAACCCCACUCAUCAAGGCACAAUAAAUUAUACAGAUAAAAUCCUCCACUCUUUCGUAAUCAUCGGUGUAGGCACGGUGAUGCGUCGGACAGAUAUGGGUCGGAUCCACUCCAGCUCCAUAUCAAGAUUCAUAAACCAUGACAAAAAUAGAGAAUCAUAGGUGUUGCAGAUAGUGAUGGUUGUUGAUGCACUCGUAAUUUAAAAUUUUAUUUUAUAUCUUCAAGUUCGCAUUUUAAGUGUACAUUUUUUUUUUAUUUUGUGAUCAAUAUAACUUGUCAAAUCUAUUUUUAAAUAAUUUUUUAAAACAUUUUAUUAACAAUGAUAUGAAAAUAUUCGACCCCUUUUCAUAGUAAAGUGAAUUAUUAUCCGACAAUCCAACUCAUGUUUUCAAAUUGUAAAUUGCAAAUCGUGUGUUUGCUCCUGUUAGAGUGCAAUUUAUGCACUAGUUUUGCAUUGUUUACUUCCCUUAAUAUCGAUGUUUUGCACUUAAUAAUAAUGAUUUACUUGUGUUUUACUUUUGUAGGUGCAAUUCUAUUGAUUUGUGAUAAAAUUGAGCUAUAAGAUGAUGUUUAAAGAUGAUUGUUCUCUUGGAGAAAUGAUGAGCGUCAGAAGAACUUUGUUGAUAAGGCGUGAGCGCGUGCUGUCAACUACGGGCCUGCUGUUUUUAGUUUAACGUGUUUUGUAUUUUUGGUUAUUUUUGUAAUUACGAAUUUAAUAUUUCAGAUAUUAGUAUUUUAUUUUAAAUAGAAUUCUAGAGGAGAAGAGAGAGAGAGUAUUUAAGGGAGGAAUCUAUUGUGAAAAAAGGGGAUUUUGGAUUGGAGGAAAAGAAAAGAAACCCUAGAUCUAAUUUUUCUCUUCUCUCUAUGAAGAACUAAACUUAUUUUUCUGGUUGAAGGAUAAUGAAGCUUUGAUUCAUCACUACUGUGAGAUCUUUCUUGUGCUUUAAUUGUUUUAUUGCUUUUUGGGUAUUUGUUUAUUCUCUGAAUUAUUUUCAUGAUUAUGUUUGUUAAUUAGAUAAUUGGCCACUAUUUAAUUAUCAACUUAAUCUAUUGUUAAUUAAAGGAUUUAUCGUAUGAAGAAUUUAAUGUUUGUGACAAAUAACAUAGCAGAGAGUUGUGUUGUGAGAAUAAACAAUCUAAUUUAAAUGAAUCAUCAUAUGUGUUGAUUAGGAUUUAGGUCUCUCUGGUUUUUCAGGCUGUCAAUUGAUUAAAUCCUAUGAUCGUAUCUAGGGUUGUCCAUUGAUUAGGGAAAUAUCCAACGGUCGUACCUUGGUUAUCGACUAAUUAAGGAGAGAUUGGCUAUUAGAGGGUCUCAGUAGCUAUAACCGGUCUAUUCAUAAGUAAUAAUAAUUUAUAUUUGAAUCAAUGAUCAGUAGUCGAAUCAAGCUGAGUUAAUUCCUUCAACCGGAGCUUUCUCCAAUUUGAAUUACAACUUUAAUUUGCAUUCUUGUUAUUUUAAUUUGAUUUUUAUUAUUGUCAACAAUUCCCCCAUUUUACGUUUUACGUUUCAAAAGGAUUUAAAUAAUUACCGAUCUCUGUGGACACGACCCUGCUCAAUCACUAUACACAAUUUAUUUAGAGUAGGAAUUUAUUUUUGUUGGCUUCGACAACCAUCAAAUUUUGGCACUGUUGCCGGGGAUUGGUGUCAUUUAUUUAAUCCUUUUUACGUUUUACUUGGUGUAUGAUUCGUUCUUCUCGUACAGGUACACUUUCGUUUGAUCCUGAAAUUGAGAAGAUAGCUCGCCACCUGAGACAGCAGACGAAGCGAGCUAAGCAACGAUCCUCGUCACCUUUGCUUUCUGAAACAGAUACGGUGCUUGAUUUAGUUGAAUCAUCUAGCGAUUCGGAAGAACAAGUGAUGGAUAGAGUUGCACCUGUAGAAAGAACUCUUAGAGAGUUAGCUGAACCAGACUUGAAUCAACAACCACUCUGCAUUCAAUAUGUAGACUUGGAGGUAAAUUUUGAAUUAAAGUCUGGUCUUAUUCAUUUAUUACCCAAGUUUCGUGGUUUUGCAGGUGAAGAUCCUCAUAAACAUCUUAAGGAGUUUCAUGUUGUGUGUUCAAGUAUGAGGCCACAAGGCGUGACUGAAGAGCAGAUUAAGCUGCGUGCUUUUCCGUUCUCUGUAGAUGGGCUAGCUAAAGACUGGUUGUACUACUUGCCUCCUGGAUCGAUUACAACGUGGAAUGGUUUGAAGAAGCAAUUCCUCGAGAAGUACUUUCCUACUUCAAGAGCUGCCAACAUCAGAAAAGAUAUUUGUGGGAUCAGACAACUUCCUGGGGAGACUUUGUAUGAGUAUUGGGAGCGAUUUAAACAAUUGUGUGCCAGCUGUCCUCAGCAUCAGAUUUCUGAUCAACUUCUUAUUCAAUAUUUUUACGAAGGACUGUCAUUGAUGGAUAGGAGUAUGAUAGAUGCUGCUAGUGGAGGCGUGUUGGUGAACAAGACCCCUACUCAAGCAAGGGAGCUGAUAUCAAAUAUGGCUGCCAAUGCACAACAAUUUGGCAGCAGGCAAGAUCCCACUUCAAGGAAGGUAAAUGAGGUAAAUAUUUCUUCUGUUGAACAACGUUUAGAUAAACUUACUUCUCUUGUGGAAAAGUUUGUUGUAGGUAAUGUGCAACAUAUGAAGACUUGUGGCAUUUGUUACAAUAUGGGUCAUUCAAUUGAUAUGUGUCCUACACUUCAAGAAGAACCCGUUGAACAAGCCAAUGCAAUUCAAGGAUUUCCAGGCAUGCCUCAGAGGAGGUAUGAUCCUUAUGCACAAACAUACAAUCCGGGAUGGAAGGAUCAUCCCAACUUCAGCUAUGGAGUUAGGCCGUCAGGAUUCCCACAACAGUAUCCACCAAGACAACCAGCACCUCCACAGUCAAACUCCAAGUCAGGUAUAUCUCUUGAAGAAAUUGUUAAAUCACUUGCGACUAACACUCAACAAUUUCAGCAGGCAACUACAGCAAGCAUUCAGAAUUUGGAGAACCAAAUGAGUCAAUUGGCGAUUACAGUGAGCCGUCUGGAGUCUCAAGUAUUAGGGAGAUUGCCUUCACAAUCUGAGGUGAAUCCAAAGCAAAACAUUAGUGCUGUCAUCCUUAGAAGUGGGAAGGAGUUGCAAGAGCCUAGUAAGAAAGUGACAAAGCAUGUAGAAGAUGAGUUUGAGAAGAAUGAAUUGAUGCCUCAAUCUCAAGAUGUGGAACCCACCAGAGCGAAACCCCUACCUAUUGUGAUACCUCCUCCUUUUCCAAGCCGGUUUGCAAAAUCCAAGAAGGAGGAACAAGAGAAAGACAUCCUUGAGACAUUUCGCAAGGUUGAGGUAAAUAUUCCUUUAUUAGAUGCUAUAAAACAAAUACCUCGAUAUGCUAAAGUCCUUAAGGAACUGUGCACCUCCAAGAGAAAAUUAAGAGGAGAUGAAAAAGUUCACAUGGGGGAGAAUGUUUCAGCAGUUCUCCAAAAGAAACUACCUCCUAAGUGCAAGGAUCCAUGUAUGUUUACUAUCCCUUGUAAAAUUGGUAGUGUUAGAAUUGAAAAGGCUUUGUUAGAUCUAGGAGCUGCUAUUAAUGUCAUGCCUCGUUCCAUUUAUUCAUCUUUAAAUUUGGUCCAUUAAAAGAAACUGGCGUGAUAAUUCAACUAGCUGAUAGGUCUAAUGCAUAUCCUGAUGGGGUAUUAGAAGAUGUCUUAGUACAAGUUAAUGAGUUGGUUUUUCCUGCUGAUUUUUAUGUACUUGAUAUGGAAGAGGAUAACUCCUCUAAUUCUGUCCCAAUUUUGCUAGGAAGACCUUUUCUUAAGACUGCUAGGACUAAAAUGGAUGUACAUAAAGGGACUCUUACUAUGGAGUUUGAUGGAGAGGUUAUAGAAUUCAAUAUGAAUGAUGCCAUGAAAUAUCAUAGUGAGGAACAUUCGGUAUUUUCUGUAGAUGUUAUUAACCCGAUAGUGCAGGAAGUUAUUUACAAGGAAAAAACGACGACAUUUCAUGAUAGAAUGAUUUUGUGAAAGGAGUUCUCUGUUGGUCAAAAAGUUCUUCUUUUUCAUUCUAAGCUUAAACUUUUUUCGGGUAAAUUACGUUCUUGCUGGGUUGGACCUUUUAUUGUUACUAAUAUUUUUCCUCAUGGUGCAGUUGAGAUUCGGAGUCCGACCUCUGACAAAGUUUCUAAGGUUAAUGGUCAUCGCUUAAAACCUUUUUAUGAAGGUUUUUCGGUGAAUAUUGUGGAGGAUGUGGCUCUCGAGAGUCCCAAUUAUGGAGAUUGAUGCAUAAAUGUGUCUAGCCAAAGACAUAAAACAAAGGCGCUUUUUGGGAGGCAACCCAAAUGAUUUAUUUAUUUUGGUUUUUGUUAUAUCUUCUUUUAAUUUUGAUUCUUUUUUUUUUUAAUGUGUUUGCUUAUUUUGGUCAGAAUAAAAUUUUUGAUAAGGCGUGUCCACGUCUUAACUAAUAAGUACUUCUGUGAUUUUUAAAGUAAAAUGGUUUUAAGGUGUGCCCACGUGCUUAUUAAAAAAGUGCAUCUGAAAUUUUUGUUGUCUCAAAGUGAUUCAUCACAAAAAUAAAAAAAAAAUUAUUUAUUUAUUAUUUUUUUUUCUAUUUAUUUUUUUUUAAAAAAACGAAAAAAAAAGGAGAUUUUCUUUUGUUCUUUCUUUUAUAUAUUUAUUUAUUUAUUUAUAAAAAAAAUUCAAAAAAUCACUGUUAAAAAAAAAAAUUUACUGUUCAUAAAAUCCCUAAUUUUCCAGAACUUGUUUUCUUCUCCAACCGCUUGCAGCACACCAGCAGCAAAGCAGCCCGCCGGAAAACGCACCACCCCGCGCGCGCAGCACCAGCAUCGAGCACCAUCCCGCGAGCGCAGCACCAGCAUUCUGUGUCUCGCAGCCCAGCAGCGCGCAACGAAGUCCCACCAGCGCGCAACGCAGCCUCACCAGCGCGCAACGCAGCCCCAACGCACAGCAAACGAGCACGCCCCGCAACGCAGAUCCGCAGCUCUAGCCCGCCCGCGCAGCGCAAAUCAAUCCAGCCAUCACCAUCGCGCAGCGCAUCGGUCCCGCGCGCGCAACGCAACGCAGCAUCAGCAUCCCACGUCCAGCGAGCAGCAACCCGCGCGCGCAGAUCUAGUCUUCGCCCAGCAGCGCGCAGAACCAGCGUCAGCCUAGCUCUCGCGCGCAACACAGCCCACGCAGCACGCAGAUCUAGUAGCCCCAGCGCGCGCGCACAACACAAUCAGCGCCAUCCCGCGUCCAUCAAGCAAGCUCCAGCCGAGCAGCAAUCGCAACGCAACCAACGUACGACCUAUAUUCCAGCUGGAUAAAUCGAAAUCCGUGAGUGCAAUUAUUGUAACAAUGCCGAAGAGAAAAGCAUCAACUUCCAAGUCAUCUAAAAAGACACCCGUCGCAAAUAAAUCCAAGAUUGCCGGUCCCACUACGGUUCCUUGGAACACAAUUUCAGAUUCACGCCAAGCCGUGAGACAAAGCUCGAAACAUGGAAAAGGCAUGAGUGUUUUGCCACUUGCAGAAUCCAAUCUUGGAGGGUGCCUCGCAUUCGCGACUCAACAAGAGAAAGAGAGGUACAAAGAUAUUUUCACGCACAAAAUACUUCCAGCUAAGUAUAUUCCUUACCUGACUCUUGAAAAAUUGAAUGUUAAGGAUAAUUUUGAUUCUUUGAUAGAUAAGAUUGGGUUGCGUAAGUUUGUUGAUGUUGAUUGUUUGGGUUAUGUUGAGUUGAUUAGGGAGUUUUAUGCUACUUUUCAAUUUAAUAUGUCGAAUGAUUUUACUUUGCAUACCCCGGAUGUCAUAAAGUUUAGGUUAAUGGGACGAAAUUUUUCACACUCUAUCACGGAUUUUAACCUAGCUUUAGGAUUCAUUGAUGAUGAUUAUUCUUCUAGUGAUGCAUAUUUAGGAACAACUUGUGACUUUAGCGAAAAUUUUGAGCCUUAUGGUCUUUGCCGUAAUUUAUCUGUUGAUCACAAUGCUUAUGACCCAAGUAAAUCAAAGAGUUCUUUCUUACGUGAUCCUGUUUUGAAAUGUGUGCAUCGAUUCUUAGCAUAUAAAUUUUUAGGCAAGAAAGAUCACUCAGGAGUUUUCUCUAAAACUGAAUUUUAUUUUAUCUGGUGCAUGUUAAAUGAUGUGAGGCCUAAUUUAGGUUUUUGGUUAGCGGAUUAAUUUCAAAGUGUGCUUAAACGGUAUAUGACUUUAUUUCUUGGUCCAUACAUUACUCUGUUAGCUGUAAACCUACCUAUGUGUGCUUGAUCUUGACAAUAAUGAUUUGCAUCUUGCUUGAUUUUUGGAUAUGUCUGAGUUUGAAAGAACAGGUGUGGUCGAAUUCAAGGAGGGGAGAUUUCAGUUUACUGAACCAGCACCCACUCAACCUCCGAAGAAGCUUUAUGCUAGAAGUGGUGCUACCUCUGAUGACGAGUUUGACGACGACACUGCUGCCCCGCCAACUAUUCCUUCUACAUCCGCACCACCUUUGAGCAUUCAGUUAGAGAAAAUGGAGCACAAGCUGCACAAGAUGGAGCAGAAUUUGGCCGCACACUUCGAGAGUGUGGGAUUUACCCCACCAUUUCCGCCAAGCCCAUAGACGUUAUGUGGAUCAAAGUUCACAAUUCAGGGAAGUUUCUUUUUGCCCUUAAUCUUUUAUCCUUACGCUUUAAUUUUUGUGUGAGCUUUGAUUAUCUUACAUUGGGGACAAUGUAAGUUCUUGGUGUGGGGGAGGGAUUUUUGCAUUAUUGAUGUCUGAAAUUAUUGUUUUCACUCUACUCAUCCUUAAAUGAUUUUGGAGUUAGUAUGCUUUAUAUAUUAUUAAUUUUCUUUUCCUUUCUCUCUCACUACUCUUUUCCCAUCUAUCUCAAAUUAUUUACAUCUAUUUUUUUUUCUAUCAUACUCUUUCAUCACUCACAUUUUAUCUUUCAUUUUUUUUACUACAUACAUCUUUCUCGCUUAUUAUCCUUUUUACCUUUCCUUUUAUAUCUCACUCAUACCUUCUUCUCAUUCUACACCACUAUUGAUGGUUGAUUCGUUUGAAGAGUGUACAGGAUUUGAUGGCAAAUUUACCAACUUUGUGAGGAUUUAAGCCUAUGAGCAACCACUUUGCUCUAAUUAUUUUUUGUUAUGUGAAUAUCAAUCCUAGUUUGUUUAUUCUAGAACUUGCUUUGUUAUGCAUGUUGAAGCCACAUUACGGGAUUUUAUGCAUUAAAAUGAUAAGGGCAAACCCUUUUCUAUUUUUCUAUUCUCCCAUUUUUUUUUCUCUAUCCGAAGACCUUUAUUUGCUAUCUUGGUUUGAGCCUUAACCAUUACCCAUCUAAUUCUCUCCGUCUACUUAACCAUUUUUCUUCUUUUUGAGCCUCAAUUUAAUGAGAUUUUUUUUGGACUCAUUGUGUGGAUAUAUUUUGUUGCUUUUUCUACCUUGUAUUAAAGUUUCUCAAUUAGAUCAACAAGCAUUAUGCUUGAAUUGAAUUGUGCAAGGUUCGUUUCUUUUGUUUGAUUCAAAAACAAAAAAAAAAAGAAAAAGAAAAAGAAAAAGAAAAAUCGAAAAAAAAAGAAAAAAAAUGUUUACAUUCUUGGUGACAUGAGUAGAAAUAAGCAUUUUGAUAUCAUAAGUUCAUUCAAUGAGUUCAUUCUUCUCAUUUUGAUCUCUUUUUCUUUCGUAAACCUUUCUUUUUCAUUCAACCUAUUUAACCCCAUUACAACCCUUUUAAGACCCUUAGAUUUUUGCAUUUUAUUCAUGUUUUGUGGAUUGAGAUGUGAUAUAUGAGCAAGCUUAUGGUAAUAGCAUUCUUUGAUUUGAUUUGAGUGAAUAAAUGACACCCUAAAUACUUUGAGUGCAUGGAGUGAAGUUAUUGAGAGGGCUAUUAAAUAUUGUUGCACUUGAAUUUUGAAUGGAUCUUCUUGGUGGUUGAAUGUUCUUAUUCUAUCUUAUGAAAUUCUAUGCUUUAAAAUCCUUGUCUCUAGAAUGUUGAUCGACUUAAUUUCUUGAGGUAUGCUUGCCUAAAAUUGUUUUUGGAUGAGUUGAGAUGAGAAUUGAGUGGAACUUUGGGAUUAAUCUUGAGUUAUAUGCUUGAGGACAAGCAUCAUCUUGGUGUGGGGGAAUUUGUUAGAGUGCAAUUUAUGCACUAGUUUUGCAUUGUUUACUUCCCUUAAUAUCGAUGUUUUGCACUUAAUAAUAAUGAUUUACUUGUGUUUUACUUUUGUUGGUGCAAUUCUAUUUAUUUGUGAUAAAAUUGAGCUAUAAGAUGAUGUUUAAAGAUGAUUGUUCUCUUGGAGAAAUUAUGAGCAUCAGAAGAACUUUGUUGAUAAGGCGUGGGCGCGUGCUGUCAACUACGGACCUGCAGUUUUUAGUUUAACGUGUUUUGUAUUUUUGGUUAUUUUUGUAAUUAUGAAUUUAAUAUUUCAGAUAUUAGUAUUUUAUUUUAAAUAGAAUUCUAGAGGAGAAGAGAGAGAGAGUAUUUAAGGGAGGAAUCUAUUGUGAAAAAAAGGGAUUUUGGAUUGGAGGAAAAGAAAAGAAACCCUAGAUCUAAUUUUUCUCUUCUCUCUAUGAAGAACUAAACUUAUUUUUCUGGUUGAAGGAUAAUGAAGCUUUGAUUCAUCACUACUGUGAGAUCUUUCUUGUGCUUUAAUUGUUUUAUUGCUUUUUGGGUAUUUGUUUAUUCUCUGAAUUAUUUUCAUGAUUAUGUUUGUUAAUUAGAUAAUUGGGCACUAUUUAAUUAUCAACUUAAUCUAUUGUUAAUUAAAGGAUUCAUCGUAUGAAGAAUUUAAUGUUUGUGACAAAUAACAUAGCAGAGAAUUGUGUUGUGAGAAUAAACAAUCUAAUUUAAAUGAAUCAUCAUAUGUGUUGAUUAGGAUUUGGGUCUCUCUGGUUUUUCAGGCUGUCAAUUGAUUAAAUCCUAUGAUCGUAUCUAGGGUUGUCUAUUGAUUAGGGAAAUAUCCAAUGGUCGUACCUUGGUUAUCGACUAAUUAAGGAGAGAUUGGCUAUUAGAGGGUCUCAGUAGCUAUAACCGGUCUAUUCAUAAGUAAUAAUAAUUUAUAUUUGAAUCAAUGAUCAGUAGUCGAAUCAAGCUGAGUUAAUUCCUUCAACCAGAGCUUUCUCCAAUUUGAAUUACAACUUUAAUUUGCAUUCUUGUUAUUUUAAUUUGAUUUUUAUUAUUAUCAACAAUUCUCCCAUUUUACGUUUUACGUUUCAAAAGGAUUUAAAUAAUUACCGAUCUCUGUGGACACGACCCUGCUCAAUCACUAUACACAAUUUAUUUAGAGUAGGAAUUUAUUUUUGUUGGCUUCGACAACCAUCAGCUCCAUUACAGAGUUUCAUCAAUUUGAAAUAGAGAAUCAUUUGUGUUCUAGAUUAAUCGAGGGUCUAUAUCCAAAUCUAAAAAUUGACUAACUUGGUUUCUAUUAAAUUCUUAAUCCUAACAAGAAAAAUAGAAGAUUAAAAAUGACUAAUUUGGUUUCUAUUAAUUUGAGUAACGAUCGAAUUACCUCAUUUAUUAAGAUUUAUCAAAAUCCUAUGUCAAAAUCCAUUAAUAAUAUAGGUUGGAUGAUGAAAUAGUCACUUAUUAUUAUUUUUGACUUCAUAAAUAGAUGAACGGAUGUUAUUUUUGGAUUCUGGAGAAUCCAAAAUAUCAGGAUAUGUGAUAAAUGGAAUUAAGUUGUAGAUAAGAUAGAAAUGGAUUUGGAGAGAGAUUGGAAUCCUGGGUAAUCCGGUGUACGUUGUUGUGUUGAAUGCUCGUUGACUUCACGUUGACUGACACAUUAUUGGAAGAAGUGAGCAAGCUUAUUUUCUUCUCUCAUUUUUAAAUUUGUCUAAGUUUAUUGAUGUGAGGCCUUUGAGAUUGUAAGUUUCAAAUCUGAGAAGAAUAACCACACACCCAUUAAUAAAUUUGUGAGGAUUGUGAGGGUUGAUGCAAUAUAAUUUAGAUGCAAAGUGUUUACAAGUACGAUGCUUCAUAAGUGUUCUUCAAUCAUUAUAAACUCACGUUAUUUUUAUAAUGAUUGUUUCAUCUGCACAUGGAUAUAAUCAUAUGUUGAGAUUUUUUCCUAAAUUAUGGUCUUAUUUGGUAUUGAGGUGUUAGAUCUUUUAAGAUACAAUUACUAUUGGAAAAAAUAGUGCAACUAUGAAAUAAAAGUUAAUAUUGUGUACUAAUUAUAAUUGUUAAAUAAUAAUUUUGACAAAAUUAGUGAAGAUAUAUAGUUUUUUUUUUAUCAUAUAAGUAUAAAAUCAAAUCAACUUAACUUCUAAACUAUAUAGCAGCUACUGCUUACCAAAUAUUUUAGUGCUGUAGCUUUUAAGUUAUAACUGCCUAACCUCAGUCUCAAACAAUGGCUAUAAAGAUCAAAGAUUUCCUCAUAAAAAUUAUACGUCUUGUGAUUGCUUAUUUAAUUUAUAUUUUUUUAUUUAUCUUUAUUAAUUACAAUCAUCUUUUAAUAAAUUACAAUUGGAGGAAGUUGAUGUUCGAAGUGCUUAUGUCGACUCGAAGUUGUUGGGAAUUAAUGCAUGUAUUGAUUUAUUGGGAGUGUUUAAAUGAUUUUGUGAUUUACUUGAUUGAUUGAUUGAAUAUUGUUUGAUUACUUUGUAUCCAUUCUAGAAAGUUUAUUUCUUUGUGAAAUUUCGACAAAAUAUGUUUUUCUUUUUAAAUAAUAAGGGUGUUUUAAGUAAUUUUUAAAAAUAAAUGGACUAACUAGAAUUAAUUAUUAGGUAACUAACUCGAACUGUACAAGGUAAGCGAACAUUUAUGCUGAUUAUAUCAUGAUAAAUCAUUUUCCGAUUAGAAUUAGGAAACCAUUAGCAUAUUGACUUUUUUUUUUUUUUUUUUCAAUCUCCCUUUGCGAAAACGGAUUACAGAAUUAGAAAACAAUCCUAAUGAUAUUAUUGUUAGGUUUAAAACACGGCAUAGAUAGUCAAAAGCUAACUAGUCUGCAGUAAUUUGUUAAUUGCUAUCGCCUCUCCAUGCGUGGUGAAUAAUUUGUUGCAUGCAAACUUUUUCCAUUUUAAAUAAACACAACGCGAUGUUUAUCUGCUCCGCGUUUUGCAAUCUGUUUAUUCGUUGUUUAUUUGCUUCGUAAGUCCUCAAACUUUGAUAACCAAAAAUUUCACCAAACUAUGAAAAUUAUUCUGCAGGUUAGUUUUUAUUUUCGGAAUAAUUAUUUGAGAAUACUAAAACACAAUAUAAAAUAAGAAAAUAGGGGGUUAAAAUUUGAAAAAAAAAAACAAAAGGGCAUGUUGGAUAGAUUACUGUGGUUUAAGAAAAAAAAUUAUUCAGUUGGGAAUUUUUUUUCUUUAAUUUUUGUUUUACUUAAUUGAGAUUUCUCCUUAAUCCUUACAGUUUUAAAUUUGGAUAACAUAGGAUUAGUAAUUUAGUACUUCCUUUGCAAGCUGAGGUUAAGGAUGAAAUUCUUUUAAGAAAAAAAGAUAAAAGAGCAUAACAAUAGUCAAUUAUAAAUAACCACAAAUAAAUACAAACAAAAUGUUUAUGAAGUAAAUUAAAAAUGCACAUAUUAUUUUUUAUUUUAUUUCUUACUAAUCUGUGUAUUUGCUGCUUGAAAAACCAUAAAUACACAGAUGACCAUUGGCUUCGCACCAUUUAAUCGGGAUACAUUUCUACGUACAAACUGAACAAGGCUAUUGAUUUUUAUUUAUUUAUAAAUUACUAUUUCAAUUUUCACUUUUUAUUGGGUUGUUUAAUGGAUUAGUGAGGCUGGUGGUCGUUGAUGCACUCACAAGGUACAAUUUUGUUUUCAAAUUUCAAAUUCGUAUUUUAAAAUGCAGCACAUUAUGCAUACAUAAUUAUUGAUUUUCAUAUGUGGGUGUUUUGAAAUAUUGCUAAAAGGCCAAACUUUAAUAAACUAUUUUUGAUCCUUUUUUGUUUCUUUUUUCCUAAAGUUUGAGUGAUAUCCGCAUUUUUAAAAGCUAAUGUAUGCAAAAAAUUCUUUCAUUUUUCUGGGGAAAAUAGGUAAGAGAAAAAGUUUUGGCAAAUGAGCUGCAACUGAAUUCAAAACCAAUACGAUGCGAGCAUAGGAAAGAGGUCAGUGUUUUGGAUUUGAAUUUAAAGAGGUCAGUGUUUUGGAUUUGAAUUUAGUAUUGAGCUGAAUUUUAUGUUUAACACAUGAUUCUAUUAUAGUACUGCGAUUAAUAAGCUCAGCCCCGGAUUUGCUUUUGCUUUUGCUUUUACUUCAAGUGAAAGAAAGAGGAAACCUUUUGUUUUUUCUUUGGUUUUUGACUAUGUUACCUAUACAGAGAGUCAAGAUAUCAGCCAUAAGUGAUGGUGUUAAAAAGAUUAAGCAGCGCACACAAUCUUACUGCUGUCUAGACGAUCCAAUGAUGACUCCAGUCUUUUGGUUACAUUAGCUUUAGUUGAAAUAAGGGCCAAUUUAGCAAACACUAGCUUUGGUGGCUUAUUAUGUUUAAUGUAAUGCUUAUUCUUAAGGAAUCUAAUGUAUAUAAGAUGAUUGAAUGAUCUUCUAUGAUUGUGAGUAGUAUAGGAUAAUUGAAAAGAGUCUGGUGUUAAAGGCUUACAGUUUUAAGCCUUUUAAACCAUGCGAUUUUAAAGUUUUACCGGAUUUUCCCGCACUUUAAAAUUUUAGACUGAAACAUUUUUGUAUAUAUAUACAUAAAAAUAUAUAUAUAUAAAUAUAUAAAUUAAGAGGGAUGAGUUAACUGAAGAUUAUAAUCAUUACAACAAUGCUGAUGAGUGAUACAUCACUUGAAAUUUACUUGUCAGUUGCUGAAAUGAUGAAAAAAAAAAUAAACAAUAACAGUGAUAAUGUUCUCUUGCUGAAAUGACUUGUAUAUUAUACAAUCCACUCUACUUAAUGAUAUCGUUUUAAUAAAUGUUUGAUGAUCUCCAUUUAAAAACUACUUCAAUUUUUUUCUUCAUUUAAGUUUUUGGUUGUUGAAAAUAACCUUAAUUAUCAAAUAAUUGGAGAAAGAGUAAAGAACAUUUAACAAAUUUAUGUGCAAAAAAAAAAAAGGGAGAAGUUGAAGAGAAAGGGUGCUUGCAGAAGUAGGUGUCAAAGAUAAAUCGGUCCAUAGGAAUUAUUUUGGUUAUUUUUUAGCAAUAGAAAAAUUUUUUAGCAAGUAAAAAUUAAUUUUUUUCCGCUUUACUAAAAAAUUAACUAAAAACUUAUGCGAUAGCAUUUUUUAUGGGUGCAUAUACUUCCCUUUAAAAAAAAUAUAAUAAUUAAUGCUUAAUAUAGUAUUAAAUACGAAAAUAUCAAUAUUUGACUACUCAAAUGUAUAUCAUUAGGUCCUUAAAAUUUAAAAUUGAAGAUACAAAAGGUAAUAUAUAUAAAUUUCAUUCUCAUGGGAAAGGAUCAUCUUAUAAUCUUAUAAUAUUUGAGCUUUGAAAGAUUUUUUUGAAACAAAUGUACUUUUAUUUGUGUACAAUCAAUAUGUACUUAUUUAUUAUAUUUUUAUUUAUUAACUAUCAAUCAUGUGAGUAUAUUUAGUCAGAAAAAUUAUAUCAAGAGAGAACCCUAAUUUCACGUAAAGACAAAUACAAGACAAAUAUGGCAAUUUCUAUACUAUUCACUUUCCUGUAAAAUCAAUUAUCUAAAAUGCAAGUUUGUGGCUUCAAAAAACUCGCCAAAGAAAGAAGAUAAUAGCAAUUGAGCAUUGAUAGCAAAUCUAAUGCAUCCAAUUCUUCUUAACUUGAUGAGUGACGUGAAUGCUACCAGUCUGUGACACCCAAAUUUUUAUUAUUUUAUUUAUUUUUUUAAUGGAAUUUGUAAAUGACGUUUUUGCCCUUAUAAAAAGGGUUAUUCAUGGAAUAAUUUUUAGGAAAGGGUUAUUUUUCCAAAUUCAAUAGGGUUUCUUAAGACUCCCUAUAAAUUCAUAUUUUUCUCCUUUCAUAACCCUAAAAGCACGACGUUUCUUCUUUUUCUAUACUGCUCAUUACACUCUUACCCAAACCCUAAGAUUCAAACCUUUGGUUAAGAGAGAAUCAAAGCGAUUGGUAAGUUUAUUCCCCUUAUUCUCUACAAGAUUCCCAAUCACUCUAUCUAGGGUCUAUAUUGGCAUGAUUUUAGAUUGUUAUAGAUCAUAAUACAUGAUUUAGAAUGUGUUUAGGCUUUGUUUAGAGUUUUGAUUUAUUAUGAGUUUAGUUAAUCAACCUUGACGUAUUAAGCACAUAGAAUAGUUCCAUAGAAUAUUAUGUUAUUCUAAGUUUUAGAUUAAGAGUUAAAAUUCUAAGCAUCAGACUUGUACGGGUACGAAUUAGAAAAAUCGGGUUCUUAGAAUAAGUUAUUAAUUGUCAUAUCUUGUAUUUGUUUAAGGUGAUUGAGGCUCUUAGAGGGUUAGAGGUGUGUUAAUUCAAAUUCUUUUGUCGAGGUAAGUAACUUCAUUCCUAAUGUACUGGAUAUAUAUAUAUAUAUAUGAUUAUUUUGAUAUUAUUAUAAGUACACAAAUUUUUUUACUACUUAGAAGAUUAAUUGAUUUUCAUAACAAAAUCAGUUUGUGUAAAUGUUUUCAAACCUAAAUUCCUUUUAAUAAAUUAUUUUGUAAAGGCUUUUAAAUAUGUAAGUUAUUUUAUGACAUGACUACCUUUUAUAAUUUUGUCUAUGAAAUAUUUGCAAGCCUAAAUUGUGGUUAUGGACUUUCAUGAAACUAAUACGAAUGUUUUGUACCUAUGUAUGAUUUCAAUUAUUUAUGAUUGUACGGGGGCCACCUCUUGGGACUAUAUGGGGGCCACCUCUUGAAAUUCAAAGCAUCACAAAAGUGCCACGUAUAAGUCAUUAUGUUUUGGCUCAUUAUCUGUAGUUAUUCUGAUUCUGAUUCUGAUGGUAUAAUACAAUAUAUGUCUGUUCUGGACCAGUACUAGGUUUUUGUUUUGAGUGUGCACAUGAUAUUCUGACUCUGUUUCUGGCCGGGUCACUAGGACUAUAGGUGACACUAUGUGACAUGAGCUAACCUUUUGUUUUCUGUGAAUGUGAUAUAUGAUUUGCUUUUGUAAAUAACUAUGCUUUUGAUAUUCUGAGUUACAAUGAAUUUAAAUUAUUUUAUAGUGAUAUAUCGUUUUAUGAAAUUUAUGGAUUAUGAUAUAUGUUUUAAUUAAAAGAAGGCUUGCAAUAUUUUUGGUAUUGAUAGGUCUAGUGUGUUAGGAAUAUUUUUACUUACCGAGUUGACGGCUCACCCCUCGUCAUUACUUUUUGCAGAUUAAGUUUCUUUUGAGAGCUGCGCUUAGCUUUGGAGUUAGUAAUUUUCUGUUUCCGUUUGCCAUUUGAAUAAGAGGAGAAAUAAACUCAUGUUUCUAUUUAGUUUAUUUAUGUUAUGAAUGUGUAAUUUGGAGUUUGAGACUUUUGUUAUUUUUUUUAUGUCCUCGGGAGAGAUUAUUUAGUAUUAGACGUUUGAAUUUGUGGAUUUAUUUGAAUAAGAAUUUGAGGUAUUUCAGUUUGAAACUUAUGAGUAAAGAUUAUGAUUUGUAAGUAACAUCCUUCUUCACGUGCUCCGCACGUGUUAGAUUUGGGGUGUUACAAUUGUGGUAUCAGGGCAUUAGGUUUGGGAUUCUGUAAACUUUAUUUGAGGCUAGAUUUCUUAAGCACAAUCAAUUAGUUCAAUGGUAUUGCUUGCCAUGAGGUUAUCGGAAAGAGUAGAUCUUUAAGGCGAGGAGUAAUUUUGGUCUUUUUGAUUUUCUAGUUGCUUGUGACUUUGUAAUAACUCCUUGAUAUAGGAUUUUGGUAUUAACGUAGAAUGAAAUAUUUGUUUGCUCUUGUUGUCAAUUACUAACUUUUCUCAAUUAUACUAUUUACUCAGUACUUUGUGCUAUAGCAAGCCCUUUAACUAUGAAUUAUUUACCAUUUUAUUUAUUUAUUUAUUUUUAUUCUUCGUGUUAUAGUCAAAAGAUGUCACGUAGGGGAGGUGCUAGGCAUGCCUUUAGCUCGAGAGAUGUUUUAGGUAUCGUUGAUGACGCUGACCUAACCUUGCGCGAGAUGGCUAACGAAGGGAAUCCUAUGAUGCGCGCAAUGGUUAGAUUGAUGGAACAACAAAGUAAGUUGAUUCAAGAUAUGGCUAGAGGUAAAGUUGGGGCACAUGAGAUUGUGCCAGUUGAAAGACAAGGUGGUGGAAGAGAUCAGGGAGGUAUGAUGAGCUUAGAGCGGUUUAGGAAAUUGAGACCACCUACCUUUCAGGGGGCUGCCAAUCCUAUGGUUGCAGAGGCAUGGCUAAAACAGAUGGAGAAGAUAUUUAUGGCUAUGGGUUGUAAUGAUGAU
rnacentral:lncRNA from 1 species